UUUUCAAGGAGGUUCACCUUAUAAUCAGUGCAGGCGCAUGCAUUGGAUAUUAACCCCUCCUUUUUCUAGAUAAAUACAAAGUGAUCUGAUUAGAACCGUUUAAAAUGUCUUUCGUCAGACUGAGUUGACGUGUGGUUGUUACCAUCCCACGUGAAAACGACAACAAUUUAUUAUCUCGCGAUAUACGAUACGAUAAGCGCGAAAUUGUGAGUCAUUGGAAGACUUUUCCUUUCUGUCACUUUAUUCUAUUUAUUCCUAACAACAAGCAUUUCAGUUCAGCACGCAUUCAUGUACCUUUUCAAAAAAUCAAAAAUAGAAAGCUACUAUCAACAUUAAAAAUAAUAAAUAAAUAAAUAUGAGGUGGAAAUUGGUUUUUGUCCAUGACACGGCAACUGGUGUGAACCAAGUAAACGUUGGUCUACUUACACUUAUAUACAGUCCUAGUAACGAUUUAAAGUAAAGAUUUACCGUUUUUACGUAAUUGUAAUUUCGUUUGAUAUUAUGUUGAAAAGAGUUUAGUUUACUGAGGAAUUGGGUGUCAAGCCGAAAUCCGAAUAUGUAUUCAAGUGUUUAAAAAUUAAAAUUCUUAUCGUAUAAUCUCAUAAUAUAAGUGACAUUUGAUUGUGUGUGACCUCUUGUAUAAAUACAAUGUAAACAGUAACUACAUUGAUGGUCUAUGGCAAUUUAGUGUCCCAAUCUUUCCAUAUAAGAUGAUAAUAAAUGAAAGAAAGAAAUUGGCCACAAAAAUAAAUAGAAAGAAAAUGGCCAACCACCCUACCAUCUUUCAACGAGAAAUUGGGGCAUUAUUGGCCUUUUUUUUUACAAAAAGAAUAAUACAUACCAAGUGGUUCCACGACAAAGAUCUAUACGGAUAAAAAUGAUCAAAGUAAAAAGAACAAGAAGAAAAAGAAGAUAUGAGCGUAAAGAAUUCAUGUGCAAAUAAACUAGUUUUCAUUUUCACUAUUGUAAGUUCAUACCGUGGAAAAUAUAAAGGGACUAGGAUUGACGUUUUAUGGGUAUCGGGAUUGAAACAGUGCCUCGUCGUACUGGACAAAAACGAAAAUAAAGAACACAACAAUUUGUUUACUUAGUGAUACCUCAAUUUGAAGAAAAACACUGUCGGGGCUUUAACUCUUGAAAGCCCCUAUUGAAAAGAAAAUUCAUUAUGAAUCAAGAACGAGUCAAUUACAAAUUUUGUAGUACUAACCGCGGCUACUAUCUCUAGAACCCUAACAUAUAUGUUUGAAUCACUCUUCUUCUUCAAUUAAUCUUCUUCUUCAAUCUCCAAGGAACUAACCACAUCCUUAAUCUUUCAAUUACAUAAACAAGUUAUACUCAACACGAAACAGUUGACCUUGUGACCUUACAAAGUAUCUCUCAAAUGCUAUGCGUGCAAAGAUAGUUCUCUAAGAAUAAUUAUGCAAAAGGUUGUAUUCAAACAAGAUGCUACGUCUCCUUUAUAAACGUCCAAAACUCUUGUGCAAGACAUCUUCUCAUCAUCAACGUCAUAAAUCCAUUUGGUCUCUUAAAAGGAAAUCUUUUAAACUGCACAAUCACCAAAUCAAUCAAAUAUAUCUCAUAUAUCAAAUCUGAUAAUUAAAGGAAUAGAAAACCUAAUCAAAUUAAGUUUCAUUCCUUUUCACGCAUCAAUAAACCCUAAUCAUAUUAGGUUACAUUCAUUCUCAAGUGAAUUUGAUUCAAUAAGAUCAACAUCCUAAUCAAAUUAAGAUCCUUGUCUAUCAACAUCCUAAUCAUAUUAGUAACCAAAUCAGAUAUACUUAAGAGUUAAGACUUCUUCCUAUGUGCAUAUCCAUAUCCCAUUAUACAUAGAUAUAUAUCCAUAUAUGUCAUAGUGAAAAUACCCUUGCUUGCACGCACCAACCUGAGAGCUUAACCAAAUCAAAUCAUAUAUAUAAUAAAUCAAAUCAUAUAUAUAUAUAUAUAAUGCAUCAAUGCUCAUCAAUCAAAUAUUUAACCAAAUAUAUAAGUCCUAAUCAAAUUAGAACUUCCUUGCUCGCACUUCUUCUAUUUUGUAUAGAGAUGCCAAUAAAUCAUAUACCAAUAAAAUAUUGUUGCCCAUUUCCUUUUAAUCAAUAAUGUAUUUGUAGACAAAGGUGAACACGAGUUGAAUAUAAAGUUAUAAUAUAAAUGUAUAAAAGCCUAGAAAAAGUUACGGAUCAAACACGUCUUAGAAAGACAACAACAAAUAAAUUGGCAUCCCAAACAAUAUAGUGAAAUGAUAUCUUGUACCUCACCAACGUACCAUGCUAUCCAUAUGAAAAAUGCUCAUUCAUAAUAUUUGUACGUAGUAGCAUGGAUAGUCAAAAAUUACAGAAAUGUAUAAUAAAAAUUCCUUCAUAACGAUCUUUACAAUCUAAGCCUAGCUAGGAAAACUUGUCCAAACAACCUUUGGUGUUCCCCUGCAUAGCAAACACAAAAGAGAAUCUCUUUAGCCUGUGCAAAGCAAAGCAAAGGAAGGUAAAUAUCUAUGGGUGCUACUAGAUGUACCCAGCAAAUUACUUAAUGUACCCAGCAACAUAAUUUUUAUUCCUAACUUUCCGAUUCUACCCCUUGUUUUACAUAAAAUUAAGUAAGGAAGAACAAAAAGGAAAAGAACGAAAAAAUAUCAUUCUAUCAUAACUUGUUCUCCCCCCCCCAGUAUUUUUUUUUUCUCAUUGGUUUACCACUAUUCGAUUGGUUCUUAGGGAAAUUAUCUGAUCUUCUCAGAUUGAUUGGCUUAUCUCACCCGGGGGGAGGAGGGAGAACCUUUUUUAAUCUCUCAAAUACCCUGAACAGUAGAUCGAUGUUCAUGUUUUGGUUUUUGGCUGGGAGGCUAGAACUGGAUCUUUAGGCUAAAUACUGAAAGCUUCUUAGAUUUCAACAAUCCUCUCAUUGGCUUAUUAAUUCGUUGGCAUAUAUCUAUAUGUAUGAUUGAUUAUCUAUUAUAAGUAUUGAUCAAUAUGAUAUUUUAUGAAAGUAGAGUUGAUCGAGAUGGAACUGCACCAAAUCCAAGUACGUAGUUGCUGGUUCCAAACAACUUUAAGGUUCCAUAUUGAUAUCCUCCAUCAUCUUUGAGAUAUUAGAUGAAGAAACAAACUUGAGAGAGAAGAAGCAAAAUAAGAAGGAAGAAUUGAAGAAGAAAUGAAAUAAUGAUGGAAGAGGACAAAACAACGNNNNNNNNNNNNNNNNNNNNNNNNNNNNNNNNNNNNNNNNNNNNNNNNNNNNNNNNNNNNNNNNNNNNNNNNNNNNNNNNNNNNNNNNNNNNNNNNNNNNNNNNNNNNNNNNNNNNNNNNNNNNNNNNNNNNNNNNNNNNNNNNNNNNNNNNNNNNNNNNNNNNNNNNNNNNNNNNNNNNNNNNNNNNNNNNNNNNNNNNNNNNNNNNNNNNNNNNNNNNNNNNNNNNNNNNNNNNNNNNNNNNNNNNNNNNNNNNNNNNNNNNNNNNNNNNNNNNNNNNNNNNNNNNNNNNNNNNNNNNNNNNNNNNNNNNNNNNNNNNNNNNNNNNNNNNNNNNNNNNNNNNNNNNNNUCAUAAGUAUGUGAAUUUUCCAUGGUUAAUUUUUUUUUUUUACUAUUGUUGUGGUGUGAAUUAUGUGAAUUUUGAUUAUGAUAUAUAUUUUUUUUACUGUGAUUGUGUUAUGGAGGUUGGAGCAAGAGUCAGGGUUUUUCUUUAAUAUGAGGUAUUUUGAGGACAUGGUGACGACUGGAGAGUGGGAGGAGGUGGAGAAGUAUUUGUCUGGCUUCACCAAGGUGGAUGAUAAUCGAUACUCGAUGAAGAUCUUUUUCGAGAUACGCAAGCAGAAGUAUCUUGAAGCUUUGGACAAGUAGGUGGUUAAGUUUUCGUGUGAAAUUGUGUAUUGUUUUCGAUUAGCUUUACUCGAGUUUCAAAGUUAUUUGGAUGUGUUUUUGUGUUUGAUUAAAGUUUUGGAUUAUUGUAGGAGGGACCGAGCAAAAGCUGUGGAUAUUUUAGUGAAGGACUUGAAGGUGUUUGCGGCAUUCAAUGAAGAGCUUUUUAAGGAAAUCACGCAGCUACUGACUCUGGAUAACUUUAGGUGAGGAGGAGGUAUUGUCUUGUAGUAUUGUCUGUUUUGCUGCCCUGUGUUUUGUGUAUGACGAUUUGUUGUUUUCGGUCGUGCAUUGGUUUUUCAGGGAUAAUGAACAGUUAUCUAAGUAUGGGGAUACAAAGUCUGCAAGGGGUAUAAUGCUUGCUGAGCUGAAGAAGUUGAUAGAGGCUAACCCAUUGUUUCGCGACAAACUUCAGUUUCCUACCCUGAAGAACUCGAGAUUGCGGACUCUUAUCAAUCAGAGGUACUUGAGAAGCUCAUUCCUCAGAGCUCUGAGACUUGAUACAUUUUUCCUUUGCUUUAAAAUUACAAGGCCUGAUUUCUCAACUUUUGUGACAUUACAUUUGCAGCUUAAACUGGCAGCACCAGCUUUGUAAGAAUCCAAGGCCUAAUCCUGACAUAAAGACCCUGUUUGUAGACCAUAGCUGUGGACAACCGAAUGGUGCCAGAGCUCCAUCUCCAGUUACUAAUCAUUUGAUGGGGGCAGUCCCAAAGACAGGGGCUUUCGCACCACUUGGUCCUCAUGGGGUAAGUUGAACAACAACAUACAUUUCCUCUGGUAGUAAGUGAUCUACAAGUGGAAGUUUAACUCUGAAUGUAUAUGCAUGUAGCCUUUUCAGCCCACACCUGCUGCGCUUCCAACAUCUCUUGCUGGAUGGAUGGCCAACCCAUCACCUGUGCCUCAUCCCUCUGCUUCCGCCGGGCCUAUUGGUUUGGCUGCAGCUAGCAAUCCAGGUACUGUGGUAUUACUGUGGCCGUCUCUAGAGCUGUAUUCGUGACUAGCUAUAUGAAACCUUGUCCAUUGUUGGCGUGUUCUAAAUUUUACAUGAUGUUCUGCACAUGUCAAAAAAAAAAAAGCAUCAGAAUAUAUAUUUUCUUUGUCCUUCUUCUUGGGUUUCAUCACUGAUCUUCUUUUCCCUACCUAAUAGAACCUCGUAUCAUCUACACAUUUGACGUACUUGUUUGCUGUUCACUUGGCAUGAGAGCAUGGAAAUUUGAUUACUCUGCAUGGUUAUUUGGGUGCAUUGUGUCUUUGUUUGAAAUAUUGAUGACCAGUUCUGUUUCUGGUAUUGUUUUUGGAAUAUCAAAUAUAUAUAUAUAUAUAGAGGCAUUCUCAGGUGCGGACGUCCGCACCGUUUUACGGUGCGGAUUUCCGUCCGUUCGACACCGUACGGCGCCGCGCGAGGGCGCGCCUCCACGCCAGCGGACUCCAGCAGCUUCCCUGACCACUGUCCAUCCUCGGCGAGUCUGCUGAAUUCUAGUUUUCCGGUGAGAUCGACUUUAUUUGAAGUUUUGGGUGAUCUCGCCGGAAAACUGGAAAAGAACGGACUCGCCGGGGAUGGAAAGUGGUCGGGGAAGCUGCUGGAGUUCGCUGGGGUGGAGGCGCACGUCCGUAGCAGAGAAGCCCUGUAUAUAUAUAUAUAUAUAUAUAUUUGAUAUUCCAAGUGAUUUUAAUAUCUUUUCAUUACAAAUUACGUUUAAAAUGAUAGGAGCCCUUUUAAAGCGCCCUAGAACUCCUCCUACCAAUAACCCAGCUAUGGACUAUCAAACAGCAGAUUCUGAACAUGUGCUGAAGAGAUCAAGACCUUUUGGAGUAUCAGAUGAGGUAUAAAGCUUAACUGCUAAUUAUCAUAUUCUGAUUUACCUGGUGGAAGUGAUUACUAAAUUUGAAGUUUUCAUCUUGUUGUACAUUCUCUGGACAAUAUUCAUUCAUCACAAAAUUCUUUGUUUUCUGUGUAAAUUCCUAAACCAUUGGUAGCUGUAUAGUAUAUUUAUGUAAUGCGCUGAAACAUGACCUGGUGAUUAGAGAUGGUUAAAAUUUUGGCUGAGAGCAGCCUCUUUCAGUUUUUCAAUUAGGAACUUAGAAUGUCUCAGUAACAUUUUGGAUUAAUAGCGUACAAUUCACACUAGUUCUGCAUUAGAUGUUCUGUGAUUGGCAAGUUGAUGUCAAAGAAUGUAUCUUGAUUGGUCUUCUAUUAACUUUAUUUGUUGCAACAGGCAAACAAUCUGCCAGUAACUAUUCUGCCGGGUGUUUAUGCUAACCAGAGCCAUGGUCAGAGUUCAUACUCUACUGAUGACUUGCCCAGGAAUGUAGUAAUGACAAUAAGUCCAGGUUCAGCUGUGAAGAGUAUGGAUUUCCACCCAGUGCAACAGAUUCUACUACUUGGUAAGCAACUAUUCAGGGAGAGAGGUGAUCUCCAAUCUAACUCGGAGCAAAUUAUUCUUUUUGAUUUUUUUCUUUCAAAGUUCAAUUUUAGCUUUCCGUUUAUUGACAAAUGAUUCCAUUCUUUCAGUUGGAACAAAUAUCGGUGAUGCCAUGAUAUAUGAGUUACCAAGCCAUGAAAGAAUUGCUAUUAGGAUCUUCAAAGCCUGGGACCUUGCGCAAUGUUCAGCGGCUCUGCAGGUUUGAUUUUCUUUUCUGCAUUUAAAUGAAAUUGAGUAUCAUGUGUAUGCUUUUGGGAGUAAUUCUUGUGAGUGAACAUGUGCCUUCUUAUUGUUCGAUAGGCGACUUUGUCCAAUGACUAUACAGCAUCGAUUAACCGUGUGGUGUGGAGUCCUGAUGGAACUCUUUUUGGUAAGUGUUGGUGUGUUGUUUAUGUACUGCUUUAUUCUCAUUUUGUGAAGGUGACCCUACUGAUUAAAUUUUUCAAGAAUUUAAAAAUGUUAACUCAGGUUUAUGCUACAGGUGUUGCAUACUCUAAGCAUUUAGUUCACAUAUACUCCUAUCAUGGUGGUGAUGAUUUAAGAAAUCACCUAGAGGUUUGUCCAUCAAACAAUCCUUUGAAUUUGGUUAUCUCAUAAUUUUUUUUUUGUUGAUAGUUUUAUUUCCAUGUCUUUUUCCAGAUAUCUUAAUUUAUAUGGGUAAAGAUCGACUUAUGAAAGGGCGUUUCUUGUUUUCAGAUUGAGGCACAUGCUGGGAGUGUUAAUGAUCUUGCCUUCUCAUAUCCAAACAAACAGCUCUGUGUUGUGACUUGUGGCGAGGAUAGGGUUAUUAAGGUAUGUGACUUUGUUACUUUAGUUUUCCUGCAGGUUCAAUGGCAGUUAUACGUAUAUUCAAUAUUUUACAGGUUUGGGAUGCUGUAACUGGGGCUAAGCAGCAUACAUUUGAGGGCCAUGAAGCCCCUGUAUACUCUGUUUGCCCGCAUCACAAGGAGAGUAUUCAGGUAAUGUUCAUGUCAUUUAUCAUCUUGUUAAUAUUGUAGGAUGAUGAACUUGCUACUUUUUUUUGGGUCCAUCUCUGUAUAUGUGUGCACACUAGUUUCCAGUCCUUGGGUCGCACAGAUGGUAGAGAGCUACUCAAGGCAUAUGGACUCGGGAUAUGAGUAGAUAAAUAUAAACCUUUUGUGUAGAUAUGUGAUUGACCCUUGUUAGUAUUUACUUUUACUAGAUGGGGACAAAAAACAAAUUAUUAUUAUAAUAGAUCAAACAAUUGGAAAUGGGGGAUUCUAACACAAUAAGGCCCAUGUUGUUUUAGUUAUUCAUAUAAUAUAACUUAAGUUCCAUGUUUAAUAGAUUGCAUUGAUAGUUUUGUGUCCAAGUUCUAAUAUCCUACCUUAUUUCUGUUUCCAGUUUAUUUUCUCGACAGCAACUGAUGGAAAAAUAAAGGCAUGGCUGUAUGAUAAUAUGGGCUCAAGAGUUGACUAUGAUGCACCAGGACAUUCGUCUACCACUAUGGCAUACAGUGCUGAUGGAACUAGGUAGGCAUAAUUUCUGAAUGCUUUACAGAGUCUUCUCCCUUGUUAGUGAUGUGAUGUUUAGUUUUCUUAUGCAUAAAACUCUGACAGACUCUUAUCUAUAAUCUCUGAACACAGGCUGUUCUCAUGUGGGACAAAUAAAGAAGGUGAUUCAUACUUGGUGGAAUGGAAUGAAAGUGAAGGAGCCGUAAAGCGUACCUACAAUGGUCUUGGGAAGCGGACUAUUGGGGUGGUGCAGUUUGAUACCACCAAGAAUCGAUUCCUGGCUACUGGUGAUGAAUUCAUGGUUAAAUUCUGGGACAUGGACAAUGUUAACCUUUUGAUUAGCACAGAUGCAGAUGGUGGACUGCCGGUAGGCAUUACAUAACACAUAUAUUUACGUUUUCAAUAAAGUCAUUCUUCUGCAAUCAUUACAUAACACAUAACACAUAACACUAAUCUUGGUCUUAAAUUUCUGCAGGCUUCUCCUUCUAUUAGAUUUAACAAAGAAGGAAUUUUGUUAGCUGUCUCAACAAAUGACAACGGUAUUAAAAUUCUAGCAAAUUCAGAUGGAAUGAGGUUGCUAAGAACAGUGGAGAGUCGUACAUAUGAUGCUUCCAGAGCUGCCUCUGUGGCUGUCGUGAAGGUAAAUUUUCUUUUGGGCAUAUAUUCAGAUUCUUUAGCUACUUUGGUAGUGUUCACAAUGUGUAUCUGCAUUAAUGUGCAGGCCCCAGCAAUAGGAACAUUUGGGUCGCCUAACAUCACUGUUGGAACAAGCACUGGAGAUCGAGCAGCUCCAGUGCCGGCCAUGGUUGGACUGGUGAGUGUAUGAUUAUCUCUGAUGGGUGACUCAAAUAUUAGUAGAAAUCCAUAUAAACCAAUACUAAUGGAGAAAGUAGAUAAUCUUGGUAUUUGAACCUGGUCAUAAUAUGUGUAUUAUAGCCAGAUGAACUGCUUUUGAAGCAAAUUUUUAUUUUUGUUUUAAUGGUAGAAAGAAGUGUUAUUAUGCUCAAUGAUUUAUUUUCUUUUGGGUAUUUGUGUAGAACAAUGACAGUCGAAGUUUGGCUGAUGUGAAACCUAGAAUUGUUGAUGAGUCGGUAGAGAAAUCCAGGAUCUGGAAACUGACUGAAAUCAAUGAAGCAUCACAAUGCCGGUCUCUGAGGCUUCCUGAUAAUUUAACUGCAAUGAGGGUAUUGAUUCUCUUUUUUGUCAUAAGUUGUUCAAAUUACUUAUUGUGUAACCUGACAUAAUUGUUAUUGCAGGUUUCUAGGUUAAUUUACACAAAUUCAGGACUCGCCAUAUUGGCAUUAUCAUCUAAUGCUGUACACAAGCUUUGGAAAUGGCAACGAAAUGACCGAACUGCGAUAGGGAAGGUAUAUAAUAUUGUGUAUUAGCCGGUUGCAUUUAAUAUUUUGUGCGUGCCCUUGAAGCUUGUGAUUCACAAAGAGUUUUGUUUCUUGUAGGCCACAGCUAGUAUUGUACCACAACUCUGGCAACCUGCAAGUGGUAUACUGAUGACUAAUGAUAUAAGUGAUACAAACCCUGAAGAUGCUGUUCCAUGCUUUGCCCUUUCAAAGAACGACUCUUACGUUAUGUCAGCUUCAGGGGGGAAAAUAUCCCUGUUCAAUAUGAUGACUUUUAAGGUAUGGUGGUUUCCCAAUUAUUUCUCAUUCGUCAUGUCAAGUGUGCUGUGCCGGUUGGUGGGUUAUGAUAAUAUACUGAAGUGCAUCAUGUAUGAUUCUGUGCAUGCUAAGAGAAAUCUGACCUCUCCCCUCCUGGGGGGGGGGGGUUGGUAACAGAAUCACUUGAACUUGUGAAUACUCAAUCCGCUUGUAGUUGGAUGUAGCUCGCCUGCUUAGGAUUCCCAAACCAUCAUAUUUGCUUUUAUGAUCUUCUGUUAUGUUUCCUGACUUUCCUCUAUUGUAAUUGACAAUGACAAUAUAAUGUAUGUCUUGUUUUAAUGCUGUUACGUUAUCUGAUUUGCAGACGAUGACAACAUUCAUGCCUCCACCACCAGCUGCCACAUAUCUGGCAUUUCAUCCCCAAGACAAUAAUAUCAUCGCCAUAGGCAUGGAAGACUCUUCCAUCCAAAUUUACAAUGUUCGGGUUGAUGAGGUAUUUAUUAACCGAACUGAAGAUUUGUUACUUGGUUAUGAUAGCCACAAUAUGGAAUUAUUGUGCUCUCUUUGUACAGGUUAAAACUAAGCUAAAAGGUCAUCAGAAAAGAAUAACGGGCCUUGCCUUCUCACAUGUUCUUAAUGUGCUUGUAUCCUCGGGAGCGGAUUCUCAGGUAUGAAUGUAGACUGUUUGGUUGUGUAUGUUUGUGCAUUUCAGUCUGUUACUGCUACGUGACAUCAUUAGCUUUAAUCACAAUAAGCCACACCAAAAGGAUUAGAGAUAGUUCCAAAAUAGUUUAUAGGUCUACGUCAUUGCAAAAUUCAAACUAAUUAUGUGGCAUUUCACACCUACCAUUAAAACCAUUUCAUUAGUAUAACCUUAACAGCCUGGAAUCCUUUUUUUUCCUUUUCAAAAUGCAUCUCGCCUGGAUGUGGGUAUGUGGCUAUCCGGCCUUUGUCCCAUAUCUCAGCCAAAGUCUGUUGUUAUUGUCUCUUGCUUCUCAUUCUUCGCUGAGGUUACUAUCUCCUUGCUUAAGCAAGGAAAGCAUGAUUAACUUCACUAGCUUUUGGAAGUCAUCAACGCCUUCAUUUCUGUUCUCUGCAGUUGUGUGUCUGGAACACAGAUGGAUGGGAAAGGCAAGCUAGUAAAUUCCUUCAGAUUCCAAAUGGGCGAGCUGCUGCCCCUCUUGCUGAUACUCGGGUUCAGUUCCACUUGGAUCAGAUACACUUGCUCGCAGUUCAUGAAACACAGAUAGCCAUUUACGAAGCACCAAAAUUAGAAUGCCUCAAGCAGGUUGAAUGUCAAUCUUUUCAACUCCCCCCCCCCCUCCGCAAAUAUUCUUUUGGCAUGUUGUUUAAUGCUUUGAUUACUGUUACUGAUGUUAACGGAAUGAUGUUUCUUAUAUAGUGGGUCCCUCGAGAAGCUAGUGGUCCAAUCACACAUGCUGCUUAUUCCUGUGAUAGCCAGUCAAUUUAUGUUAGCUUCGAAGAUGGAAGUGUGGGGGUUCUCACUGCUACAAACCUUAGAUUGAGAUGCCGAAUAUUACCGGCUGCGUAUUUACCUCCGAAUCCAAGGUAAUGCCUUCUUGUCUGUAUAUGGCAUUGUUGAUAUCUUUUGCCAAACUUCCUUUUCUGAUAAGAUAAUUGUGGCCUUUAUGUGGUGUGAAUGACAUAUCUAACAACAAAAUUGUAACAGCUUAAGAGUGUAUCCUCUUGUUGUCGCGGCACACCCAUCAGAUCCCAAUCAGUUUGCACUAGGUCUUACAGAUGGUGGUGUGCAUGUGCUUGAGCCAUUAGAAUCAGAAGGAAAAUGGGGCACCUCCCCUCCAACUGAAAAUGGUGCUGGGCCUAGCACCACUUCUGGAGCAGCAGGUUCGGAUCAACCUCAAAGGUGACAAUUUCAUGUGCAUCCCUUCACCAACAGACUUCUGAGUGUAUUUAUCCAUCCGUGUGCCAUUUCCUGGUCUCAACGUUUUUAUUCUUUUGUUUUAUGGGAAGCUGCGGAUAUAGGAAUCUAUAGUUUUAGGAUACUUGAAUUAACCCAAUAGAAUUGGUUAUAGUGGCAUCGGAGAGUAGGUUGUGUGAGGCAAUUUCCCUCAUUUAGGAUAAUUGGAGAAGUAUGAGUUCAUAGUUUUAAGUUUUGAAGACAAUGCAAUGUCGUCGAAAUCAGACAAUGUUCAGCAAAAGAUUUUAGUAUCUUUGAUUUGCGGUGACUGUUCAAUAUUUUUCUUUUUGUCUAAAUCAUUCGUUAGAAGUUUAUCCAGAUUUUAGUUUCUUGAUUGGGAAUUAAAAUCAGACAUGUUUAUUGAAAUUUAUAUAAGAUUGUAAUGUCCUGUUUUUAAUAAGAAAUUGGUUCAUUGCAUCAAAUGUCCUGUUUUGACAAGCCUUAUUUGUGCAUGCUAAGCCUAACGUAUGGCGGCCACCCAAGUUUAAGAGAGAUUUUAUUACGGUGGCUGGAUUUCUGUCUUCAUGGGAGAUUUUUUCCACUUCUACGUGGGGUGAUUUUUUUUCCUUUUGUGCGAGAAAGCAAAUGCUGUUUCACAUGUUUACACAGCAAGACAGCAAGGUUAUAACACACCACAUCAUUUACCCCAAAUUCAAAAUGUGGAUUGCAAUGAGAAACACUUGACGACAAUUAUAUUGAUCUCCGCCAAAAUGCUUAGAUAUCUACAAUUAUAUUGAUCGUUUAAAGUUUAAACUUGUAGCAAUCAAGCUGGAAUGUGUUCCUUCCUUACGUUGUUCACACUCCACAGUAAUAGAAAUUGAAACAAAUGAUAGACAACAUAAGUGGACGUUGGGCUCCUUGAUUAUUUGGUUUUUGAAUCUUGGUGAACUUGUUGUUCUGAAUUAUGCUGCUUUUUAUUUUUGCUUGUAAUACCGCAAUUGUUAAAACAACAUGAAUUUAAGAUACUUACUAAACAUGUUAAAAGUUGAAAAUGGUAGAAAAAAGCUGAUUAUGACUCAAAAACGUAAUACCAAACUAGACCUACAUUGAUGGUGCAAGUAUAUCUAGAAUUCUCUCUCGUUCCUUCUUCAUUUACCGUUUUUGCGUUUUCAAUCGCAUAACCAUGAUAGAACUUAGAAUGACCAUUAAUUGAAGCAAGAUAAAACAUUUAGGUACUGCAGUGCUUAAUCGGUUUGGAUUCCUUGUUCUAUUUCUCUGUGUGUAAUUUGUUUUGCCAUAUUAAGGCAGUUUAUGUAGCUUCUCUCUCCUCAUAUUCCGAAUGUAGAAUGAGCUAUUGUUUCUUAAUUUUCUAAGUUUUGGUUUCAGUCAACUUUGCUCGUCCUUUAUCCAAAAAACUUUGCUUGUUUUCUUGAAUGAAGCAGAUCCAUAUCUGCUUAGCAAUCCAAUGUGCAACGUCAAUUAACUAAUGCCAUGAGCGCAUUGUUGGCCUUUGGAGAACGGUUAUCAAUCACAUUAUCACAAGGCCAACAACAAAAUCCUGAUUUGCCGGGGAAGACUAGCUGAGAUAUAUAAGCUUUUACAUCUCUGUCACCCUCUUCGAUCAAUGUGGUUAUGGUCGUAAUUGGGAUGCUCAAGGUAACAAUAUAUAAAAAUGAAUCACUUGUCAGUUUUUUAUUUGAUUACUUGUCUGGUUUUAUUUUUAUUUUAUUUAUUUUAACUAGCUAAGACUUCUUUUUUUUUUUUUUUUUUUUUAAUUCAGACUGUUCUGACUUGGGAGGAUUAGGUGAUGCUAAUCGGAAAGAACGAUUCAGAUUCAAAAACAACACUAAACAGAUUAAGCUCAUCUCCUUCUCUGCACUCACAAGAACUCAUGUCGCAUUUGUCUGCACUUCUCCAAUCAACAAACCUCAACAGCUUGAGUAAGGCACACCUUGCAAAUUACAAUUGAACCCACCUUACUUUGGCUUUCCCUCCCUCUUUCCUUUUGCUUCUUGUGAUCUUGUCUAUUGAUAUUCAUAUACUCUUGUUUGUUCUUCAUACUGUGAUCAUCAAGAAAAAAAAACACCAAAAAAUAAAUAAAUCUCUUCUGUUUAAUUAUUUCCUUUCAUUGUGACAAUUGCUAAUUUGCUAUUUGCUUAUUCAUCCAGAAAAAAAAAAUAGUACAUCUCUUUAAUCCUUUAUUUUCUUGUCCUGAAUCCGUUGCUUUUUUCUUUUUUCUUUUUUCAUCUAUUCAAUUGUUCUUGAAUUGUGGUACACUCGGAAAAAAAAAAAUAGAACAACUCCUUCAUUUCUUUCCUUGGGGUUUGCUGGUUCGUUUCUUUCGUCUUUAACUCCUGGAUUUGGAUUUCAUCCGCUCAAUUAUUCCUUGAAGCUGUUGUUUCAUAAUAUUCUAAGUUAGGUUUCAGUCAGCUCUGCUCCUCUUUCAGCCAAGAAAAGAAACUCUCGCCUUACUUCCUAACGUCCUUCAUUUCUUUCUUUCUUUCUUUCUUUGAUCAUUCAAAGAACAAAACAAAAAAAAACGAAAAACAAAAAAGAGUAGACAAAUGGCAGAUAUUAUGAUUUCAGUUGUUGGAACAUUAGCAGAGUACACAGUCGCACCUGUUCUGCGACAGUUUGGUUAUCUGAUUUACUACAAGAGCAAUGUUCAAGAUCUCACCGAGAAGGUUACAACUCUGAUUGCCAAAAGAGAUGCGGUACAACUACGAGUGGAAGGAGCAAACAGAAACUUGGAGGCUAUUCUUCCUGACGUUCAGAACUGGUUGGACCGAGUAAACCGGACCAUACAAGAAAAGGAGGAAUGUUUUGAAAAAGGAAGAGUAGCCAAGGCAACAACAUGCUGCAGCUCCAGUGGGUGGUGUCCAAAUCUGAAGGUUCGUCAUUCCUUGAGUAUGAAAGCAACGAAGAUGGCUCCAAAGGUAGAUGUCCUCCUUACAGAAGGAGAUUUCUGGACAAUAUCAUGUCCUGCUCAUGCACAGAAGAUGGAUUAUCCAGCUAUGCAAUACUUUGAGGAUUCCACAGAGGCACCGGCUAAGCCCCAUGAAGCGGCUAGCUCCUCCUUAGGAACAUCCAACCCUACUAAUCCCCUUGCACCACUGAAUCUCUCUGAGCGUCUGGAAUAUAGGUUGCCUUAUAAAAAGGAUCUCUUGACGGCUCUGCAAGAUGACAAGAUCAGUAUGAUUGGCAUUUCUGGGACAUGCAGAGAUAUAGAUACAAUAACAACUAAAGAAUUCAUCAAAAGAAUGAAGCACAGAAAUCUCUUUGAAGAGGUUGUAAUGGCAGUUGUGUCUCAGGAUUCAGACUUGAAACGAGUACAAGGUGAAGUUGCAGAAAUGCUAGGCCUGAUAUUGGAGAAUGGGAGUUUGGUUGAACGGGCAGAGAGGCUACGAGCUCUAUUACUGGCAUCAGAUUCUAAGAGGAUUCUUGUGAUACUGGCUGAUGUCUGUGGAAUACUUGAUGUAGAAGCAAUUGGAAUCUCUCAUGUUGAUAUCAAUAAAAGCUGCAAGAUAAUGUUGGUUUCACAACUACCAGAUGUGUUUGGUGAAAUGGGGACUCGGAGCAAUUUCAGAUUGUUAAAACAUUCCACUCCUAUAGCAAGACCCGUUGAGUUUGAAUCAAGAAUUUCUGUCAUCAGAGAUGUAAUGGAUGCACUGACAGAUGAUGAAUCCAACCCCAUUGUAAUAUAUGGUAUGGGGGGUAUCGGGAAAACAACCUUGGUGAUGGAAAUUGGUGCAAAAGCAAGUGAAGUAGAUCUGUUUGAUGAUGUUGCAGUUGCAGAGUUUACUCAAGAACCUGACUUGUUCAAAAUUCAGAGUAAACUUGCAAAAGAUUUGGGUAUGGAGCUGAAGGAACAUGAUGACAGGGCAGCUAAGUUACGUGAAAGAUUAUCGGGAGGUGCGAAAAGAAAACUCGUAAUAUUGGAUAAUGUUUGGACACGACUGGAUUUGUGGGAAAUAGGGAUUCCAAUUUCUCGUGAUCAAAAAUGUUGUAAACUUCUGGUAUCGUCACGAAACCAAGAUAUCUUCACAGAGAUGAAAACCAAAAAGAAUUUCCACAUUGGUGGUUUGCCAAAACAUGAUGCCUGGAGUUUGUUUAAGAAGGUGGCAGGAGGUUCCAUUGAAUCCGAUCUCGAGCUGCUUCCUACAGCAGAACAAGUUCUUAAUGAAUGUGAUGGCUUACCGGUUGCAAUAUCUACAGUUGGAGGGGCACUACAAGGUAAAAGCAUCUCAAGAUGGAGAAAUGCACUGAGAGAACUAAGGAAUGCUUGCCCUAAAAACGUGCCAGGAGUGAUAAAGCAAGUAUAUGGGAAAAUAGAGUUCAGCUAUGAAUGUCUACCAAGUGAGCAAGCCAAGUCAUGUUUUCUGCUAUGCUGCCUAUUUCCAGAGAGUACAGAUUUGCCGAUUGAAAUGUUGGUUAGCUUUGGGAUUGGGCUUGAUCUUUUUAAAGGCAUUGAUUCAAUAUCUGAAGGGAGGGACUGCGUACAAGAAUUGGUUGACACACUCAAAUGUCGUUCCUUAUUGUUAGACUCGGAUGAGAACGGCUGGGUAAGAAUGCAUGAUGUGGUGCGUGAUGUAGCCAUGUAUAUAGCCUCUGAAGAGUUGGCACAAAUGAAGAAUGAUCAUCAGCUUAAAAGGAGAAUCAUGUUGAGGCAAGGAGCGGAAUUGAAGCACUGGCAGCGCAAGAAUAAUGUUAUCACGGAAUCUACUCACUGUUGUUUAUUGACCACUAAUAUGAGUAGUACAACUGAGCUUUUACUGUUGGUGACCGCAGAAUAUGGGCUAAAGCUGCCGGCCACAAUUUUCGAUGGAAUGGAAGAUCUCAAGGUUUUAAUGAUCAUGGGUUCAAUUCUUCCAUCCCUUCCACUCUUAAAGAAUCUUCAAACCCUCAUUCUACUGAGUUGUGAUCUCGUUUUUGAUGUGCUUGGAGAGCUACGGACACUCAUGGUACUCGAUUUAAGUGGAUCUGACAUCGAACAGUUGCCUGAAUCAUUCAAAAAUUUAUCCAAUCUGAGACUCUUGAAUUUGAAGGGAUGUAGCAGGCUUAAAGAAAUCUCACCCGGUGUUAUAUCGAGUUUAUCUCGACUAGAAGAAUUGUACAUGUAUGAUAGCUUUCAACAUUGGGUGGUUGACAAACUGGGCUCAGCAGAAACAACCAAUUGGAUCUCUCAAUUGGGGGAUGCGGAAGAAGUCGACAUGUGGAAGAGACUCAACAGAUUGGCCGUUGCCUCAAUAACGUCUGAUCAGGUGUCUCAACUGGAGGAUGAGAAAAGCAGCGAACCAGAGGAAGACGACGACCUUGGAGAUCUGUAUGCAGAGUAUGUUAAAGAAUUGGAAAACUACGACCACCUCACAAGGUGGGCCGACUCUAAGGACUGGGGAGUUGGGUUACUUUCGGAGUUACUCUCCUUGUCAUAUUUGACUACUUUAGAAGUGGUUUUACCACCAAUUGACAUUCUGCGAACCAGUAAGCUGUUUCAUAAGCUUGAAAGAUUUAAGAUCAGCAUUGGAUGGGGGGAUCAUGAAAACUUGGAUUACUUGGAGGGUAAGGGUAACUACUUGAGAGUUCAUGAUCUUAAUGCAAGCUCCCUUGCGGCUACUGGAAUCAGUUUGUUGUUCAAGAAAACUGAGACUCUCGAGUUAAAAAUGAAGAAUUUGAGAGAUCCUCUCAAUGUGCUGGAUGUAAACUGUUGUGCAAACUUGGAGUCACUUCAACUGGAAGACUGUGAUUCUCUAGAAUAUCUGAUUGACAUGACACUUGUGGAACAUACUCGACGAAGCGUCUUCCCUGUCUUGAAGGACCUGAGAAUCACCGGAGCAAAAAUGCUGAAAGAGAUUUUUCAUGGUGACCUGCCGCCGGGGUCGCUUCCGAAACUAGAAGUUGUAUUUUUAAUGGAUCUACCUGCAUUGACGACUGUUUGGACUCUUGAAUCUGGUUAUGUGGGAGAUUUGGCAGUUCUGCGUUCAAUGAACAUAAAGAGUUGCAAGUCACUGGAAGCAAUUUUUGGCUUGGAAGGAUCGGAGCAUCAUGUUGAAGAGAUCAAGUUUCUUAGUUUGAAAGAUUUGAACCUUGAAUAUCUACCAAGCUUCAUCGGAAUCAGCAAAAGUACUUGUAAAGGACCGGAAAGGGAACCAGAAGUCAGCAGUCUCUACUCAACUAGUUCGACCGUUGAAUAUUCACAUUUCUCUGACCCCAAGGUGUUUCUUUUCGGAAAUAUUUUUCCUUUUAAUUUGCCACAUAUUUAGGUUUAAAUAAGAGUUUUCUUAAUUUUUCACGAAUUCUGAAAUGAUGGAAUUUAGAUAUCUAUCAAUUGAAAUUCCGUUAAUUGCAAUUUCUGUUGUUUGGUUAUGUAUAUUUGAGAUUUGAAGUGUGUGAUUGAUUAAGAAAGUUUAAAAGAAAUAUAAAAAAUAAAAAUUUUGAAAAAUAAAAAUUGAAUCCUGCAAAGGAAUUUGUAAAUGACACAUAUUUUUGGUGGAAUUCAAGUGAAAAAUUUAAUCAAUGAAUUCCUUCAUUUUCAAUUCCAUCAAAAUUUAAAAUUCUCCUGAUAAUGACAAACAAAGGAAUUGACUUUUAGGAAUUAUGAAAUCUUUACUUUCAAUUAAAUUCUAGGAAAUUUCCCCACAUCUUAACACACCAUAGAAGUAAUUUCCAUCUACUUACGAUUUUUUUAUUCGCUACUGUUUUGUCUAAUAACAUAAGUCUCUCAUUUUUUAAAAUUUUAUUUGCUAUUUAUUUAUUAAAAACAAUUACAAUAAUAUCUUUAAUCUAAUACAAAAUUAACACAGACGAAUUGAGCCACUAAACUACAACAUUUGUAUCUCGCCAAAAAAAAAAAAAAAAAAAACUACAACAUCUGUAGCCUAGCUAGGUGCCAUUUGGAAUUCCCAUGUUUACUGUACUUGAGACUAGUUUUGCUAAUUGCUCUUGUUACCUAGUUUAAUAUCUUUAAACUAGUUUUGAGACUAGUUUCUUGUGCCUCUAUGUUUUAGGAAUAUGUUCUAUUUCCUGUAGGUGCACCUUGUAGGUUACUAGGCUUAAGGUAUUUUAUGAGUACGAUUACUAAAGGGUAGUAUAUCCUAUGUACUAGGUGAGGUAUGCCUCACAACUACUUGUUUAUGUUUAUCGGUAGAUGAUAGCGAUAGAGUAUGUAAUGACUAUUUCAGGCCUUCGUUUUACCCAAAUUUAUGAAAAUCGUAACCGACUAUUUAAAAAAAAAGAAGCUCUUGUUACCUUCUAUUUCUUCUAUAAUGUUGGUACCCUAUCAACUAUGAUUCUCUACUCGGAGCGGAAGAGGCGGUGACUAGCUGAAGAAAGGGAGAAUUGAUUUGUGUUGUCAGGUCCUCUCUUGGAUCCCUUACUUUGAUCGUUUCAUUACUUGCUUCCAAAAUACAAUGAUAUUUGUUUACCCUAAACCAUCAAAAUUAAAACCAUAGCUUUAGAGAGGAAAAGGGCUCCAGUAAAGUACGAACUGUUGGAACGAUGAGUGAUUGUGAAAUUUUCAUACUCAAAACACUGAACCCUUUCCUGAAUUGUGUUAUCUUUAAUUUACACCAUGGAAAACAGCUCUACUAACUUCUCAUCCCUGGAAAUGAAUUGGGGAGGGUCAAAUUUGAUGUCUUGUGAUGAGGUAUUGAGGAACUUGUACUCGACCAAAACGUAAAAAGAAAUGUUUGGUUCAGUGAUGGUUUCAAUUUGCCUGGCUGAGUCGCUGUGUGUUUGAGUUUGAGGGUGACUCAUUGGGGAGUCUCACAUUAACAGCAUUUCAUGCAGAAACACAUUUUGGGCGAUGAGUGGUCUCAGCUCUCUCCACACAUGGUCUCUAUCUCAUGUGCAUUUCUUGGACAGUUCUGCUUUGGUUAUUGUGGCUGAUUUAUUUCGUGGUUCUAGUUCAACUUUGUAUCGAGAAACUGACUGUGAUUUUGCAAAGGUAAACCUCAUCUCAAAAGUAGCUGGUUAUAUAGGUGCAUCCAGUUUUUAUCAAAGGUGCAUAUGUUUUGAUGAAGGGUGUCUGCCAAUCUCUUUCAGGCAACUUAAGAUCUUGGACAUCAAAUGUUGUUUGAACAACUACGAUAUUCCAACAGAGCAUAUUUCCUCAAAAGCGCACUUCGAAUACAACAUGGAUUAGCCAUAUUAUGAUAAAGUUAAUGAGCGGGAUCGUUUUCAUCUAGCAAUCUUAUUCGAUCAGUAGUGAAAUUUCUUCAAUCUAUCCAACAUUGUUAGUGAUCCAUUUUCGUCAUCAUACAAAAUUAAAGUUUUUUUUAUACAAAACUUUACCAAACACGUGACCGUAUCAAUUUCAAAAAGAAGAUUACCAAAUAGUAAAUUAAGUUUUAUUACAGGUAACUAUCUAGACAGUUGUAUACAGAAAAGAUAGUUAUUUUAUAUUAUAUUAACAUUUUUAUUAGAAUUAGAUUAGUAUUAGUUAGUAAUUUCAGCUCAGUGAGUCAUUUCUUCCGUGAUGAAUUGUUGGAAAAGAAUGAAAGAUUUCUAGGCAACCAACAUAUCCAAACUGCUAUAUGCCUCAUCAAACUGCUCUUGCAUUAGAUUGUAUGAGCGCCUUCGAGUUGAAAGAGUCUUCUAACUGAUCAAUGGUUUUUAGUUGUCUAUCUCACUUGAUCAAAGAAAAAUUGUCUGUCUCACUGUGGUUUGUUUUGAGAAUUAGAUUAGUAGUAGUUAGUGAUCUCAGCUCAGUGAGUCAUUUCUUCCGUGAUGAAUUGUUGGAAAAGAAUGAAAGGCUUCUAGCUAGGCAACCAACAUAUUUCAACUGCUAUAUGCCUCAUCAAAUUGCUCUUGCAUUAGAUUGUAUGAGGCGCCUUCGAGUUGAAAGAAUCUUCAACUAAUCAAUGGUUUUUAGUUGUCUAUCUCACUUGUUCAAAGAAAACUUAUCUGUCUCAAUGUGGUUUGUUUUGGGAGUGUAGAUGACCUUCAUCUUUACCUUGUACGUCUCUUUCAAGACACAAAAUGGCGAGAAGAUGGAAUUAAAAAAAAGUUAGUUUUGGUGAUAUUGGUUGUAGGUUAACUCAUUUGGAAUAUGCAGCAUUCCUGUCUCUUUCAAUGUAGAAAUUGUUGGCUGCAAAACGCAGAAUCCCACAUUCGCCUUAAACAACAUUAAAAUGAAGCCCAUCAGAGUCUUUUCAUCUUCCUUCUGAGCCUUUUCAUUGUAUGAGCCCUUUAUCAAAUUGCUCUUGCAUUUGCAUUUAGGAUUAAAGCAAUAUGAGUUUAGUGACAAUUAAAAUCAUCAUACGGAUAUAUACUUUCAAGCCAAAGGUGUUAUCGAUCAUUUAUUACAUUAUUAUGUACUUUUUGCUAUAGAAUGUUGACUGAUGCCCACACAUCAUUUUUCAAGGCAGUCUCCAUACUUCAGCAGGUAUGCAACUUCACUUGGAUUGCUAUGAAAUCAUAUAUUCAUGAGCUAAGGUGUCCUUGUAUAUAUGAUCAGUGUCCAAUCCGAUUCUAUCAUUGUUUCACCCAACUCUAUUCCUCUCUUCACUCUACUUAUGCGUCUAAUUGUUGGCUUCCUUCAUCUACAUCUUUGAUACUGCAGCUAUGCGGACAUGACCUUUUUAAAUUGUGAACUUGGCCGAACACAACGUGCCCUACGACAUACCCGGGCAUUGUUAACUUUGUCAUCUGGAGGAGAUCACCCUGAUGUGGCUGCAACAUUGUUAACUUUGUCAUCUGGAGGAGAUCACCCUGAUGUGGCUGCAACAUUGUUAAAUUCAUAAAUAUAGUGUUUAGGGUUUAGGGUUUAGGGUCGUCUCCACCUAAGGAUUAUGUUCCUCCUUUGCCGCAAGGACCUCCGCACUCGAGUCUUCCAGAGGAGCAUCAUAAUCGACUAGUUUUCGUUCCUCCUGUUGUUUGAACUUUGUACCAUUUCCACCUCUUGUUCUACAAACAAUCACUGGUUAUCGACACUCAACUCAUACACACGAAACAUAAAGAGAAACUAAAAAAACAAUAGUCAUUGCACCAUGCGUAAAAAAUUAACUAGCUACUGGAAAUGGAGAACAACAACCCUAUGAUAGAACAACCAAAACCAGUGAAACUAUACAUAAAAGACAAUCAUGUUCUAUAAUAUCAGCAUUUUCAUUAGUAUUAGAGUAGUUUUAGUCAGUGAUCUCAUCCUAGUGAGUCCUUUUUUCCGUGAUGAAUUGUUGGCACUGGUCCAACAUUUUGUCUCUGUAGACCGAGGAUCAAGGGGGACUCGAUCAGCGGGACAAGGAUUGUAACAUGAGAGAAGCAAGGGGAUCAACAUCUUUCAAAUAUACAACAUGGAUUGAAAACAAGAUUACCAAACAGUAAAUUGAGUUUUUUUUUUUUUUUUAUAGCUAUCUAUUUAGACAUCCGAGUUUUUUUUUAUAUAGUUGAUUAUGCACACAUCAAUACCAAACUAAGUCUUACUAACAGUUAAGUUAACAAGUUAGUAACAUAAAAGAGUGCCGCUAUCUUCUCUCCCUGCAUCGUAACCCUACAGACCAGAGUUGAGUACUUGCCCGGUUGCGUCGUCGCUGGCGACGACCUCUAGUCUGUAUUUUAUUUAUUUAUUUUUGAAUAUUUAUUUUUUCAUUUCAAGGAUUUUUGAAGGUUUUGCCAUGCUAACUGUCGUUUCAAUUUCUAGUGCAAAAGCAAUAGAAAAUAUGUUGGUGACGAAUUUUUGUACCUCCACGGAUGUUUGUAGUUAGAUUGCAUAGCAUGAUUUUUUUUUUUAGCAAUCAAAAAUUUAUUAAAUAAAGAAGAUAGAACCUAAAAGGGUGACAUGUUUUGAUUGCGUAGCAUGUUUCAUAAAGCAUAAGCGCGAAUCAUAUUAGAAACGAUGUGAUAGAAGAUCAGUAAAAUGUUAUGAUCAGGCUUAUGAAUGAGAUGAGGGGAUCAAAGAUGAAUUUUAUGGCAGUUUUAAUGGGAAGAAGUAUUCGCCCGGCGAGGUUCAACGAGUAUUCUCUCUCUCUCUCUCUUGUUUGUUGUUUAGUGUUUACAACUUUACAUUAUAUAUAUUGUUCAUCUUGAACUCAUGUGUUCAGAUUUUGAAUGACAUACAUGUAUGUGUUUUUCUUCAGGCUGAGGUGUGCCAUAUAUUGUUUUUGAUUCAUUUCAAUGUCCUUGUAUCUCAAAAUGGACUUAUCAUGCCCGGUGAGCUGAUUCUCUACUUCAAAACUAUAUCAUAUGUGUUUAAAAUUAUUUUAUUUCUUAGUUGGUUGAGAGAAUUUUUGGCUGCAUAGUUAAUGUUUUUAUCAUGUCUUGGUGUAAUAUUAUACUUUAUUAGUUGAAUUUCUAGACCUUGCAGAUUGUUGAACUUUUUUUACUACCCAAAUGUGAUGUUGGUAGGUUACACAGUCCGCUUUGUUAGUAUACAUCAAAAGCAUCAUUUGUUUGAAACCCCAAGAUUUUCAAAACAAGCACCUGUGUCCUUUCUGGUAUACUUAUCGGAUGUAAUUCUUUGGUAAAAGGAAAGACAUGUUAUAGUUGUCCCAAUUUCAUUGCACAAAUUAGAAUGCAGCAGUUCUAUACAAGCGUCUGUUAUUGGGUUUUAAAAUCAGCUCAUACUUUUCUUAAGUUGGCAUUGGUUCCUUCAGUAGUGCUAGUACAUUGGUUGGUUCCUAUUCAGUAGUGCUAGUUGCUUUCAUUUCAAGGAUUUAUGAAGGUUUUGCCAUGCUGACUGUUAUUUCAAUUUCUCGUGCAGAGCAGUAGAAAAUCCAUAACUGGUGUAUGAACUUAAUGUUGGUGACAAAUUUUUGUACCUCCUGGCAUCCACAAAUUUUUCUCCGCCAAAAUGCUCAGAUUUCUGUAAUUAUUUGACACCUGAAUGCUUAAGCUUAUAGCAAUCAAGCUGGAAUGUUUUCAUUCCAUAAGUAAUCAAGCUGGAAUGAAAAAUUCCAUAUACUGUGCAUACACUCCAUAGUACAGAAAGAAAGACAAAGGUCGACAAGAUUAGGUAGUAUAAAAAAUCUUCCCAAAAGAAAGGAAGUAAAGCAAGGUAUCUCUGCAUGAAGCCUUACGUAUUCGUUACUCUGCAUUGCAAGGUAUUUGCAAUAUGUGAUAAAGAAGAUCCAGUACCAAUUUUAAUAGGGUGCAUAGUAAUACCCUCCUGGCUGCGGCAUCCCAUAAGGCAUCAUUGGUUGAGGACCAUAGUAGCCAGACCCGCCGGAAAGCUUGGCUAAACUCACUUGCCCUUGCAUUCCAUCUUUUCCAUAUUGCUGCCAAAGAAGCUGUUCUUGUGUAAGCAAGUGUUGCUUCCUCUCCAUGUCAGCUAUUUGAACAUAUGAAGGAGGUGGUACAGCAAGGGAGGCAGCAAAAGGAUCUUGCUGUCCCACAGCUUGGACUGUCCCAUCCGGUGCAGGCAGGGCGAGCACUGGCGUAGAAUUCUUGCCUGGUGGCAAGGGCAUUGCCACACUACUUGCACUCCCACCGCUCAAUUGUGAGGCGCUCACAUGCUGCCUUACAGUCCCUUGAUCAUACAUUCCAUUCAAUAGCAACGGAUCAAAACCACCAGCCAAAUCAGCCUUCUGCUUCGACAGAUUACUAACUGUUUCAACCAAUGCCAACUCCCAAUCUGCUUUACCGCUCUCAGCAGCCGGCGUCUGCCACGCCGAGGUCACUUCAGCCUCUCCAUUUGAAUCAAAUGCUUCCCAGGACCCAUUUGGAUUAGUAGCCGGAGGUCCAGAGAACAAUGCCAAAGCCAACUUGUUUCCUUGCUCAUCAGCUGUAACUCCAUCAUCCCUCAAAUUCACCAACUCAUCAGUCACCCUCUGAGGCUUAUCAGCAGGCUUAGGCUGCACUACAGGUGCUGGCUGAGGAGGACUAGGAGUAAAACUCUCUGGCGCAGGAAGAGCCUUGAUCUCAUUCAUAUCCUGUUUCACCUCCUCCUCAACAUAAACCCUCUCCUCCCUCUCAGGACUACUCUUCCCCCCAUUUUUCUUCUCCUUCAAGUAACCCUCAAGUGUCCCCAACAGCUUAUCAGUUAUCCUCAACACCUCCGGAUACUCAGACGUCCUCGCAAUCCCCACAUCCUUACACCAGUUAUAAAACAACAACAGCUCAUCAAUCAUCUUCGCCGCAUUAACAUAAACAUCAAACGCCUUAACACACUCCCCAUACUCCAUCUCCCCAAACCUGUCCAACAACACCCCCAGCGCCUCGCAUAUCUCAAUGUACAAGCUAAAACUCUCCUUCACAACCCCGUAAAGCGCAAUGAUUACUAAUCUACUGCUCUUCGCCAUCCCGGCCGGCCUGCAGGCCAAAACUCUGUGAAGAACUCUCAACAAAUCAUUCAACCUCAACAGCACUCUCUCCGGCUUCAUCUCCUUUACCGGAGUAACCGUAAACCGCCUCCCUCCGUCUUCAUAUUUGUUAUCCACACCCCUUGAAUUCCUCUCCCCCACCUCAAAUUCCACUUUCUCAUCCAAAUACAUACCAAAGCUCUUCACAAACAAAGCAUGAUCCCACGAAUUCGAGUGCGCCUCGUCACGAAACCCCUGCAUGUUCAAAACCCUCACCCCUCUCCUCGCCGCGUGCACGAUCUCCUCCGCGAAAAGCGCGUGGCCGUCGAUCAGGACCCGGUGCACCAGCAUCAGCCCCUUCAGCGCCACAAUCCAGUCGCGCGUCUUGCUCAGACGCUUCGACACCGUCGCCACCGCCGCCGUUAUGUAACCACGCGACUGUGACGUGAGGCUGACGAUCUCCCGGAUGUACUUCUCGUCAGCGGGGUCAUCGUCGUGCGUGGUGGCUUUGACCACCAGGACUUCCAGGUCCGGCGCGAAGGUGCCGGCGACCUUCGCCAGGCUAAUGCUGGUCUGGUCCUUGACGGCGCCGAUCGCCUUGCGGAUCGUGCUGGGCGCCAUUGUGUGUGAAGAACUGAAGAUUCUAGAUGAUUCGAGAUUUCAAAGAAAAAAGAAUCGACCUUUUACCAGGAUUGGAGUAUUGGACUGUGUUUUAUUUUGUUGGUGGAGGAUGAUCGGACGGCGGAGAUGAGGUGUGUAUGAUCGGAGAGCGGCGGUGAUUUUGGGGCGUUGGAGCUAAGCGAAAGGAAGAGUCUUUAACAGAGACUGAAGAUAAAGCGCGUCUUUGGCUUACUGAUUCUUUGGGUUUUCAGAGGGUUUAAUAAUUAAUAUUUCAGUAAAAAUAUAGAGCAUCGUAUCUUCAGAUACAUAUACAAAUUUUUAAGAUUAAAAAAAUAAUAUAGAAACAUAACGGUCAAACAUAUAAAUCGUUAUAAACAGUUAAUAUUGUGUCGUGUAAAUACACAUCAUGCAUACUUUUGUUUUUAAUAUUUUUAAAUGGUCCAUUCGACACAUUACUUCUUUGAUUCAAUACAUAAUCAAGUAAUUUUUUUAAAAAUUUUCCGUUAUGAUGAAUUUCUCUGUUGAUACUGAGUAAUCUAGUUCCACUGUCUAGUAACAUCUGAAAAUUUAUUAGAAGGUCUGUAAUUAAUAUUAAUAAGUGUUCUGCUUUACUUAGUCUUCCUGGGGUUUUCAGGGGGGUUUAAUCGGACAUUGAAUCUUCUAGAGGAGUGGAAUUUUUGUAAUUAAUGUUUUUUCAUUUUAUUUAUUUUGAUGUUUUUAAAUGGUGGAGCCCCUUACCCGUCAAGACCCACACAGGCCUGACCGCGCAGACGCGUGUCAUCUCCGUCUAGCCGGCCAAAAAUAAUAAAGCCAAUAUUUUGUUUUUCGAAAAAUAGGAUUUCAUUUUCAUAGAAAAUCCAACUCCGAAAAAUAUAUAUAGACCAAAUAUCCGAAUCGUGAAACCCCAAAGCGCCUAAUUCCGAUCGCCACCUUUCUCAGCUUCACACAAACACCGUCGCCUCUCUCUCUUUCUCUUCCUUCUUCGGCCGAGUCGACUCAGCGAGUCACAAUGUUCUUCCUCUGAGUCCACUCAGUGGACACCAACCACCCCGUCAGCCUCGAAGACGCCGAGUUCACCACCAUCUCCGCCGCCGCCGCCGCGCAAUCAAACUCUAGGUUCAGCGAGCGGCAUGAAAUCGCGCAUCUGGUCGGAAGAAGAAGAGGCAGCUCGUCGUUGCUGCCGAGCCACGGCGCCGCUGACUCCUCUCUCCUCUUCGUCGUCGCCGUCCCGAACUACCUGUCGUUCAACGACUUCAUCCGCUUCUGCGAGUCCCGCCUCGACCAUGUCGCCGAGCUCGUCUUCAUCAGGUAGCGUUCUCUUUGUUUCACUGAGAGAAUCUGAACCUUUUGGAGUUCUGUUAAUCAAUAUUGAUUUGCUAAAAAGUUCUAGUUAAAAACUGAAGAGCAGUAGAAAAACCAUAGGAAGAAUUCGCGUAGCUAAUCUGAUUGGUGUAUAAGUGGUGUUUAAGUGGCGUAUAAGUGUAUAAAUUUGAUAAAAAAGUUUCCCAGGAAAUCCAUAGCAAACCGGAAUUCGUGUCUAAGAAGGAAUUAAACUUGUUAGUGAUUACUUUCUUAGGCAGAGAUUGAAAAUCCGUGUCCAAUACGGAGUGCUAGUUGCUUCAGUAUAUAUAACGACCCUACUAUUCAAUUGACUGCAUAGUUUGUUAGCUUAUCACUACGUCCCUGCCAUUCACUACAUUCUGAAAUUAUGUCUGUGGUAGGGGCAACACACACCAUCGUACAAGGCGUGGGAUUUGCUGCAGAAUUGCAUCCGUGCAGCUUGGUUGAAAUCUCAGGACCCGAGAUGAUUCCACCUAGUGAUGAUGCAAUUAUGAUUCGAUUUAUGUUCUACAAGGAAACCAUGCACACUUUUGCAGAAACUUGGACACAUGGUCAAGUUGAAGAGUAUUUGAUGAUCCCCGAAUCCCCAACAAAAGCCAUUACGGUCCGUCCUUCUGAGUUCUAUCACCAGGAUGCUGCUAGUAUUGUCAAAUCUCCUUCAGGGCGUAUGAUGAUAGACUUCAUCGACACCCAUUUCCCUCCAGAAGACAAACAAGUGCUAGUGCCUAAACUUGUGGCAACAAUAAUUGAUCUUGUUCAAGUUCCAAUCCAUCAGAAAGCAAGGCUUUUGUUGAUGUGCGACGACGCGACUCGAUUCAAAUUAUGCAUUGUUUUAAUGGUGGCGAAGGAGUGACUUAUAGGGGUAGGCAGAUGCAUUAUCUUAAGGCUAAAUGGCGUACGGAGGGUUAUUUUAAAGCUACAAAACGUGGGACAUGUGCUAUUUGUACGGACGACUAUGAGAUCGAACGUGAUGAUGGUAUUCGAUUACCUUGCUUGCAUGUUUUUCAUGGACAUUGCAUUUACGAGUGGCUGAUGAUCAAUCCCCGCUGCCCUGUUUGUUCCCAUACUUUCACACCUGAACUAGCACCGUGGUUUAAUCCACCUUUGCAGGACGGAAUAUUCAUCUCACAUUCCUCUAUUGGUUUAGUGGAUGACCAAGUAAUUUAUUUUUCUCCUAAAAAAAAAAAGAAAAGUAGAUAAUCAAGUCAUUUCUCACAUUCCGAUGCACUCUGAUGGUUUAUUGGAUAAUCGAGAAAUUUCCUAAGAGCUUUCCAUUCCAACGCAUUUUUCUGUUGGUUUAAUGGUUAAUCGAGAAAUUUCCCAAGAACUAUCUGUUCCGACGCAUUACUCUGUUGAUUCAGUGCAUGAUCAAGAAAUUUUUCAAGAAUUUUCCGUUCCGACGGAUUUCUCUGUUGAUUCACCGAGUAAUCUAGUUCCGAUGUCUAGUAACAUCUGGAAAUUUAUUAGAAGGUUUGUCAAUUGUAAUUAAUAUUAAGAAGUGUGCUGCUUUACUUAUUCUUCCUAGGGUUUUCAGGGGGUUUAAUUGGACAUUGAAUCUUCGGAAGGAGUGGUUUUUUUGUAGUUAAUAUUUUACUAAACAUGUAAAAUUAUGUGUGUAAUGGAUCAUCCUCCAGCUCGUCUAGGCCCACGACGGCCCAAUCGUCUAGACGCGUCACCUCUCCACCUCCACCUAGCGCACUAAAAACCCAAGAGUGCAGUUAUUGGGACCUCUAAAUUUGCUCUCUAUUAUGAAUUAUUAACUGACAUAUACAUCCUCAUACAUAAUGACUAUUAAAGACAAUAAUUAUACAAAAUGAAAUAUUAUAUUUAUUCUCUUUAGACUUUCCAAUUCAAUGAUAAUUGAUUCCAUUCUUUAUGAUUUUCCUUAUAUAUUCUUGUUUUCCUAAUUUCUUUUUAUUAAAGAAUAUAUAUAGUUUAUAAGAGUUAAAAAAAAAAAAAAAUUAAUAUCGAUCAUGUGACAUAAAAUUUUUGUAUUAUCAUAUACACAUGUUGAACGCAUAUACUUGCAAGGUGCAUAAAUAUUUUUGACAAUAAAAUAAAAUAAUAUCUAUCGAUUAGAAAAAUAUAUAUUUAUUUAAAAUAAUUUAUUAUGAGGUACAAAAUAGAGAUCAAAUUAUUCAAAAGAAAAAAAAUGGAGAAAAAUAUCACGUACAAAAGAGAAAAACAAUUAAAAAGAUAUAUAGAAUAAUUCAUGAUAGAAUAUUUUCUUGCAUGAAAAAAAUAAUAAAAAAAUGAAGGUAAGGAUAAUGGAUGUUAAAAAAAAAGAAAAAAAGAAAAAAUAUAGAAUGAGAGGUCUAUUGAGUGAAUAAGAGGUAAUUAAUUGAUUGAAAUAUAUGUCAAUAAAUAAUUAAGGUUAUGUUAGGAAUUUAAAUGAGAUCUAGUGAGCAAAUGCUUAUAUUAAAAAGUUAAAAAAAAUAUGUACAGAGAAUUUAAGGUAUAAUAAGAAAAUUUAGAGAUUCUAAUAACCACACUCAAAACCUAAAUUCUUUUAUAUUUUUUGUUAAUUUUUUAUUCAUAUAUUUUUAAAUGAUGGAGCCCUCACAAAGCCCCAGACCGUCUAGACAUGACACAUCUCCACCGUGCCCACUAAAAGCCCAAUCUGAUUAAGUUUUUAUUUUAUUUUAUUUUUAGUUUGAUGUUUUUAUACGGUGGAGCCCUUUACCCGUCUAGGCACACACAGGCCUGACCGCGCAGACGCGUGUCAUCUCCAUCUAGCCCGCCAAAAAUAAUAAAGCCAAUAUUUUGUUUAAUUUGUUUCGAAAAAUCCAUUUUCAUAGAAAAUCCAACUCCGAAAAAUAUAUAUAGACCAAAUAUCCGAAUCGUGAAACCCCAAAAGCGCCUAAUUCCGAUCGCCACCUCUCUCAGCUUCAAAAACAAACAUCUCUCGCCUCUCUCUCUUUCUCUCCCUUCUCCGGCCGAGUCGACUCAGCGAGUCACAAUGUUCUUCCUCCGAAUCCACUCAGUGGACACCAACCACCCCGUCAGCCUCGAAGACGCCGAGUUCACCACCAUCUCCGCCGCCAAGUCCCCCGCCGCCGCCGCGCAAUCAAGCCCUAGGUUCAGCGAGCGGCGAGGAAUCGCGCAUCUGUUCCGAAGAAGAAGAGGAACCUCGUCGUCGUUGCCGAGCCACGGCGCCGCUGAGUCCUCUCUCCUCUUCGUCGUCGCCGUCCCGAACUAUCUCUCCUUCAACGACUUCAUCCGCUUCUGCGAGUCGCGCCUCGACCAUGUCGCCGAGCUCGUCUUCAUCAGGUAGCGUUUUCUUGUUGCUUCUCUGAGAGAAUCUGAACCUUUUGGAGUUUUGGAAUUGAAAUUAAGCUCGAUGAAUGCGUUUUUGUUUGAAAUUAGGGUUUUAUUGAUAUACGUGGCUGUAUUUGCCUCACAAUGGAGUAGGUAGACUAACUUAGUGUGUGUUUAAUUGGAUUAGGAACGAUGCGAUUGAAGAUCGGUACAGUGUUGUGAUAAGGCUUAUGAAUGAGUUGAAGGCAGAUGAAUUUUAUGGCAGUUUUAAUGGGAAGAAGUAUUCGCCUGGCGAGGUUCGAUGAGUCUUUGCUCUCACUAGUCUGUUGUUUAUAUAUUGUUCAUCUUGAGCUCAUGUGUUCUGAUUUUGAAUGAUAUAUGUGUUUUUCUUCAGGCUGAGGUGUGCCAUAUAUUGUUUCUGACUUCAGUGGACUACACAGAUUCAGCGCAAAUAGCUGGGACGCCUCCAGAGGAAAAAUGCACCGAAUUGCCUAGUUGCCCUGUUUGCCUUGGUACGUCACGGUUUUGUUUGUUCUUCCCCUUUGAUAAAGAUGAGUUAUACUUGUUUUUGUUCAUUUCUUGAGUAGUGAAAUACUGUUGUGCCCGAACUGAUGAUAUUGUAUUUUGUUUAAAAUGUUAGAGCGACUGGACGCAGACAGUAGUGGAAUAGCAACUACACUAUGCGACCAUUCAUUUCCAUGUCCUUGUAUCUCGAAAUGGACUUACUUAUCAUGCCAGGUGAGCUGGUUCUCUAUUUCAGAAAUACUUCAUAUGUGUGUAGAAUUAUUUAGUUCUUAGUUGGUUGAGAGAAUUUUUGGCUGCAUAAUUUAUGUUUCUAUCAUGUCUUGGAUGUACUGUUAUAUGUUAUUAGUUGACUUUCUAGACCUUGCAGAUUGUUGAAAUUUUUUCACUAUCCAAAUGUGAUGUUGGUAGGUUAGACAGUCCGCGUUGUUAGUAUACAUCAAAAGCAGCAUUUCUUACCACUCUUUUAGGAGUUUUGAAACCCCUAAGAUUUUCAAAACAAGCACCUGUGCUAACAUCCUUUCUGGCAAUUCUUGGUAAAAAGAAAGACAUGUAUAGUUGUCCCAAUAUCCUGGACAAAUUAGAAUGAAACAGUUCUAUACAAGGGUAUGGUAUUAGGAUUUGAAAUGUCAGCUCCUACUUUUCUUAAAUUGGCAUUGGCUCCUGAGUUCUCUAACAUGGAUUUUGCCUUAGGGUGUUUGAUUAUCCUAUUAAGUUGAAGAAAGUGCUAAUAUAUUUGUCACCAGGUUUGCCGAUUGUGUCAACAGCAGGAUAACAAUCCAGCUUGCUCUGUCUGUGGAAUAAUGGAGAAUCCUUGGGUUUGUGUAAUAUGUGGUUUUGUAGGGUGUGGAAGGUAAAGAUGCUGUAGUUUUUUUUACUUUUUAUUAUUCUUACUUUGAUAUCUUUGGUCCUCUAAAGAAUAAAGCAAUAUAGUUUAAAUAUUUUCUGUAUUUGACCAGUAGAGUAAUUGAUACUUAUUUUUUCUUCAAUAAAGAUAUAAUGAAGGCAAACACGCUGUUAGGCACUAUGAGGAUACAAAGCACUGCUAUUCUCUUGACUUGAAUAGCCAGCAGAUCUGGGAUUAUGUUGGUGAUGCUUAUGUUCACCGCCUGAACCAAUCAAAAAUUGAUGGCAAGCUAGGAACUGAUGUCAAUUCUCACUGUAGAGCGUUGGGAGGAGAUUGUGAAAGUUGUGAAUGUAGUGAGGAUUCUGGAAUUAGUGGAGCCCUCUAUAGUAGCAAAGUUGAAACUGUACGUAUUUCCUUCAAAAAGGAUUCUUCUGAACCAAUAAUUUUCUAUUUUUUAUGUUUAAAUUACUAGAUGUGAGCGUUUUGAGGUUACAGUUAUCUAACUCCAUUUUUAUUAGUUAAGGCACUCUAUGUUCUUAAUUUCACUCUAGCUGGUAUUAUUCAUAUUUUUCAGUGACUUAUGGAUAUUAUAUUGCAUUUGACAACAGAUUGUGGAUGAGUAUAAUCGACUUCUUGCAAGCCAGCUUGAGACUCAAAGACAGGUAGGGUUUCUUCCCUGUACAUAACCCGUUCCUUCUGUUCCUAUUUUCCUCCACAAAUGUGGCUGUUGGUGAAUAACAAGUAUACAUUAUCAUUUAAGAAUAUGAUAUAUAUAUUUUUUUAGAUGCAUACAAGUGCUGUUACAUCAUUAACAUGGUUUAAUUUUGUGUUUUCUUUUUUGGUCAUUGAAUUCAGUACUAUGAAAAUCUACUGAUGGAGGCCAAAAGUAAAACUGAAAAUUCAAUGUCAGAAGCAGUGGAGAAGGCUAUAAAUUUAAAGAUACAGGAUAUUCAAAGUAAAUUGGAGAAGUCUCGUGAGGAAAAAAAAGCUGUUGAAUAUGUGAGUGUUAUUGGCUCAUUUGGAAAUUAUUUCAACUUCCAGUGUUUUUCAUAACUUUUUCUGACUGUUUAUUAUAUGUGAUGUAUUAUGUUGCACCUGUUUUUAUGGAUUUUUUUGUGUUCUUAGGUCCACCAAACUCUCAUCGAGGAGCAACAAACCUUGAGUGCAAAAUAUAAGGAAACUGAAGAGAGGUACAUAAUCUCCUGGUCUCCUCAAUCGAUAAAUGUGCAUCUGUCAUAGUUGGAAUUAUGGUCUAAGAUAUGCCAUAUGGGGGUGAUAACUUGUGUAUAUGACUGAAAUGGUCUCCUUAAUUAGUCUAUUCAUUUCUUCUUAUGUGCCAGCCAUUGGUAAAACAUCAGGACUGGAGUCCUUUUUGAAUAUUAUAGUGCUUAUAUUGACCAGACAGAAAUUGUGGUUCUUAUAUAGCCUGAAAUAUUUCUCCCCCUUAGUGUUGAAUAUUAAACUUCUUGUUCUUUUAGGGAAGCUAUGACAAUGAGGUUAAGAGACGAGAAGAUACUUGAUCUGGAAGAACAGGUAUACACUAAGUUUCUGGUUGUGCGCUUAUUCUAUAAAUGUCGGCUUCUUAACACGUUUAAUUAAUGUUGGUCACAGAUUAGAGAUCUUACUGUCUAUAUUGGAGCCCAGAAAACACUGAAUGGCAUGACAAACUCCGAUGACAUCAAAGGGGGAACACUCCUACCUGUACCAUCUAAGCAGCCUUCUUCGGCCAAGAAUAGGAAAACAAAAUCUAGCAGAAGACGGAAUUAAAUAGUUUUAGGACAGCUUUUAGAUCAUGAAGUACUUUAGCAUUCAAUGAGAGUCUUCUUAAUUUACAGAUAUGACCUAAACAAUGUUGGCGUUCAAAAGUUUUUGUUGGGGUUCCCCAUUCGUCGACUAAUUUUAGGCAAUGGACUAGAUUUCUACAGUAGUAGAAACUUACUACAGGCAAGAACUAGUUUGUUUUUCAUGGAGGUUUACAUGUAUAUUGAAAUGGUGCUAUUAGCAACAUGUUGUGUAAACAUUCAACGUCACUUUAAACUUAGCAUCCAUGAAUGUACAAUUCUUCAUAAUUUCCGGUCGGUUUCGCCUAUCGAUAUCUGGAAACUCAAUCGUCAUUUGGUGAGAACCCAAGUGUGGCCUCACACAGUUGCUUGUCAACCAAGCUGAACCCAUCUCAUCUGAACCUGUAAACCUUUGAAUUUGAUAAGAUAACGGAAUGCUAAGUUUAUGUGACAAAAGAAGCACAUUUAAGUGAAAAACAUAACAGAAUUUUAUUUAUACCAUCAUUGAAAAAAAAAACCCAUAAUUUGUUUCUUGUAUGGCUCAAGCUCUUUAUGCAAGUUCAGCAACUCUUGAAUGAGUUACAUGAGUAAGUUGAGAAUCAUAACCAUCCCAAGCACUUUGAUCAACUAAUUCACCACCAAUCCAAUUGGUGGGAAUAACCCUAAUGAUAUUCCACACUCCAAUAAAAGGAUUUGGCCAAUACAUGCACCCUUGAUGGUGUCCAUAACCAUAAGCACCUCCACAAUUAUAGCAAAUAAACUGAUCAAGCCCGAAAGCAAGAUCGUCGCGAGGAAGCCAUCUCCACAAUCCAUGCCUGUUCCUUUUAACUUCGGGACGAGCCCUCAUUACCUCCACCUGCUUAUCUUUCAGUUCAUGAAACUUGUUCUCCUGUUUAUGCAAGACAUCCACAACAGAAUCAUCUGAUUUAAAAGUAAUGAAUCCGAAACCUUUCGGUGUGUUGCUGUCCUUGAAAUGUAUUAUGACUCCAUCCUCAAUUGCACCAAACUCAGCAAAAUAGUCUUUGAAUUCAUCUUCGGUUAGAUCACGAGGUAAACCCCCUACAAAAAUCUUUCUAGGGAUGUAACCUUGAUGUUGAUCAUGGUGCUCUUUUUGAUUGAUUUGUUGAACAUGUUGCCCUUCUUGAUUAAAUUGUUUUCUCUGGCGUUUUGGUUCCGACGGUCUUACAUCGAUCUGCAAUAUCAAAAUUCAAAAAUCCAUAUUGAAUUUUCACAAAAUACUUGUCACAAAAUAAGGUAGAAUUUGUAAGUAAUUUUCAGGUGUUUUUACUGACCGUAUACAACCCGAAAGUAAAAAAGUUUCUUUCAAAAAAAUCUAGGUUGUUUGAUAAUGACUUGAUUAGUUGAUUACAUGUAAUAAUGACAAUCAAUGAGAGAUUUUAGUAAUCUGCAAGCAACCCGAAAGAAUGUCUUGAAAGUUUUUCCAAUGGCAACCAAAUCUAUUUACUUGAAAGAGCUUGAAAAUCAAUGAAAUAUGCAAAAUCCUUGACUUAAAAGAUCUUAAGGAUUUGUAAGUAAUCAAUCUGCAAUCUUUCAAUGGUUAUUAGCUGCUUCUCUUUUUAAAUCUUUCAAUACGAGCUUGAAAAUUGAAACUUUGUUUUCUUUCGAGUUCGUUUGCAGUCAAUAAAAUCUUUUCACAAAAAUUAUUAAAUAAAAUCAUUCGAAACAUAACACAAAAAUCUAUGAAAUUUAACAUACGAGUAACUUUGAACUAACCUUUUCACCACAGAUUGAGUGACUUUCUUCUAACACACUCUUAGCCACAGACGCUUCAACGAAGGUAACAAAACCAAACUCUCUAGGUUGACGAGUGAUCUUAUCCAGGACGAUCACACACUCUUCUACAAUCCCAUAUCUGCUAAAGUGUUCCUCCAAGAUAUCUUCAUCAACCUCCCUCGUUAUCCCACCCACGAAUAUCUUCCUAUCUUGCUUUGCGUCCAUGGCAACCAACUCCAAACCUAUGAAACCAAACUCUUUUCUUUUUCUUCUGCUUUGGACAGUUCUCUAAUUUUUCUAACGAUGGUCUUUUGUAUUUGCUAUAUAUAGAAUCAUAGAUAGCUUAUAAAGAUUCAUGUAUUAAUAGGAUUUCCUAAUUCUUAUACAACAAGGUUACAAGUUUUAUGGACAAAAUCGUAAAUAAAAGGGUUUAAAGAGAAGAAAGAAUAAAAAAAAAUUAUAUGAAUAAAUGCACAGCCCAAAACCCAAAACCUCUCGCGCCAUUUAGUUCCAGUCUUUUUCUCUCUACACCUGAAAAAUGCACCAAAACGGCGUCGUAGUGCUAGAUAACGGCGGCGGCCUUAUCAAAGCCGGGCACGGCGGCGAGCGCGACCCGUCCGCCGUAAUCCCCAACUGCGUCUACCGCCCUCUCUCCUCCAAAAAAUGGGUCACCCCAUCCCCGACCGAGCCCAUGGACCUGACCUCCGCCGCCGUCCGCCGCCCCAUCGACCGCGGCUACCUAAUCAACCCUGACCUCCAGCGCGAGAUCUGGGCCCACCUCUUCACCCAAGUCCUCCGGGUCAACCCGGCCCAAUCCUCCCUCCUCCUAACCGAGCCCCUCUUCACUCUCCCCUCCAUCCAACGCGCCACCGACGAGCUCGUCUUCGAGGACUUCAACUUCGCCGCGCUUUACGUGGCCCACUCGCCCUCCCUGGCCCACCUCUACGAGGCCAGCCGCCGGCCCAUCACGGCCCAAUGCAGCCUCGUCGUCGAUUGCGGGUUCUCGUUCACGCACGCCGUCCCGGUGUUCCAGAACUUCCCGAUCAACUACGCCGCGAAGAGGAUUGACCUCGGCGGAAAGGCGUUGACUAAUUACCUCAAGGAGCUCGUUUCGUACCGGUCCGUGAAUGUUAUGGACGAAACGUUUCUUAUUGAUGAUGUGAAGGAGAAGCUCUGCUUCGUCUCCAUGAAUGUUCCUCGUGACCUACAGAUAGCCAAGUAAUGUGCCAUUUUAAGGGUUUAAGGUUUAAGGUUUAGGGUUUACGAUACGAUUUGUUUUGAUUUUGGUGUGUUGGUGGUUGAAUUGGAGGUGAUUUUGGUUUUGGGUUGUGUAGGAAGCAUGGGAAGGAGAAUGCUUUCAGGUGCACAUAUGUGUUGCCUGAUGGGGUUACGCAUACGCAAGGGUAUGUUAAAGACCCUGAAGAGGCAAAGAGGUACUUGGCCGUCGGAGACGGUGAUUCGGUUGAAGAAGUGGCCAAGAAGAUGGAUGUGGAUAGGGGUGAAGUUGCGGAUAAGUUGGAGGAGCGAAAGAAGAUUGAUUUGAGCAAGAAUGUAAGUGUGCUGUCAUUCGUGUUUUUUGAACUAGAGCAUUGUUUGUGUUGGUUUGUCUAUUUUUUGAGCUGUUUGGUGUUUUGUGUAGGAAUUUGACUUGACAAAUGAAAGGUUCCUUGUGCCGGAGAUGAUUUUCCAUCCUGCUGAUUUGGGUUUGUGUUAUAUUUCGCUCUCUUUCUUUCCAAGCAUUUGAAUUUUUUGGUUAGCUGUUAUAAAUGAAUCUGUUGUUGCAGGGAUGAAUCAGGCUGGACUAGCAGAAUGCAUUGUUCGAGCUGUCAGUUCAUGUCAUCCUCAUCUUCAACCUGUACUCUAUGAAAGGUGUGAGCUGAAAAACUUUGCAUUUUUUUUUUGUUUAGGUAGAAUUCAUUCUCGAUACUGAUUAAUGUGACUGAAUUUUGUCGCCAGCAUCAUUUUAACUGGCGGAAGCACAUUGUUUCCUCGACUUGCUGAUAGACUGUAAGCACUGAUCUCCUUUCCAUUUAAGUUUAUAGGAGUUAAUACUAAAGCAUACAUUUGGACUUAUCGUUGUAUUGAUAUUAUAGAGAGAGGGAGCUGCGGCCUCUUGUUCCUGAUGAGUAUCAAGUGAAGAUAACUCCCCAAGAAGAGUACGUUUCCUUCUAACUCAUAACACUACUCAUGUACCUACUUCCAUUUUAUUGAAGUUUUGCCAUGUUUACUCCAGCCCCAUACUAGGUGUUUGGCGAGGGGGGUCAAUUUUGGCAUCAAGUCCUGAUUUUGAAGCAAUGUGUGUCACCAAGGCUGAGUAUGAGGAGCUUGGAUCUGCUCGUUGUCGCAAGAGAUUCUUUUAAUGGGUACUGGCAGUUUUGGGGGGUUUGUUAUCUGAAUGGCCUUAUCCGCUUGUCAUAUUACUUGAGAAGAUGAAAUUAGGGACCAAGUAGUUUUGGGACUUGGACACUUUUCUGAAUCUUCAGGAAGCCCGUGAUUGAAAAUUCAGCCAAGUAGCAUGUACAACACGUCUGUUGUCACCAAUGAAGAAACUUGCUUGUGAAAUGGUAGCCUGAUUACCUUGUUAUACUUAUCAAUAUGAUUAUGAAAUGCUUCGUCCUGCCUUCCCUCGUCCCUUUUUGGUAGACAUCCCCGGGGAGAUCUGAGUUUCUAGUUUCUACCCCUGAUUGACAUGGGAACACUGCCUAUAUAGCCAGAGCCCUGCCCUUAUGACCAGAAAAUUUGUUUACGUGGAGUGUGCAAAUUCAGGAAAAAGUUUCUCAAGACUAGAUCUGCAUUACAGCGUGUUCUUAGUCAUUAAGUGGGUGUUCGUUCCAUACUUCCAUUACAGCAUGGACACAUUUUGUACAUUCACUCCUGUCAAUUCACUUUGAGCAAUGUUGAUUUUCAAUCCAUCGCAGUCGUUGUAGGGAUAAGGGAAAGGGAGAUGCUUUAAACUCGUUGGAAGCUUAUUCACAUUUGGUGGGUGCUACGAGUGUGUUUGUAGUUUUUUUUUUUUUUUGUUUUGUGAAGUGCAGUAGUUACUGUUAGUUAAACGAUUCCAUCCCCUUUUGUAGGUCAGUGAUAUCACUGACAUGUAAGUGAUGAAUGUAGUGUUUUCAGAUACUAUGUACUAAAGCAAAAAAUUGGUAAAACCAGGAGAACAAGCUUGCCCACGCGCGGGAGAUAGAAAAUUCCAGAUACUGUAAGGACCAUAUACGUCUAAUCCUUGUCUAAAUCCGGAAGGACUACUAAACCUAAUAGGGCUAGGGUGAUUAGAUUUUCUAGUCCCAUUAGGUUUUCACUAGCUAUACUCUAUAUACGUCUAAUUCUGUGUGAACAAAAAAAAAAAAAAAAUUCUACAAACACCAAACCAUGGCGCUCGAAGAUAACUGGGUAUUGGUCGAAGACAUCGACAUGGAAGAAGGGCACAAGGAACCAUCCACAGUCGAUCACCAGAUAUACGAUGGCGACCAAAGCAUGCAUGAAGAGAGUGCAUGGAUACAUAAUCAACUUGAACCUGUGUUUGGUCCCAUAAGCAGGGAUGACAUCUUCAGGUUUUUGCAGAUGCACCAUUCGCAGAAAUUGUAUACAAGUACUAUUCCCUUUAUUGCUAUGUAUCGAAAAGAGGAGUGCCUUGGCUUAUUGAAAGAUCCUGAGCAACCUGAAGAAGAAAACUUAGUGUGGCACAAGGUACUUUGGCGCGUUCAGGAGUUGCACAGAAAGUGGCUGCUGUUUCAGAAUCAGAAAAGGGCUUUGCAAAUUCACUACAAUAAGCUCUUUGAGGAAGUGUCUCGACGAGGAUUCACGCAUGAUGAGACUCCACGGCUUUUUGAAUCAAUUAUGAAGUCACUCGUGGCUGCAGAGACUGAGAGAGAGGUGGAGGAUGUCAACACCAAGUUUAACUUGCGCUUCCCUGCAGGUGAGGGUCAGGCUGCUAUUGAUAUCAGUAGUGAUCCUGAUGUGAGGAAGUAUGUCCGGUGCAACUACUUUGAUUUCGCUGAGGUAUCAGUCUCGAGCAUCAAACCUGGUUUGAAUAUGGAUUGUCAAAGAAAGCCAUUGAAUGAUUUGAGGAUGCACAAUGGUUACUUGUCCAAAAGGCCGAGGAGGAGAAUCAUGUUCAAGUUACUAUCAAGCUGCCCGAAGAACGUCUGAACAAGUUGAUAAGCGACUUAAGCAACUACUAUCUUAGUAAAUCUAAUGAGCAGUGCAAGUUAAUGUUGCAAGACGCCCUUUGCAGUUUCUUCUGCCUUCAAUGGAGAAAGAAGCAAGAUCCUUGUUGGUGAGUAGAGCGAAAAACUGGUUACUUAUGCAGUGUGGAAAGGCUUUGUGGAAUAGAGUCUCUAAGGCACCGCCAUAUAAACGGAACCAAACUGCACCACCUAGGGUCUUGGCUUGCUGUUGGGGUCCUGGGGACCCUGCAACCACUUUGGUCAUGUUGGAUUCAUGUGGGGAGCUGCUAGAUGUGCUUUGCAUAGGGACUCUCAGAUGGGAGAAUCUCACCUGGACCCCAUUCUUUGAUGAACCUACUAGUAUGCGUAUGAAGCAUGAUGAUCAGCGUAUUCUGAAGUUCAUGAAUGAUCACCAUCUGAUAUUGCUAUAAUAGGAGCAACUAAUGUGUCUUGUUCUUUGCUGAGAGAACAACUUUUGGGCAUCGCAUCAUAUCAGAGACCUGUAACAAUAAGGCGCCUAAGAGUUGUAUAUGGGGAUGAAACUUUGGCUUGCCUGUAUGAAAAUUCUCAGAUAUCGGUUGAUCAGCUACCUGGACAGUCAGGCAUAGUCAGGCGGGCUGUGGCUCUUGGCCGUUAUCUUCAAAAUCCACUUGCAAUGGUUGCCACACUUUGCGACCAGGAAGAGAAAUCUUAUCUUGGAAACCACUCACUUCUCCUUUUGAUAACUUCCUCACCUUGGAUGAGAAGUACGCGAUGAUUGAACAGGUCAUGGUAGAUGUUACAAACCAGGUUGGCCUUGACAUAAAUUUGGCUACAACCCAUGAAUGGUUAUUUGCACCUUUGCAAUUCAUAUCUGGACUUGGACCUAUUAAGGCAGCAUCUCUGCAGCAGUCAUUGGUACGCAGUGGUAAAAUACUUGCUCGAAGGGAGUUGGCUACAUUGCAUGGGCUUGGUACAAGUGCAUAUCUGAAUGCAGUUGGUUUCUUGUAUAUUAAGCAGCAUGGGUUGACUGACAGCCGAACUAGCAACACCUUUAGCACUCUGUUGGAUGGUACAAGAAUCCAUCCAGAAUCCUAUUUGCUUGCACAAGAAAUGGUUAAAGAUGUUUAUGAUGAUAAGGAUGCAAUGGAGCUGCAGCGCAUUACCGAUCAACCUAGUUACCUUGAGAAGCUUGACAUUGAAGCAUAUGCUAAAAGCAAAAGACUUGAGAAUAAGAUGCAAACAUUGUGUGGUAUCAGGAGGGAAUUAAUACAGGGGUUCCAGGAUGUGCGUCAAAACUACGAAGAACUAAAUGAAGAUGAACAGUUCUAUACGAUGACAGGUGAAACUUGCGACACACUCUCUGAAGGAAGCAUUGUGCAGGCGAUAGUCCGCAGGGCUCUUCCGAAAGUGACAAUCUGUACUGUGGGAGCUGGAUUGACAUGUAAGCUUAGGAGAGAAGACUUUAAGGAUCAUGGGAGGGAAAUUUCAGACUUGUCUCAAGUUAUGAAGGUGGGUGACAUUAUCACUUGCAAAAUCAAGCGCCUUUUCAAGAAGGAAGUGAUUGCAAAACUAUGUAGUCUGUAGAGAGUGAGAUGAGCAGAUAGAACGUCUUGAUCACUUAUUAGCCAAUAAUUACUUGUAUGCUUGUUAUGCUUUAGUUUGCACAUUCAGAACUAAUAUUUGGGUUUGUUGCCAGGAAAGUUUGACAAUCAAUUCGGGGAAAACAAUCAAAGCCAGAAAAUAGCUGGCAAAGAAUUUUAAAUCAUAUCAUCUGCUAUGGGAACUGCCUAUACUUUGAGAUAUAUGUAUACAUUUACAGUGCCUCUGUAAUGGUCACAACAAAAAAGCAAGCUUCAUGAGCUUAUCUCACAGAACAGCUGCAGUCUUAACAUACGAAUUCAAUUUUACACCCUCAUUCUCCGUUGUCGAACAUAUCACAUUGUUAUACCCAAUUGCAUUUUCCCACGAAUAUAAGAGCAUCUUCAAAUCAAGGGAUUUCUUCGACUGUCUUUUGCUGUGAGUCCCAGCACACGUUUGCCUAUUCUCACAUGUGGUACAGAUAGAACAACCAGAUUCCAACCGAGUGACGAGACAAUGGUGUUCAUUCAGCAUAUGGCUGAGAGUCCAUGCAAAGAUGCACCAACUUUCUCUGAUAUUGCCCAAAAUAUUCACCCACUGCAAUGACAUCUUCAUUCUCGGGUCCCAACCCAGGCAAGUGUGGAAGCAUGUCCUUGAUUGAAGAUUUGGAUUCAUCGUCAGAGUUUCCUAAAUCAGAGAUGUUGGCGUGAAUUUCUCGGCAAGCAAGAAUGAACAUGGCGGCAGUGUCAGGUUGUUGGACCUCACGGAGUGCUGCCAAAGCCCCUUGCAUUGCACCAGCUGCAACAUACAAAAUCAGAGCCCUGCAUUUGGAUCAUUGAUAGGCUUAGAACAUGUCUGAGAAACGGUUGAAAAGAAAACUGUAAAAGGUGACAUGGCAUACCUCCAUAUGUUGUGUUCGGCACGGAGGACAUGUGUAGCCCAUCUUAGCAACACCCUGGAACAACAAAAGAAGAUUAACUAAGAUUCUUUAACAUCAUGAAUGACAAUCUCCAUGAAUGAAGAAUGUAUAAUUCCAUACAUAGAUAGUGAAAGUGUGUUCUCAAAUUAACCACUCACACACACGUGUAUAUAUAUAGCUAGGAGAAAUCACCUUGCAUAAUCAGAUCCUUUCAAAUGGGUGGCAGCUAAAGUAGCAGCAUCUGUCCAGCACCCCGCGUCUUGUAACUGCACAAGAGAUGACAUUAAAAUCAGUGAAAGAAGAAAAAUAGUAUGAAGACCACUUAAAUGCAUGAAGUAUAGUGGGGAAAAUUUACACCCCUUGGUAAACAACUAACCAAACCCAGAAAACACCCCAGCUCUAAUACCCAUUCAUGACCACUGGAUUCAUACUUCGCUCAAUCUUUUUCCCCCCUCAAAACAUCCUGACUAAGCACAGGUAGUCAUACAAAAGUUUCACCCUAUACAAACUAAUACAACCCGGAUAAGAUUCUACAGCAUCCAAGCCACAAUUGAUACAUGUAAUCAUCUGACAAAAGAACGUCUGGAAUUGAGGCCAAAGCCAACAUUUCAUAGCCUGAUUACAGAAAUUUGUUCAAAGACACACCUGGGAACACGCCUCUUGAUACCUUCCUACAGCACAGAGAAGAUGAGUACCUGACAGUGACCUGUCAGUCCUGACCAUGUUGGCCGCAACAACCUAGAUCGUAGUUAAACCACUUUAUUCAGUUACGACAAUUAUUUUCAGAUGAUGAGGUGAGUUUGAAGCACUCUCACCUUAACAGCCAGUUCAAGAAGAGACUUUGACACAGCAGAAGAGAGAGCAACUGCACGUAAAGCAUUAGCAGAGAAGUACUUGCUCUCAGGAGGAGUGGAAAGCAAUAAACUGACUGCAGCUUCUAAGUUCCCAACCGACACAAGCCUAGAUUAUCAAGAACAUAAAUAAGUUGACUUCAUCCCAUAUCACCACAAAGUACAUUAAGAAGUUUUGAUUUUUCUUAACAAGCCCAAAUUUGAAUAGUACAAGUAACUAGAUGAGUCAUUGAGAUUAUUAAGAUUGAAAAUUCGAUCAGGAUAUUCAUCUACAGUCUACUCUACGCAAGCCUGGGACUGAAUCUUUAAAGAAGAAAAGAGAGCUCAGCUAAAAUCUGUACUCAGUCUUGCAUAUUUAUCUGAAGUAAAUAUAUGCAGUUUUACCAAGAAUAUAUGUUCAAAUUAUAUUAAGUAAACUGGUACAACUAAGAAGGAAAAAAAAUCAAUGCAAAUGAGAAUGAUACGAAGCACUCACUCGUGUACACGAUUCUGAAUAGCAUCUUCUCCCUCUAGCUUCUCAUGCCAUGGAAUGCGUUCACUUGCAUUUGCCCAGAGUUCUUCUUGUUCAAACGCCAUCAACCUGAGCUGCCCUUGGCUCUGGUAAACACAAAGACCAAUUUAUUUAAUGUGGGAUGCAACUACUAUCAAUGGAAGAUCACUUGCAAAGAUGUUUUAGACCAGAAGGGUGCUAGCUGAGAAGGUGUUUUUCCCAAAAACUUGAUAAAGAACAUUCAAGAACUUAUGACUUACUGUUGCAUCUUUCUUUUCUCUUCCAGACGCUGAUUUUCCUUUUGAUGUUAUCCUAGUCACCAUAGAGGCAUUAUCAAGCUCUGGAACUGAUGCUGAUACAGUGGCUUUCUGUGGAGACUUAUUUAUGGACUUGUUCAUCAAAUAGUUAAGGGCAUGCGGCAGUUGCAGCCAGAAAAGAGCUUCAGAGGAUUCACCAAAAAUUGCAGCAGCAAAGGCAAAUCUCACAGAACAGCCUUUGUUUACCACCUUUGCAUAUAAUUUUGCCCUCUCAUCAUCCAGUAUGCAGCCUUUGGCAAAUGUAUCAUUAAGAAAAUAUUAGAGCAAAACAUACCAACAAUACCCACAUGUGAGCUGCAACAUGAGUAGAAAUGUUCACUAGAGACAAGACCUACCCUCUUUUCGAUAAGGUUCUAAUACUUUAAGCAGCAACUCUGGUACCACAGGGUCACCAACAGUUUGUACAUCCAUCAUGUAACUGCGAAGAUCCUCACUGGACUUUGGAGUUCCAGGAAUGAGAUGAGGCCUCUUCUCUAAAGAUGUACUGCAAGUAUUAAACCAGGAGGGCUUUACGCCCAACUGUAAGAUCAUCCGUAGUGCCUGCAAUUAAUGACGAACAAAAUUAUGGUGGGUCAGUACUGAAAUUCAACUAAAUUCUCAAUAAAGAAAUGAAACCAAAUGUGGUGAUUGAUUUGGUCCAACUUAACUUUUCUGAGUAAAUUCUAUUGGUUUUAAAUAAAAAAAAUUAACUCAAGCACUGAUUUUCCUUUCUUCCAUUAAAGAUCACCGAGUCAACUUAAAUGGAUUUAUUGCCAUCAUGAUACAAGCAUAAACAUCCCAUGGUGAAAGGCAUGAUCAACAAAUACUCAAUACAACUGGAACUUAACUCGUCUCGGGAAAAAAAAAAACAACAACAGCAACAACAACCGGAACAUAACAAAGUGCUUUAGUACAAUUUAAUAAGGAAAACAGAAAUAUAGAACAGUAAUUACCAGGGCAUGUGGUGUGGGAAGCAAUAUAGGAGAACAUAAAGGCAUGGGACGGAACCUUUCUUUUAUAGAUCUGGGCUGGUGAGCAAAACCAAGUUUUUUAUCAGCUCUGCACACGAGCAAAAUUAUAAAUGCACAGAAAGGGACAACUCCCAUACAGAUCAUAAACAUGUCCCAAACCCAUUAUGACUAAAUAGGCUGACAUAAUAUAAUUACUCAUGAAGCCAACAAUUCUUACAUAUUGAUCUCAACAAGGCGAAAGCUACUAUCAGCUCCAGCUAUGCACAAUAACAGUGGAUCGUUCUUGUCAGUUCGCAAAGGCAACCAAUCAAGUUCCAAAACAAGGGUUCCAGGAAAUUGAGGGUGUAAGAGAGAAUUAGCUAAAGGGUCUGGAGAGUCCUGCAAAUUAAGUUAUGGACAAAUGAUAAGAAAGAUGUCAAACAAUUUAGGGCAUAACGAAAAGCAUCUAAAACUUAACACCAAAGAAUCACUUCAUUUUGACAAAGAUUGUACUACGAAAAUAGCAGACUUAUAUUUAUGGAUUAAGGGGGCAGUAGGUUAUGUUAAUACCAAAAGCUUAGCCAUAUCCUAUAAAAAUAGAUCCUUAAAUAGCAACUAUAAGACCAAAUGUAUAGUUAGAAUAUAAAUAUAUAUAUAUAUAUAUAUAUAUAUAGAGAGAGAGAGAGAGAGAGAGAGAGAGAGAGAGACUAUGCUUAUGAAUUUUAAGAAAACUUUAGGAAGUCAACAAGAGUCUGCAUGAGUAUUGAACUCAAUAAAGCACCUAUGAUACCAUAUGGUAUAUGGUAACAAAAUAAUUAAUCAGUAUAUGACGACUAAUAUUUUCAAGAAAUGUUAGUUUUGAACUCAAUAAGAGUUAGGCUAUGAGUGAUGAAAUCAAUAAGAGUCAGCUAGUACACUCUAACCACAAAACCAAAAAGAAAAGAAUAACGGAUAUCCUCAAAUAUGUCAACUGCUUCCUAAUUUACCCUUCAAGAAAAAAACCCACAUCUUUUACCCUGAAGUCCAGCAAUACUGAAACCAAAGUUGGCAUAUAAUUGCAUUUAUGUACAUUGAAUAUGACAAGGAAUAGUUAUAUAGUUUAUUCACACUUACAAGAUCAAAUACGGAAAAUGUAUUGUCAUAAAAUAGUACAGCAACACGCCCCCUACUACGGUCUCCAGGAACAACAGGUGAGAACUUAAUUCUGCGGAUACCUUCUCUAUGAGUGUUAAAUGAAGAAGAAUGCCCAGUUAUUACAUCCCACCAGCGAAUAUUUCCUGACCUGUCCCCCAUAACCUAAAAAUUGAUUCACAGAAUGGAUAUCAAGGGACAAUUGAGAUUUGAUACAAAUAAAAAUUCGUACAAAAUCUGUGAUGCAUACCACAUGAGGCAAACGGUACGCCAUUGCUGUAAUUAGUCCAUCAGAUGAGACAAAUGAAGAAGAAGGCCAUUUUGGUCUAGGAAACAAGAGAUGAAUACAUCCAUUAUGAGAAUAAAAUGAUAGUAUAUUAAAGUUUGUGAUAAAAUUAUACUAAAAUAUCCAACACGUGACACUUUCUCCAAUUGUUGUCAUUUCCAUUCAGAAGAGAUCCAAAACCUCAUUGAAAGACCAAGAGACCAAGUUUAUUAGUCAAGAAGCACCUUUACAAGAUAUUAUUCUUGUAUAAACUAUUAAAAGGCAUAUUAUAUAUUAUAUAUUAUUUUAAUCUUCUUCAUCUGAGAUAAAAUAUUAUGCCAGGGUGGAACAGGAAGUCAGAGUGUAGCUGCAAUAGUAUACAGGACUCAAAAUGCAGUAGUCAUAUUGACAAAGAUAAAUACCUGAAGUCACGAAUCCUACGCCCAUGAACCUCAAAAACACCAAGAGCACCAUUUGCUAGUGCAAAAGCAAAGCUUUCGGAAGUGUCGUCUUGGGAUCCAUCUGAGCCCUCUGCAUUCCGGUAUAAACAGAAAACCAUUACUUUUAUUUCUUGAACAGUAUCUGUCAAUACAAGCAACUAGAAAACUUAAAGCUUAUCAAGUAAAUGAGCUCACUAGAAUCAGAUGAUGGCCUAUCUGAUGCCCCUGAUGUCUGAUCUUUGGGGGGUAAUGAUGAUUGCUUAGCAGGUGCAUUUUGAGGAGGGCGUGGAACUGUUGGGAGAGUCCAUUCCAAAACCGUAAAGGGAAGUGCUAGUGAUCUAAGCUACAUGAGAUAUGGAGAAUAAUUAAUACGAAGAUGUGGGAUCAGGAAUCUUAGACUCUAAUCCCACCUUAAAAAUAAAAAAUUUAUACAGUUGGGAGAAGCUGAAAAAUGCAUGUGGCGAGUUCUUUCAAAAAUGGCCUCAAACUUGUAAAUUUCUGUUUAGAUCAUGUAAUGGAUAAUAAGAAUCAAAAUUGUUAACAAAUUUACCAUUAUAGGAGUCUUUGUCAUAGCCCAAACCUCGACUGGUGCAUCACGGAGCAAAAUAAGAAGAUACCUGGAACAAGCAAAAACUUUACAGUGAGUAGCUCAGGAGUUGAAAUGUAUAGACCCACACAAAUGAAAGUACACAGGGAAAGAAGGAAAAAUACACUAGAUUGAAGAAGGCAGCCAUUCAUAGUAGACCAAAAGUUAACAGAACAUUAUUGAAUUAUGUUUUAAAAUAGAUUUAUAGUAGUUUCAUAAUCCACAGGUACAAACCUUCCAGAGGAAGAAGUCCUUAAAGCUCUUAUGGGUGCACGUUCAGGCUUUUGCAAAACCCGAAAUGGUUUAUUUAGGCCACUUCUAAGACAGGUCACAAUUAGCCUGUUGAUAAAACCUCCAGUUUUUUCACUUACCUAAAUCAACAAAAGUUUAUGUUACCUACACCGGAAAGUAUAAUGACUUCUCAUUGGAACUAGAGAUUAUCAAGGUUGCCAUAGUCUUUUCUUUAAAGAAAAAUGGCAUAGAAAAACGGCAUUAAUCAAGGACAAUUCCAAUAAUCAAAUCAGAUCAGCUAGGAAUCUACUACAAUGCACCCUGAAGUGUACAUUUUAAUUCUCAUGCAAGAUACCUGAGUGUAUGAAAAUGAAACCAAUCUAGAGUUUCCAAGCCACCGUAAUCCCCUAACAGUCCCGUUAUGAACAGAAAAACUUGCAGCGACAGCAUUGGCAGAAACAUCAACAAUAUCCACUAUCCCACUCUGAGUUCCCAAGGCAACCAAUGGAACAGCUACAACAGGAAAGUUUCCCCCACCUUUACAAAAAAUUAACUUAACAGGUAUCAAAAUUUAUCCCAUCUGCUAGCUCAUAAAUAAAUAAAUAUGUUUCAGAAUUAUGAGAGGUUGAACUCACGGCCCAAAGUAGCUGUUGAAGAAGGUGAAGGUACAGCUAGCAUAGUCACUGCUGAAGAAAGAAGCUGAAGCUGUCCUACUAAGCUAAUCUGCAUCAGUAAUUUGGCUUUGUAAGCAUACAUAAAUCUGAAAUCUAAAUGUUUCACUAGAUGAAUUGGCAGCAUGGCACUUGACUUUUAAUGACUAUGACAACAAGAAAUAGAAAAACAGAAAAAUAAUCCUCAACUUCUUAAAUCUAAAGUUUUAGCUCUUCAUUUCCCAAAAACAAAAUCUGAUGUUAGGAUUUUGUAACCAGCGGUGCAACAUUGCAAUUAAUGGGAAAUGAAAAGGUACUUAGAUGAACUGAAUUUACAAUUAUAAACUAUAUACAUAUAAACCAGGUCUUCUUUGAUCUACAUACUAUCAUUAACGUAUAUAUACUAUACAGCAGUGUGAAAAAGAACUGUGUGUGUGCCAGUGGUCGUGAGUGUCAUUAGUGAGGGAUGCAAGGUAGGUUGUGUGAACAAUCAAUACCUAGGUCCCAUAAAUUAUAUAAGGAGGGAAUUACCAUCUAAUCAUCAAAUUCAUAUCCAUUUUUCAUACAACAUGACAAACUGUCCAGACAGAGAACAACCGGUGAAAGCCAUUUACCAUGAAAGUGGAAAAUAUAAUCUAUGAACCAACCUUAACUGACAUUCUUGUAUGGCUGAUGGUAGAACUUGAAUGUCGACUUCUGCCACCACUGCUCUGUUCAGAUUUCUUACUCACUUCCAUCUCAACUCCUCCAGUCGAAGCAACUACACUAUUUGUAUUGGUUCCAGUAACCGACAGUUCAGUGAUAUUAGAAACCACAUCCAAGUCUUUAUCAUCCUUGUGAUUGUAUUCACCUUCAGCAGUCAAGAGCCAGUUCCAAACUUUCCCAUCAUCCGAAAUGGAGACCAAAUGUGUUUUAGAAAGAACAAGAGGCGCAUCACAAAAAUCAAAAGGAUUAUCAAAUUCCACAGCGGAGAAAGGAGAAUCCGGCGCAUCAGAAUAUAGCUUGCCGAUGUUUUGCAAGGUUGAAUCUGAUUGGGAGAUGGCCAGAGCAAGAACUGAAGGAGAAGGUACUGAUGUGCCAAGCGAGGGCAACAACUCUUCCAUUGAACACAUUUCGUGCACCUGUUCUCCUCUGCGUAUAAUACAACAUGCAUAAUAAGUACAUUCCCAACUGAUAAGACCUCUAAUCACACUCAUAUCGGCAGUAAAUCUACACGAACAUCAAUGCUAGCUUCUCUUCGAUUCUAACAUUCUACAUUGUCAUUGCAUUAUCGAAAUUCAAACACAGCAUAAUCAUAACAAUCAAAUAAGAGCACAUACUCUUUUCGGCGCCAAGUACUGAGCCUCCCAUCAACAUGACCACAGUAUAGAAACUCGUUAUUCGGAUCCGGCAACACAUCCAUAAACUUGCCACAGCCACGAGGCAAUGCAGCUGUAAACAGCUGCGUCUCGUACUGCAAAUCGAACACCACCAGCUCCCUGGGGAACGUCACAUACAGAAUGUGCCUCCAUUGCGGCGAGAAGGCAAACCUCGCGGCGUAGAGCGGGAACGCCGCGGAAGCCGACGACGUGCUGCUCCCUGCAACUCCUCCUCCUCCGCCGCCGGCCAGCUCCCUCUCCAGCUUCAGCAGCUCAUUGGAUUCGGUCCGAAUCUGAAGCUCCUUGAUAACGACGUCGUCCUCCGUCUCGCCUAAAACGGUGACGGAGAGCAAGAAGCCUUUGAGUCCGACGACACAGAAAUGGCGGGAAUCGAAGGGAUCGCGGCGGACGCAGGAGAGAAUCUCCGGCGCGGCGUCGUAUUUCCAGAAGCAGCGGCCGGUGGAGGAGGAGAAGAGCGAGAGGGAGGAGAAUCCGGAGAGCGCGGCGAGGAGGUAGGAGUCGGGUCGGGCCUGGACCCAGCAGAUGUCCUGGACGGCGAGGCGGUCGUCGGAGUCGAACCAGAGGACGGGGCUCUUGAGGCGGAGGUCGAGCAGCGCGAUGCGGCCCUGGCGGUCGCCGGCGGCGAGGAGGAGGUGGGAGCUGGAAGGCUCGGUGGAGAGGAGGUCGCGGCCGAGAGGGAGCGGGGUCCACCGGACGGAGGUGACGAAGGCGGAGAGGGAUGACGUGGCGGAGGAGGGGGGAGGCAUGGGGAGGGAGACGACGAGCUGCAUUGAGCGAGUGUCGACGACGGAGAUGGAGCUGCCGGCAGGGAACGCGAGGAGACCGGCGGGGCUGACGUCAGCGGAUCCGAAGUUGCUGCGGCUGGGCGGGCCCGGGAGCAUGCAGUCCCAGCAGUCCUGGACUGUGGCCGGCGCCGGUGAUCUUGGGCUCGACAUGGUUCCGGCGAAGUGAGAGAAAGAGAUCAGGUCAUUUGCUGAUGCGGUCUGAAGAGUCUGAGCUUGCUCUCUGUGAAAAUGGUGAGGUCAAUUUGUGAGAUCGCUGUAAUGAAAAUUCAAAGGUCUUUUGAGAGUCCAGGAAGAUUUAAAUCGCGUGUUGAGCUUUAAUGAGUUUAAUCAGUACAGUAGUAUAAUACCCCAAAUCCAGAGACCAGUGCUGUAAAUUCUGAUUUUGGGCUUAAAUGGAGUUAGGUUGAUCCAUUUAAUUGAGCCCAAUUUAUGUUUGUUGAAUCUUUCCUCCUAGGAAGAGGAAUCCUUUUUAUGUUUUCAUGAUUGAAUCUUGAAGAUUGAGUGGUUUUGGCACAUUGGGCAUGUAAUAUCGUGAAGUUCGAACUAGAUGACAAUGUAGAUCGUGAGAUAUCGUCGAUAUAUAUCAAAUAGUUGAGAUCUUGUUAUCCGUGUUUUCUAUCUUACGUACCGAUGUAAAUAUGGUGUAUUAUAUUUUCAAUGGGUGAUAGUAUAGAUUGUGAGAUCUCACCGACAUAGAGAUUGGGAUUUUGUUGCGCAUGGCCUUAGGACUAUGAGUCAUGCUCACUAUCUCAUCAAUCAAGGCUUCAUCGUUGCUAACAAAUUCAUACCACUUGAAGUGAGUUAGGCUCAUUGUCAUACAUAAGUACGUACACAUUUGAUUUUAAUAAUAAUGAUCCUUGUUGUUAAAAAGAAAAAGAAGAUACACAUUGUAGAUUGAAACCGUCGUUAAAGACGUGCCAACUCACUUUGUGAACCACACCAAAUCUCGAUUAGUUUUGUCCUUCGAUUCACUACACUCUACAAUAGUUCUUGAUAUGUAUUGGAUAAGUUAUGUAUUUGACCAUUUUUCCAUUUGAUCUCUACACAGCUAUGUUUGAUACCUGAACAGAAAGACUAAGCUAAAGAUGAUCCAUGAAAAAUUAUUCAAGCACCAACCGAAGAACCUUGCUCUAAACCUUCCUCCAUAAUAUUUGAGAACCGAUUUGCAGACACCCGUCCGGCAACAGUCCAAAAGAGGUCGUCGUCAAACGAGCCAUAUUUCUCAAACCCUAGAUCUGUCUGAGUUUAUUGGAGCGUCGUCCUUGUACUAAGCUAAUUCCAUUGUAUGUAGCAAGGUUUGAUUAGCAUACAUUAUGAUACAUUUCCAACUAAUGAAUCAUCAAUUAUGUCCUUAUUUUCACUAAAAGAAUCAUUUACAAUCAUGACUUGAAUACUUUCAUUGGGCAUGAGGAAAUGAAAUUACUUCUAGUGGGAAAACUUAUGGGAAAGGAAAAUAAACUUGUCGUUAUAGCUUUGCAUUCUGUUGUUUGGAAACGGUGGGAAAUCAAUGAGGAAAUGUGUUUGUUUCCAUUUUUUUUUUUUUUGUCUAAGAAAAGGAAACAAAAUGAUAUCAAUAUCCAUUUAUAUCCUCAUAUAGUUACAAAAUCUCAAUACAAUUUAACUAAAAAAUUUAAGAAUUAUUGUUAACAAGACAUAAAUAUAUUUAUGUAAUGUAAUCGCACAAUUAAUGUUGGGAAUUGGCAGCGGAAAAUCAAUCUCAUGGAUUAUGAAAUGAACAAUUUUUCCCCUGAUUUUCCAUCUAUAACGGUUUCAAAGUGUGUGUCCUCCAAACAAAGAAAAAUAAUAACUUCCAUUUCUUGAUUCCUAAUAUUACCAUACAUGGACAAAGAACUCUAGACCAACAAUGUUAUAAAUACCGAGGUUUGCGUUCAUCAUGGAUCAUAACCAAAGUUGAUAGCUAAAAGAAUAGAGAGAGCUAGAAUAUUAGUUAGCUAUGGCAUUCGCAACAUAUAGUAUGGUUUCUCUCAUGAUGUUACUAGCACUACUCAUGCUAACAACAACAGCUCUUGCUCAUAAGGAAGUUAAUGAUCAUGUAACACUUCCCAUUCAGUCUCUUCCAUCGUCAGAAUUAGGUUCGGGUUCUGCUAAGCCGGAAGGUUUAGUCGACAUGAGUAGUCCAUGUUUCAUCCAAUGUGGUGUUAUGUGUCUCGCUGGUAAGGCAUCCAUGAUAGCAUCACCUGAUAAGUUUAGCUUUGGCAAAAUCUGGAGAAAAACCCGUGAGGGGAUUUGUAUUAGUAAGUGCGCGCUCGGGUGCAAACUCAUUGGCCAGGCGAAUGUGAAGCCGGAGCAUUAUUAUUGUACUCUUGAAUGUGUUCACAAGUCUACUGCUAAAACAAAAUUAACUGGUUCAGGUACAUAUUGCAAUUGCAUUUUACUUUAACUGGGAUUUAUAUAUUGAUUAUUCUAUAGUUAAGUUUUGAUAUAUUUAUGUUUAUGUUGGAUGUAGAUACUCAUACAGCUUGGAACAAUUGCUACAACGCGAUCCAAGCCAUAUGCUGUUUCGCUUGAAAGGACAAGCAAGCCUGAUGCGACACUGGUCUUAGAAGUGGAACAUGCCCUAUAGCAAGCAACCUGCACAACAACCUCUCAUUAUCCCUUCACCUCCCGUCUACAAUCUUGAUUGAGUCCCUUGGAAUUAAAAAGAUACGGAGAAGAAAGGGAGUCGCCACCUAAUAAAAUAACUCUCUCAUAAUUGCGUAGAUAGUCAGUGUGGCUAUCUAAAGUCAGAGAGAGGAUCGAGAAACCAUCGCCCAAAGGUGCUCAUUGAGCCGGUCACCGGUGGCUAAGAAACUCGUCUCGCUAAAGUGCGAAGAGAGCUAUCAAGGUUGAACACUUUAGAGAUCCAGUAGUAGUCGAUCAAACAACUAGUUUGUUUCGUUCUAGAAAAUAAAUAGUUUGUUACAAUUAGUAGUGACAAUCGUGAUCCAAUUUGAUGUCUAGUAUUUGGCUUUGGUAGUGUUCGACUUUGUUAUGAAUUUUUGUUUGAGGUAAAAUGGAGUAUUCCCAUGAUCAUUGAUCAUAACAAUCGAAAACGGUAGGGUCUGAAAACCACUGAAGCCAACAAAGUUCAAACCUAAAUUGAACUACAUCUAAUAAUUGAAAUAACAAUCUCAAAACUACAUCAAAAAAUGGAUAUGAAUACUAGAAAUCAUAAUAACCUCACAUCUACGUUGCAUGGAAGUGGAAGCAGAAACGGAAACGUGGAAGCGAAGCGUUCGGAAGGGCAGAAGCGUUUUUUUUCAAAAAUUAUUGGAAGCGGAAGCACUUUGGAAGCGUGGAAUAAAAUAAUAUAAAAAUAACAAUAUAACUAGUUUUCCAAAUCUUCUUAUUUAUUGUUAAUAAUAAAUAUAAAUUAAUAAAACAAUUUGCAACCUCUUAAUUAUUUAAUUGUUUAGCCUCUUAACAAGAUAAUUAUCUACUAUUAAGAUAACUAUUAAUCCCACAGUAGAAUCCCACAAUAACUAUUAAUCCCAUCCAAACACUAUUCUUUUUGAAAGAAAAUAAAAACACAACUAGCACGUGGGUGUGCAAAUCAGGAGAGUGGAAGCCAUCCAUCUUCUUUGUUGACUUGACGAACAGAAGAAGAAUAGUCCAUCUUCUCCCUUCAGCAUCUCUUUUCUCUUUGUUCUUCAAUUCUCCAGUUCCCCCUCACCUCUCUCUCUCUCCCCAGAUUCAGAUUUGUUUUGUCUUUCCUUUCUCGAUCAAGGGGUCGUCAAGGAGAGGACGAGAUAGAUCAUCGAUUGCAUAAGAGUGAAAGAAGAUCAACGCGCCGCUGAGCCACAGUGCUUGUCUGCGCUUCCAAAUCGAAGUCGUGUGCUUCCAUAUCAGAAUCGGACCCUACCGCCGCGCUUCAAAAACCCCAUUUUCCCGGAAUCACGCUUCCAGACGCUUCCCCGCGCUUCCGCUUCGCUUCCGCUUCGGAAGCGAGAAGCGUGACCAUCCCAGCGCUUCCGUGCUUCCUAGCCUCACAUACCCCAAUGAUGUACCUUACAUCAAAGGAAGAACUGUUAAGGCACAUGUAGGGGUUUAAUCAGCCCACAAUGAACCAAAAAGCAAGGCCCUAAUCCAAAAAGGUCCAAGCAAGAUUAAGGAGAGGGAAAAUGGGCUUAAGCCAACCUUAGAACGAUGUCAUUCCCAGCAGCAAAAUCUAAGCAGUGUCACCUGCAACAAUUACACAGACUUGUCACCUUUUGAAUAAAAGGGAAUGAGAAGCAAAAUCACCAUAACAAAUUUUCAUCAGGCAAACUCCCAUACAUGCUUCAAUAUUCAAAGACCAAUUUUAUCAAAACAUGCAAGCCCUCACAAGUCUGAAACUGUUACAAAAUUCAUAUAAAGCUCAAGUGCUUCAAAUGAAAGCUACUAAAGUCACAUCAACAAUCAAAAUCCAGGCCCUAAUAUAAGUAAUGAGCAGCACGACUGUCGUCCUUCCAAGAAGACUCCAACGCACACUCCACAACAAAAGCCGGGACAUCAGGUGGUAUAAAUCCCAAGUCACUCUGAGCUUUACCCAACUCUUCCUCAAGGCAUACAAGUUCCUUCUUCUUUUGCAAUAUUGUCACUUGCAAGGUGCGAACUCUAGCACAACAAUCAUCUGACCCUUCAGGCUUCAUCAUGUAGCCAAAGUAUUGUCGAGCUGCUUGCAUCAAGAAAUCCAACAAAAACCCAACAUUUAAUCCAGCCUCCAUAAAAUCACGGCAGACAUCUCUCCAAACAAGGAAUGUUUCCUCAUUCUUCACCUGACAAGCUUCCAUGCUAAGUAACAUCAUUCCAAAUUCCUCGAUCAAUUUAUUUUUCUUCUUCAAGGUGUAUUCCCGAUUAACCAAACCCAGGAGAUUUCCCUCGCAAUACUUUUCAGAAAAUUUGGUUAAGGGACUCACCAACUCUGAAGAAACUCUCAUGCCUUGAAACUCAACGGUAUCUCUACUCAAUUGGGGGGCAAUAUCAUCCAUACUCAAGGGAGAUUCGACAUUGGAAUUAAAUCGGGUAGCAAAGUCAUCCAUGCGAGCCACCCAUUCACUUGUAUGUCCUCUUGCAGGCCAACUCGAAUCAUGACACUGAGCAUUGGUAGUUGUUAGCUGGUCAUCGGCCGAAACAUGCUCGUUUAACGGUGUGAUCAUUGUUGUGGUAAUGUUAUCUAGUGCCUGCUCAGGUACAUUAAGUUCGGCUGGAGAAACACUUGUCAAUGCAUGUGUGGUCUCCUGCUCAUUGAAUCCAUUUGAUGUCGUUUCCAUCAUUCCUGUAUCAUUGUCCUCCUCAUUGAGUCCGUCCACUGUCGUUUCCAUAAUUCUUGUAUUUGUAACCUCCAAAGGUUGAUCCUGCUCCUUGUACAAAAAAUAAGAAGAAGUGUCAGAAUGUGUGAUCUUGCGAAAAAAGACAUGCUUUUCAUAUUCCUCAGUAUCAAAGGGGCAAAACAAGCAUGAAAACAUUAUAAAAUUACUCAAGCAGUUGCGGUCAACUCAAAACAUGCAAAGCUAUGUCUUAAUUCAAAAGUCUAUCACCAAACAAGCACCUGCUUCUUUCAACAUCCAUGCAUGCACAUUCUUCUUCUAUUUUGAACACGCAUCUGUACAUGCAUAUGGCAAAAUGUUCAUCCAUGACAGUCCAAGCAAUUAAACAAAGUUGACUUAAGGCCAUGCCAUUCACGCAAAUUAUCCAAGCAGUUCAAACGUUCUAGGUUACUCAAGUUACCGCCAUGCAAAUUCAUGACACACAAGCAUUUCAUCUUAUUUACUCACAUGAUUACAAGAAAAAAUCAAACUAAUGCAAGGAAAUUGAAAAUUCAGAUAAAAAAGUCACAUGUUUAUCACUCUCAUGCUCAAGCUCAUCAGAUCUCAUGUUAACCUGAUCACCAUUACUCAAACUUUUGCCGUCGUUAUCCUGCAACAGAGAGCCAGCUCCAGACUCCUUAAAAGAAAAAGAAAAAAUUGACGGGUACAGUGGGAAAGCUAUUAAAAGUGAUACUCACUUCAUGGUCGUUACUCAUGCUUUCAUCAUCUCUGUUGAUCUGCAAAAGAGAAUUAUUUUCAGAUUUGUCAAGGAAAAAAAAAAGAGAAGAAGAAGAAAAGAACGGCACGGAGGUAAUAAAGAAGAUGAUGCUCACUUCAUCGUCACUACACAUGCUUUCAUCUCCAUCACUUGUGCUUUCAACUCCGCUGGUCUGCAAAAGAGAAUCAAUUUCAAGUUGUGCCAAACAGAAAAAUGAUCUCAAAUGAUUAACUACAAGUUCUACAUCAACAAAAGCAAAGUACCUCGUUUGAGGAGUCAAUGCGACCCUGUUUGGAAUCUUUCCCAUGAUCGUGUUCCGUAUCAGACAACACGAUGUGAACUAGAGGACCACGAGGAGAAGAAGAGUUGAUGAAUUUUAUGCGAUUGCUUCGACAAAGAUGGGUAUUUGGAUCCAAUUCAAAUUUCCUUUUGAUGCCUUUUCUUGCUUUUGGGCCCAAUGCAUCACCCUGGACUUCAGCUUCCAAGCCGAAAUUAUAAUCGAGUUAUCAGUAUAUCAAAGAUAACUAUACUUCCAGAACAGAAAAAUCGAAAGCUCUUUCUAUAUUUCCACCAAAAUACGUAAAAAAAAAAAAGUAAAAUAAACAAACUUACUUGGUUCCCAAUCAUCACGAGUCCCUGGAAUUUCAUUACAAAGCAGCCAUUAAAAAUAAAUAAUAAUAAAAAAAAACAGAGAUAUUCCCAGCAAAUUCGUUAGACCUUGUGUCUAUGGAACAGUAGGAACGGAGGAGCUCUGCUCACCGCUUCCCGUUUCCUCUAGAAGAUAUUUUUAAAAAUUGUUCCACUGCCUACGUAAAAAAAAGUAAAAUAAACAAAGUUACUUGAAUCAGAGCCACCAGAAUUAUAGUCAAUGUGAUUCCCUCCCACACCGCUUCUGGUCUCCACACUUUGUUCCCGAUCAUCACGAGUCCCUGGAAUUUCAUUACAAAGCAGCCAUUAAAAAAGAAAAAAAAAAACAGAGAUAUUCCCAGCAAAUUCUUUAGACCUUGUGUCCAUGGAACAGUAGGAAUGGAGGAGCUCUGCUUAUCGCUUCCUGUUUCCUCUAGAAGAUAUUCUUUAAAAUUGUUCCACUGCCUUUUAUGCUUGACGUAGCUUCUAGCUUUUUGGCCGUUUUCUACGUUGACACAAAGAAGAUAUCAAUAGAGGGAAUGAUCCCAAAAAAAGAAAAAGAAAGCGAGAAUGGGAGAAACAUACCUCGUUUAAGCAAGGGCCGACUCAAAUCCGGAUUAACCAGCCCGAGUCUUGACAAGCAUAACUCUGGACGGUGAUGAAUAAAGUCCCUUUUAAUUGGGUGAAUCAACACCCCCCAAUACCUCUUCAUUUCCAGUUGUUCCUUAAGGGCAUCAGGGAGAGGAUCAGGGUUUAACCUUGAGUAAGGUGUCUCGUUAUACUGCAAAAAGUAGGCAAAGUUUGUAAUUAAUUAAACUGCACACUGAAAACGACAAAGAAGGAAAGAAAAACAAAUAACACAAACUAUAAAUACUUACCUCAAGUGAAUUCAGGGAAGCCAAGUGCCGUCUAUAAUACUUCGCCCUGUUUUUGUUUUCGAGCGCCUUGGACAUCAACGGCGCCCAGCCAAGAGACAAAGGGAAACACCCAGGCAAUUCAGGGACAUGGUCGGGUCCAAAAAAUUCUUUUCUAAUGCUACCAAAACUCUCAAGAGCCCAAAUUUGCAGAAAUAGCAAAUGGCUCGGUAUCGACUGACUCUUUUUGUCUUUUGUUUUUAACUUUUUUAAGGUCAAGUGCAUAUGAGAUAACAUGUGAGCUCCAAAGGCAGUUUCCUUUAUGUCCUCAAUUGUUUUCAUACCAAAUAAUGGUUUCGUCGACACCCACUUGUGCUCUGUAGUGGCUAAGAACGUUGUCCCCAAUAUGUAGAGGACACACGCUCUAACAUAUUUCACAAAUUUGACAUUAUUCACAACACUGAAAGAAACUAUAAAUCUUUCCAACCAUUUCAAACUCACUGACUGACCUUUCACAUAUUUUUUAUUUUCCACUAUCCCUAUCCCCCGGACUUUCCACCCUUGACCGGUUUCGCAUCUAGUAAUCGCUUUGUACGUCUCUAACGGUGUGAUUGCUUUCCCUUGUAUCUUAAGUCCUGUGAUCCUCAAUACAUCCUCUAGUCCGACGAACAACGAUUUUCCAUCAACUUUAAAACAUUCAUCUUCAGGGUCAUACUUAUCCACGAGAACAGAGAGAAGGCCAUUGUAGUGAUAGCAAUUAACCUUCAUUAUCUGUGCUACCCUAUGUAUGAAAUCCAACCCUGUCUCACUGAGUACAUCAGUGACCCUAGAGUGAAAUUUCAAUUUGGCUAGCUUUCCCAGCUGCUCAAUAGCUUUAGAAGAGGAUUCUAUUUCCAUUUCCACUUAAAACAAAACCAGCUACAGAUAAUGAAGUAAAAAGAGUCCACAAUUAGAUAAAUUUUCUAAAUAAUGUGGCAUUGUUUUGCAGAGAUGCUUAAUUUUAUUAGUUCACAGAGUUCACAGCUAUAGGAUAACAGAGUUUACAGUUGUAGGAUAACAGAGCUCAUUCUAUAGACAUUUUCAAUUAUAUAAUAGAGCUUGUACAGUUUAUCUGUAAGUAUACAUAUCAAUUCAUUAUCAACCUCCUACCUCCAAAAAUUUAAGCUCUUUCAGAACAUAGCCAAAAAACAAAGAAAUGCACUAAUGUAAAACUAUACCAUAAUUAAAUGUUUUAUUUUCUAAUCUCUUUCAAAUCAAGAUAAUAAUAUAUAUAUAUAUAUAUACACACACACCAUAAUCAGCAAAUUCCUGAUGGAUUAAACAAUCGGAAAUCGCAAAAGGGGGAUAAGUGAGUGGUUAAGGCCUGGAUGGGAACUAGAGGUUCUACUGUUCUAGAAGUUCUACAUCGAUAAGAGGAUAAAUAACCUCUAACACGCCCUUUGAACUAAAAUCGCUUGCUUUGAAUCUCUCAUGCUUUAAGUGUAUAGAACUAAUAGAAAAUGAGAUAAUUUCAUGAGAAGAUCAUAUUUUGACACCCAAUCCUUAACAUUCAACUCCCAAACUAAACAACCAAUGAACCAACAUACAGUAGUAAUAGACUGACGGUAUGAGAAUACCAUACUAGUAUACUAGUAUUACUAUAAUAGCAUACCUGCAAUCGAUCGAUGACUCUAACAACCUUCCGACUCAGAUGAUGGGAAACCAGUGUGACAGCAAAGUAUGCUUAUUUUUUAUGAAUACGAUCACAAAACUAACGCAUAAACUACACAAAUUUAGACAGACCCGUAUACGAUCUUUCAAAAAUUACUGGAGAAUUACCAAAACCCACAAGCUCAGAAAUGCAGUAUUCUCCGUUUUCAGAAAUGGAGGCUUACCAAAACCCUAGUAAAAUAAGAUUUGGUUUGUUUUCUUCUUUUCUUUUGAUUUAAUUUGUAUAAAAAUAUGCAGUGCCACGUCACUUGCCACAUCAUAUUUACAAUUAAUCUAGACUCUUGAAAUUUUUUAUAAUCUAAUAGCUAAGAAAUAAUGUCAAAAUUUAUGUCAAAUUUGAUGUCAUUUAAACCUGACCCAUAUAUACUAACAAGAAAUGUUCUUUAGGAAUGUGAAAGAUUGGUAAAUCACACACACUGCAACGAAGUAAAUAGUCAUGUUCAGCGAGCAGAUGCAGAAGAUCUUAACAUAAGUGUAUAAGACUUGAACACUUCUACCAAUAACAUUUCAAGACUACCUUCCAGGACAUUUGAAAUCUUCUGAGCAUUUAGAUGCAGAUUUCACAAUUAAUGAGCUUAAAAUCACUACGUUAGCUUCUUUCGAAGUCCAAAUUAACAGCACCUAUGUGUUUACAGACCUUUCAUGGGCUAUAUCCAUCACAGGUUCACAGCUAAACUGCAGCAACAACAAUCACACCUAUCCCAAAAUGCAAACUUACUCUGAUCUCUACACCUGAAGGAAAAAAAAUAUAGAGAGAAGCAUUUACGUACAAUAUGGCAAGUAUGCACAGAGUACCACACAACCUUGAAUGGAAAAUAUAAUUUCCAAUACCAGGCUAACGACUAACGAGCCUCUCGGCAUAAUGUUUUGCUCACAGAUUGAUAUCAUAUAAAAUAACUACGAUCAGUUGUUUAGUGUUCUUGCCCGGCUUUAGUUGACGACACAUGUUCUGUAUUCUGCUCCAUAAAAAGUGUGAACGAUAUACAAAGAAACCAAUAAUUAAAAAACAAGGCUGACAAACACAGAAGUUUAUUUAGCUAAAAUUUUCAAACUUAAGCCGGUUCUCAUUCUAGCUAAAAGAGAAGAAUACCCUCUUAUUUGAUAGGAGCUAAAUCUAAAGUGAAGAAAUAAUAUACUAUCCGGCAUAUUCCAAUUUGGUACUAUUAUUCUGUGAUCUUAACGGCACUGCUCUGGAUUUCAUCUUUCUGAUCAAGCAGUACUCCCCAACAGCUUACCACCAAAACAGGCGAGUCUGCACUGUGAUCGUUUCUGCUGAUAUAAAUUAAGAGCUAACAAUUAAUGUACACAGAGGUGAUCCAGCUUAACAAAUAUGAACUUUCAACAAAUACACAUUCCUUGCUUGAAAUGCAUAUAAAAAAACUAAAUGGCUUUUCGUUCUAACAACCAAAUAAUAUCCACGGUGAGGGAGCAAUAACAUCAAUAUUUGUCAUUACUUCAGUGUGCGUCAAUGAGCAAAAGGUCCGGCCUUAGUUGGUCAUACAUUUUUGGGUGCUGAGGAAGUGUUCCACACAGUCCACACUAUCAAACAUGACCAUGGUAAUUGAUAAAUGAAACAUUGAUAUAACUAAGAGCAGGAUACCUCCUCCCAUAAAAAAAGAGCAGGGGGAGACCUCCAACUAGAAGAUUCGAUUCAUGCAGAUCAGUAUAAUAUACUAAUAUAAAACUGCAGCAAUACUAAACGGGGAGUAUACAAUCCAUAAACAGUAAAGGUAUGAAUUUGCGUCAAUACUCAAUACUCAAUAGAUCACAAAUUUAAGUCAGACAGAUCUCAUGUUUGAACCAUGAAAACAUCAGCCACUGCGGCAGAACAAGACAAAUAAAAAUGGAAAAGAGAGGAUAUAACCAAAGUGGAUCGACUUUAUAUAGAUAAAAACCCGAAGCAUGAAUAAGAGAAGGCAUAAAAUGCACUGGAUAGCUCUCAAAUAGCCAGAGUACAAACUGAUCUGAUUUGCAAAACAAUUUAACUGAUAGAAAGUUAGAAACCGAAACCAAUAUAUAGUUUAAGAAACUAAAAAAAAAAAAAUCCUGCAUAAACAGUGAUAACUCAUCAUCCUCAGCAUAGUUUGUCGAUCAAUAAGCAGUAAAUGUUGUGCGAAUGGGUUAAGCGGCGGCAACUCUAGCGUGCAUCCCUACCGCACAACUGAGAAUGGAGCUGGUUUCCUCAUCAAGCGGACAGAACCCACGUGACAGCGAAUGGGCAUAGAAACCGGGGGUAUCAGGAGAAACAUCCAGUAUGAACUUGCACCAAAUAAGUCUACAAUUAUUCUCGACAAGAGAUUCCCACAGCACAGCCAGGUGGUGCUCGUUGUCAUUUCUUAUCUGAAACAACUGCGGGGAGAAUCUUUUGAAAUUAGGUGAUUCUGGGUAUGGCUGGUAAGGUACAGGAAUCACGGUUCCAUCGUUUGGGAGACCCUGAACUGGUUCAGCCAGCCAUUCACGCUGUUUAAGAUCAAAAACAUAUAUUCCAGGAACCUCCUCCUCUGGAAGCUGCACUCGAACCCUCCUCGUCAUCCUCCUCGCUUCAGGUUUAGGUUUGCGUUUGGGACUCCAGGAGACCAAUCACCGCAGAAGUUGUCAUCGAGGGCCUCGUCGUCCCACUUGCCUGAUUGCAAAUCGAAGGAAAGCAUCACGUUGGCACCAUUAUUAACUCCACCUCCUCUUCUAUAGAGGUAAAGUUUAUCCUCAGUAAUACCAAGAAGACGUGCGUGAAAUGAAAAUCCAUUACGCAUAAGUUUGGGGCCUUGUGGUAUCGGCAACUUGUCCCCUUUAUCGACACCGGAACGGAGUCGGUAAAGUGCAGGCCCGACCGAGUAAACACAACCGUCGUGCCUACCGUUACUCCUCCCCAAAAUUGUUUGUCUGCAGAUGUCCCACCUCCCGUCCUCCAUUCCUCUACUACACCCAAAUCCGAAUCCAAAUCCAUAUAACGAUAUCCAAGAGAUUCAUCAUCAGAAUUUUGCCUAUAUGUAUGGGAGUCUCCACCAAUCAGAUACACACGCGAGUUUAUAACACCAAGGUUGUUCGUAUGAGAACCUGCAUCAGGAACAACCGAACAAGGAGUCUUCUCACUCUAUUCCUUUUAGAUUUGCAUUCAGGCAUCUCGAUAGCAGAAGGUUCCGUCUGCGAUGAUUUCUCCUCAAUCUCCUUAGUCUUCUCACUCUACACAUUAUGCUUGCUAGUUGCGCCACAACAGGUGUGUCCAAAUUUACAUUGAGAUUGACAGCCAUGUAUAAGAAGAGGAGGAUAGAUAUCUUGUUGUGCGUGUUGUCUAUCCUACGUAUCAAUGUAAAUAUGGUGUAUUAUAUUUUCAAUGAAUGCCAAGGAUUUCAUCAACAUAUGCAAAAGAGAGAGGGGUCUUGUUACCCAUGACCUUCUUACUACGAGUCAUGCUAUCUAUCUCACAGGGAUUUUAUCCGUGCUAAUAACAAAUCUCUAUCAUUAGAAGUUUAUUUUGGCACAUCGCCACUAAAGUACAUAUUCGGUUCUCGAUAUCCUUGAUCCUUGUUGAAAAGAUUGAGGAAGAUACACUCUAGAUUGACACCGUUGUUGAAGAUAUGUCAACUCACUACUUAUACGAUUAUUUUGUCAUCAAAAACCUUACACCACACAUUCAAUCAUUAACAUGUUCAGUCUUUCACACCCUGCAGUAUUUCUUUACGUGUAGUGGAGAAGCUAGUCAAGUCCUUAUAACAUUCAAGCAUUUAUUGGUUAUUUGUGGAGAUGUUCAGGUUCAUCUCACUUUCAACUACGUGUUUGAGGAAACGAUAAAUUACUCUCUGUGCUUCUGUACACAAAAGAUGGCAAGCUAAUGAAGCUAUUCAAGUAAAAAACCUCUCAUGGGACUCCUGUAAUUUGUAUGGUUUGCAAGGUUGUCAGCAAAAGGGCACGAUGGCUAGAGGAGGAUAAUCCUCUUAAUGUACAAUGUACAGUAGUCGAUCUAAUUCUCUCGUAGCUAGCUAGUUUCCUUUCUUUCCUAAAUUGGAGUUUUCUUUUUUGAACAAAAUAAAUAAAUAAAUAAAGGAACUGAAAAGAUUAAUAGACUCAAAUGAAAAUCAUAUAUCAUUACAAAUAAAUAUAGUUUCUGUAUCGCUUCUCCAAAAAAAAAAAAAAAAAGUCUUCGUAUCAGCUAAGUUUGACUCCUUGACUCUGAAAAUAACAAAAGCUUAAGAAACAUGCAUGGUAAGUCUAGUGAAAGGCUUAUAGUCUCCCCGUCAAUAUUUGAGCAACAGUAAAUGUGCAGUGGUUGUAGCUACCCAUCUUCAAGGCCCUGUGAAAAGCUUCGUAAAUAUCUUCAAUCAAAUAGGGAAAUUGUGUAUAUAACUCAUCAAGGAUACCACCUGAUGCAAGCUCUGCCUGUGAAAUUCGUAAAAAUAAAAUAAAUAAGUAAGUGCUGAUUUAUAUAAAUAAAACAAAUAGUAAAUUCAAAUAAAAUUACUAAUUAGAUGAGCUAACCAUUUUCACAGUAUUCUGACUGUUGUUGUUAUACUCCUGCGCUCUCUCCAAAUGGCGCCUUACACAAUCGUGGGCAUAGAGAACAAUGGUUUCCUCCUGUAGGACCUUGUUACCAAAUCCGUCUUUCUUUACGUAAUUUCCUUGAGCAUGACCAAACUUGUACACUUCCUGUCGGUCGUUGGUCACCCGUGCAGGCCAAUCAGAAUAACGAGCACGAAGGUAUUCUAUAAAUUUUGGAUUUCUCAUCAACUUGAACUCGUUGAGGCCUUCGUAUCUGCACAGUUUAUAUAUGUUCGCGAGGAACCGGAGUUUGUCGUUGACGUCCCACGAGAUACAAUAAUUCAACACCAAGUUUACAUGGUUGGGAGAAUAGAGAGGAUAUAUAACUGAAUCUAUUGGGAUGAGUUCAGUUGAUUGAGCAUGUAAACAACAAGUUGUGGACAGAAAGGAUAUCCACCUUCCAAGAUCUUCCAUUAUUUUGGGGUUGACAUGCAACUUCUUUUCGACUUUUUUAAGCAACUUCUUCUGGACUUUUUCAAGAAUUGCAUUCAAGGCUUUAAUGUCAUUCUUGUGUAUGACUGCCUGCACAUGACUGGCAUAAGCAGCCAAAUUUAAGAAAAAAGGUCGAAGGUCAGAGGAUAUGGCUAUACCGCCUCCUCGGAGAUUCCCGUGUGCACGGUUUUUUGAGCACAAAUAUAUUAAGUUACUCCCAAUUUUCUUCAAUAUUUCCCACAUAUCCUCAUCUCUGACUCCGUCGUUAGCAAUUUCUUCAAUCCAAAAUUCGAAGUCUCUGAUAACUUUGUCGAAGACCAACAUAUAUUUGUUCUGCUGUUUCACACACUGUUUUGGGUGUAUGAGAACUCCUGAGUCGUGCAUCUUCUGAGUCUCCCACUGUUUCUGCGCAUCCACGAGGUUUUUACAUUCUUGGAUGGUUCCAAAGGAAUCUCUUCCUAUGAAGGGCUGGUACUUAAUGUACCGUAGAUGUUCGAGAUCGACAGUAAGAUAUGGUGAAGGAUCGGACGAGAAAUAAUACGGAUGUUGCGACGACAUGCGAGUUUGAAACAUCUUAGCAUUCUUUUCCAAGUCCGUUUCGAGCUUGAGAGAAGGAUUUUGAGCCAUUGCCUUGGAUUUGGGUGUUAAUAUGAUUUAGCAGCUGGAUGUCUAACUUGUAGGUGGUGAUCAGAAUCGUCUCUUGUUCGGCCUUUAAAUAAGAGAGGGACGUCUAUAACAUUGAACAUUCCCUAUCGAUUAAGAUACUUUGUUUCCUAGUGUGCAGAGGUUUAGAUUCAAUUCAGAAAGUAGUAGGAAAAUAUAAAACUGUCCCUUUUGCAAUUGUUAAGGUAUUGUGUUUCAUAUCUACGAAAAUAUACAACGUACUUUCCCUUUUCACCAAGGCAUUGUGCUCCUAGUGCAUGUUGGGCUUUUGUUUUAAUGGUAGUUGAAAAUAUUUAAACGAAGGCAAGUGAUUUCCCGUUCGAUGUCCAUGACUUUGGAAUUCCACAAACAAACUGAGCAUCCUUAAUCUUAGUUAGUUCCUUCCAAUCUUCCAUUUAGUUUUCUCUAGCUAGAGCAAAGACACGUGUCAUCAUGUCGCAGGUUUCUCUGCUUACUAAAAUGUCUCCAUAUUAUUUUGAGACUUCAUUGUAAUUCGGGGUUCAGUUUUCAUGUCCCCCUUUGUAUUCGAACAUUAAUAAAUGCUUAAAGGCAAGCACAUCAAACCUUUAUUCAGAAAAAUAAUAUUUGUCCUACUAAAUUGACUGAGAGAAAAAGACAUGUCAACUUGGGUGUUAUCGAGGUUUUGUGUUGUAAUUUUGUUUAUAAUCAUUGGGAGAAAAAAAAUUCUUGAUUAGGGGAUAGUCAUUAAAAAAAACGAAGCAGUUUACAUGAGAUUUGGAACUGUGGAUUAUCCGAUCACUUCAAACCAGUGGACCAGAUAACCCAAUUCACAAGAAAACAUGUAAUGACAAGUUCAAACAAACAAGCCUACGAAUAUGAGUUAAAAAGCAAGUCCAAAACAUUAAUCUAUAACAAGAAUGCAAACCCGAGUCAAGGACCGAUUCAUGAAUAUCAAAUUGGGCAAUAAACUUGCCGGAACCCUUGAAACCUCGUUACCACGCAACGCAAACUCAACAGACCAACACGCAUUGCCCAGCUUGACAGAAAAAGAAAAAAGGAAAAAAAACACAAAAUCAGUUCAAACCACUAACUAGCCCACAAGCAUGCCUAAAAGACAUGUCAAUUAACUUUAGGUAGUUCGGUACCAAACCCUAUUCUCCUAAACACCAAAACUCAAAAGCUACCGCAAUAGACACCAAACCCUAAAUCUCUUCCUCUUCAAUUAAUCAAGUGAUGGCCUUCUCCGCGCUCUCGAAGAAGACCAUUGAAUCCUCCUUCAAGGUGUCGUCAUCCAUCAACGACGGCACCAAGUCGUUCACAAUCUCUCUUGCAUUGACAAGUUCGAAGGUUGUGAACAUCUCUGCUGACACCUUGUGUGUGCAACACAUGCAUGAAGAAGCUUUCCAAUAGGAUCUGGGUGCCCGAAAUCCAUAUCCAAGAAUGGCCGAACUCGAACCCGAAACUAGAGCCAAACAAGGAAAAGAAGAAACCAAGCUUUGUGAAUGUGCCUAAACCUCUAAGCCCUAAUCUCAUAGGCUAAGAGGUUUUUUGAAUUUUUUUUAUGAUGAACUUCCCUAUGAUUUGUGUUUUUCCAUGGAUUAUAGGUUAUAAUUUUCUGUCAUUUCCCUUAUUUCCAUGUUUGGAAGCUUAUCUAGCCAAUACUCUAUUACCUAUGUGAUUAUAGGCUCACUUUGAUUAUCAAGUGAGUGAGAAUUGUGUAAGGAGAAUACUCCCCCUUACAUGAAUCAAACGAUCUUAUUUUGUCGUCUGUAAGUAAGACAGUGAAUCGAUUCAUGAUGUAAUCUCUACUUUUGAUCGAAUGAAUAUUUUUCUCUAAAACAAAUGUUAGUUUAACAAUUAAUGCAUGUAAUAGUAAAUAUUGCUAAUGUGUUUAUUUUUNUUGUGUGUGUGUGUGUGUGUGUGUGNNNNNNNNNNNNNNNNNNNNGGGGGGGACACAUGUUACCAAUAUUUCAAGUUUUGAAAUUAAGUAGCUUGACUCGCAAGAGGAGACGAACUAAGGCGGGGUAAUUUCAUCUAUUUGGUCGUAAAGUUCCGAGUAACAACCUCUAACGCCAAGACCCUAAACUGGGAAGAAGCUAGGUUGUUUGUGAUUCAACCCUCUCAGUCUAUUCCAAGACCCCUUUCUUUGUGGGUUCCCCCUCCUGUAAAUGUGGUGAAGAUCAAUUUUGAUGGUGCCUGGAAGAAGUCAAAUCAUAACAGUGGCUCGAGAGUUAUUAUUCGCAGCCAUAUGGGUGUGUCUAUUGUAGAGGCUAGCCUCUUUCGGUCUCACAAUUCGGUUUCAAAAUGGUUGUGGUUCUGAAAUUGGAGCAUAUUAUUGUCGAAGGGGAUUGUCAGGAGCUGAUCAAGGCUCUAAAUGAGUCUUCAGCUUCUCCUUGUUGGAGAAUCUCCCCUAUCCUAAACAAGGUCGCUCAUUUGGUGCCACUAUUCAAAAGGAUUCAUUGGAACUGAGUUCCACGAGAAGCUAACUGCCUUGUAGAUGCAGCGGCUAAGCUUGCCAUCCUGAGUUUGUGCUCUCAAGAAUGGGCCAGCAGGCCCCUAAACUCUCUAAUCAAAGUCUUAAGGAGUGAUGGAUUGCAUGGUCCUCCUUAGCCUGGCUUUGGAGCUAUGCGAGCUAGCUAUUAGUGCUUCAAGUUUUCUGGCGGUUUUCUUUCAUUGUUGUUUGUUUGUUCUCUUUGUUUUGUUUCAGUGGUUUUGUAUUGCCUUCUGGCUUUGUUUAAUGCAUUGAUCUAUCUUGACAAAAAAAAAACAAAAACAAAAACAAAAACAAAAAAACCUCUAACGCCCAACACCAUUGCGGCAGGAGGGGACUUGCCCAUGAUCAGCCUACUUUGCCAAGGUCACUUUUUUACCACCGACCAAUAUACUGUUGUAGCUCUCUCUAAAUAAUCUUUAUUUUCAAGUGUUAAGUAAAUCAAUUGUUAAGUAUGCAUUAAGUAACUCAAUUGCCACAAAAGUUAAUAAGCUUUAUUUUCGCAUCGGUUUUUCCUGCACAGUAUAUUAAGUUAUUAACACAGGAAAUGUUCUUUAGGAAUGUGAAAGAUCGUUAAAGCACGCGUACAGCAACAAAGUAAAUAGUCAUGUUCAGCGAGCAGAUGCAGAAGAUCAUAACAUAAGUGUAUAAGGCUUGAACACUUUUACCAAUAACAUUUCAAGCUUACCUUCCAGGACAUUUGGAAACUUCUGAGCAUUUAGAUGCAGAUUUCACAAUUAAUGAUCUUAAAAUCACUACGUUAGCUUCUUUCGAAGUCCAAACAACACGUUUGUGUUUACAGACCUUUAUAUCCAUCACAAGUACGUUCAGAACUAUACUGCAUAAGCAACAACAAUCACAUGCAAUUAUUCCAAAAUGCAAACUUAUUCUGAUCUCCACACCUGAAGAAAAAAAAAAGUACAGAGAAGCAUUUACAGUCUGGCAAGUAUGCAUAGUACCACACAACCUUGAAUGGAUAAUCUAAUUUCCAAUACCAGGCUAACAAGCCUCUCGGCAGAAUGCUUUGCUGAUAUAUAUAGUAGAAUAUAAUUCAGUAAUUCACAGUUUAUGGAAGUACUCAAUGAUGCUGCAACAACUAUGAUCAGUUGUUUAGUGUUCUUGCCGGGCUUUAGUUGACGACACAUGUUCUGUAUUCUACUCCAUAAAAAGGGAACGAGGUACAAACUACAAAGAAACCAAUAACUAAGAAACAUGGCUGACAAACACAUAUAUAUAAGUUUAUUUAGCCAAAAUUUUCAAACUUUAGUCGUUUCUCAUUCUAGCUAAAAGAGAAGAAUACCUCUUAUUUGAUAGCAGCUAAAUUUAAAGUGAUGAAAAAUACUAUCCGGCAUAUUUCCAAUUUGGUACUCCUAUAAUUCUGUGAUCUUAACGUGCAGUGCUCUGGAACAGUUUACCUCCAAAACAGGCGAGUCUGCACUGUGAUCGUUUCUGCUUAUAUGAAACAUUGAUACAACUAGGAGCAUGAGACCUCCCUCCAAUCUAAGCUCUCAUAAAAAAAAGAGCAGGGGGAGACCUCCAACUAGCAGAUUCCAUUCAUGCAGAUCAGUAACAAAAUUGCAGCAAUUAAUACUAAACGGGGAGUAUACAUACCAUAAGCAGUAAAGGUAAGAACAACAAUAUAUAUAUAUAUAUAUAUAUAUACUGUAUGCAUAUAUACCUUGAAUUGCAUGAAUUUGCGUCAAUAGAUCACAAAUUUUAAGUCAGACAAAUCUCAUGUUUGAACCAUGAAAACAUCAGCCUCUGCUGCAGAACAAGACAAACAAAAAAGGAAAAGAGCGGAUCCAAAGUGGACGACUUUAUAUAGAUAAAAACCAGAUUUCAGUAUGGUUCGCGAAACAAGUCAAACAACACGUAGCAUGAAUGAAUAAGAAGGCACCAUAAAAUGCACUAGAUAGCUUCCAAAUGGCCAGAGACUGAUCUGAUUAGCAAAAACAAUUUAACUGAUAGAAACCAAAACCAAUAUAUAUAGUUUAAGAAAUUAACAAACUAACUCAAUCCUCCAUAUCAUCAUAGUUUGUCGAUCCAUAAGCGGUGGCAACUCUAGUUUGCAUCCCUACCGCACAACUGAGGAUGAAGCUGGUUUCCUCAUCAAGCGGACAGAACCCACGUGACAGCGAAUGGGCAGAGAAGCUGAGGAAAUCAGGAGAAAUAUCCAGUAUGAACUUGCACCAAAUAAGGCUACAUUUCAACCCGCGAGAAGAAUCCCACAGCAAAGCCAAGUGCUGCUCGUUGUCAUUUCUGAUCUGGAACAACUGCGGCGAGAAACUUUUCAAAUAAGGAUAUGGCUGGCAAGGUACAGGAAUCACGGUUCCAUCGUUUGGGAGACCCUGAACUGGUUCAGCCAGCCAUUCACGCUGUUGAAGAUCAAAAACAUAUAUUCCAGGAACCUCCUCCUCCUCCUCAUCCUCCUCAUCCUCCUCCUCCUCCUCCUCCUCCUCCUCCUGAACCCUCCUCGUCAUCCUCCUGGGUUCUUCUAAUUCUUCUUCGGAUGUAGGUUUAGGUUUGCGUUUGGGACUCCUGGUGCCCAAAGAAAACAAGUAGCGGUCCUCGUAAAGCACCACCCCGGGAGACCAAUCACCCAAGAAGUUGUCAUCGAGGACAUCGUCGUCCCACUUGCCUGAUUCCAAAUCGAAAGAAAGCAUCACAUUGGCAUCACCAUUAACUCCAGCUCCUUGUCUAUAGAGGUAAAGUUUAUUCUUAGUAAUACCAAGAAGACGUGCUUUAUAUAAAAAUCCGUUAGGCAAAGGGUAGGGGCCUUGUGGUAUCGGAAACUUCUCCCAUUUACCGACACCGGAACGGUUCCGGAGUCGGUAAAGCGUUUGUCCGAUCGAGUAAACAGAACCGUCGUGGCCAACCGUUACUCCUCCCUCAGAUUGACUGACUGUAGAUUUCCCACCACCUGUCCUCCAUUCCCCUACUACUCCCAAAUCCGAAUCCAAAUCCAAAUAACGAUAUCCAAGAGAUUCAUCAUCAUCAGAAUUAUGGGUAUGUGGCAAGCCUCCACCAAUCAGAUACACACGCAAGUUUAUAACAGCAAGGUUGUUCGUAUGACAACCUGCAUUGGGGAGAAGGAGUCUUCUCACUCUAUCUCUUUCAGAUUGACAUUCAGGCAUCUCGUUAGCAGAAGGUUCCGUCUGCGAUGAUUUCUCCUCAAUCACGUACCAAUAGAUCUUGUCAAUGCUCGAUACUCGUACGUAAAUCCGCCUGUCCUUGCCGCUCUCUCCCUCCACUGCGACUGCGCCUGCACCUGUUACACACAUCUCGACCCCUUCUUUGCCGUCGACUUAGGGUUUUUAGGUUUAUUAGAUGGAGGCUUCUUUCUUCUGAAAGAUGGAGGCUUUUGUUGAUUAUAUAGGGGUUUAUUUCUUUUUUUUUUUUUUUUUUUUUUUUAACAGAUGAAAAAAAGGACUAUGUUUCAGAUUUUGAACCUAUGUUUCAGAACCGGGAAAUAAAGGACUAUGUUACCAAAAAGUCUUUUUUGUCUGCGAGUUGCUCAGGAAAUUCACCUGAUAACCUUCCUCACUAUAGUCCCGACCAUGUAAGACUUGUUUUUAGCUAUCCAAUCUCCUGAGAAUAAACUCAGGUUUAUAGCAAACAUAUAUAAAUUGUGCAGAGAAAAAAGUCACGGCACCAUGAAGUUGAUGCAUGAGUCUCACUUUGCGAAGCAUCUCGUUCGUCAGUAUUCUAAUUGGCCCUCAAAGUUGAGUAAAGACGCUAUAGCUCUUAAAGAAGCGUACGAUUUUGGUCUUACGGAUUAAUCUCUACAAAAAGCAAGACUCAGCUAGCAAGACAAAGGUCUUAUGCGAGGCAUCGAUUGUAAUAUUUGCUAACAAUUGUAUUCAGCACCACUGUGAGAGAGCAAAAAACUAUAACAAGGCGUAUGGCACACAUCUGGUAAGCUAUUUUAACAAGUGCUUGCAAUAUUAUUUAAAGUAGUGUUUAUUUUUUUCUUUUUUAUUAAAUCAAUACUAAUUUAUCUCUUGUCUGGAACAGCGGGAUCUUAUAUCGAGUCAAAUCCUUACUCAGUUAUGUUUGAAAUUUCCAAAUUUGGUUGAGAACAUCUACGAAGCCUUUUACAUGGCAUUGGCGUUUGGUGGCUACUCACAUCCCACAUUUUUUGUUGCUCAAAUAUUGACUGGAACAAUUUAAGGUAAUUGGAUUCCCCAUAUUUCUUGUAGCUAGUACAUUACAAUGUUGGUUAUUUAAAUUUGAUAAGAUUACGGAUAAGAUUAUUACGUGAUGUAUAUUGACCUAUAUUUUUCUUUCUUUACAGAUUCACAAGGUUAUAUUAGGACACUAUUUGUUGAGAUGGAGAAUUUCUUGAGAGUGAAGACCGAUCACUUCAUUGUUCUUGUAAACUACUCGAUCCGGUGGUUGCCCAGAUUUACUUUAAUUUUAAUGCCAUUUGAUUUUUAUCUAUGCUAUUUAAUUGAUUUGUAGAACUAUGACGUUUAUUUUCUUUACCGUUUACUGCUCUGGCAAUUAAGCUAUUGAUUGUCAAAUAGCAGACCUUUGCUCAAUAACUGGCCGGUUGUAAUCGUUUUAUUAUUAAUGGAGUUGUUUUCAGAUCAUUGUUUUUUUUCCUAUACCGUUAGAGAAUGGUUCUUUACCUUCCAUCCUAUAAUUUCUUCCAAGUUCUUAUGCCCAUUUAUUUGGAGAAUUUACAUGGUGGUCAUUUUGGCCAUGAUCUGUAAUUUCCAGCCAAGGCAAGAAGAUGAUGAUUUAUUUCGCAAAAGCACUAAGAUUAUCAGCUUUAUGAUCAUUGCCGCAACAAUUCUCUCAUUGCUCUCUUCCCAAACUCAAGUUGGUAGUGUUUCCAUAGUAUAUAUCUAAACAACGAGACAAGGAAGACGGAACCUCCAGCGUCUACUAUCAAACCCUAGCCAUCAUGGCUGGGCAUCAUGCCCGGCCCUGCCUAGCUAGGUUCCUGGAAUAUCUGCAACAUCGGUGAUCUUUAUCGAAAAGAAAAGGAAGAUACACUUUAGAUCGAAACUGUCGUUAAAAGACGUGCCGAUCGACUACUUCAACUACAUAUCAAACCUUGAUUAGUGUGAUGUAAGCGAUUUCCGCGAUUUGGUAUUAAAGUGUUCAAUACCCUGGUUCGCAAGGAAUGAACCCUACUUACUAUGCUUAUGUUAGUUCAAUGAGACUGGUACAAGCUGAGCAUUGAUGGCAGCUGCAAGCAGAUAGCAAUUGGUUUCCAGAAACCCUUUCAUUCCAAUGUAGAGGCAAGUCUUUCGGUUGGAACCUAGUGGACAAAAACAGGUCAGAAUCAAAUUCAUUUGGUAAUAGUUUCCUUUUAUGUUGGUACUAACACACAUGUCACUAAGAUGUCUACAGGCCUAGUGGGCUCGCUAGUCCAUAAUGCAUAUACAGUCGUCUCAGGUGGGCCUCAUGAACAGACUGAAAACGGUCACCAUUAAUGCUUCAAUUUUAUAAACUGAUUCGAAUGUUUUAUAGUGUUUCGGAGCAUUGAAACUUCCCAACAUAAACAUGAAGAACUACGUAACUUUCUAUUUGGUCCGUGACUCCGUGGAGUAGCAACCGAAAGCCUGGUUCAUGAUCUUUCAUGACAUAUUUGUGAUUGAGUAGGUUCAGACGUUUUGUCAAGUCACAACUACAUGUUAAUAGACUUCACUGUUAGAUUGGAUCGGACAUGAGCGCAUUGGGCUCGCUCUCACUCACCAGCUUUCACUUUUACUAAAACGACACAGUACACAUUAUGCUUGCGAGUUGCGCCACAACAGGUGUGUCCAAAUUUACACUGAGAUUGAGAGCCAUGUAUAAGAAGAGGAGGAGGGCCGAGGGCAUGUGUUCAUGAUCAGAUGGAAUGUGAAUCCCCUAUAAGGUAAAACAUGUUUAGUUUUGUUAAUUUGUUUUUCUUCUUUGUCUGAAUUAAAGCAAUAAGAUCCAUAAACUGUUCGAUGAAAAGUUAAGAGAGAUGUUUCUUAUACUCUCUAAGCUACAUAACUAAUCUCCAAACCGUCAAGUUACGGAAAAGAAUUCACUUGCAUACAUGGCACAUCCUUGGUGAAUCUAACAAAGAGAGUUAGGAGAAUCGAAAUCUCGGUGGAGUAAAUUCAUGAUGUAAUUCUGACUGACUGAAGUUGUUUAAUUACCUUUUGAAGAUGAAAUCUGCAUCUAUACUUAAGGUGAGGAACAUCUGGCUAAAACUUUUUCUUAUGUAAACCAGUCGCAAGGUUGUUCAUGAAAUGUUUAAAAUAUGUAGUCUCUCUAAUCCCAGAGAACUAAUCUCUUGUCAGAGAAAAGCCCCAGUCAUUGAACUUGAUCAUGUAUACAUGUCAUUUGAAAAGAUAUAUCAUAAUCAGAUUAGGUGUAUCCUUUGCUCGGAGGAGUCUCUGACAGUGAUCCCAGGCUUCCAAGCAAUGAAGUAACAUCUUUAUCACUGAUACAGACCCACGUACACAGCUUGCAAUCAGGUGGAGACAAAGGAAACGCCAAAUUAUUUUGAAGAGAAACAUCAAAAAUACUGCAGUUAUAACAAUUUGAAAGUACCAUGUGUCAAAACCAGGUAAGCUUCUCCCUCCAGUUUCUUUGACCUCACUCAAAUUUUGACUUUGGCUCCUUCUCCUUUCUCUGCAUAAUGCCAGAAAUUAUUAUCUACUGCACACGGUGGCCAUUGGCUUUCUUUCAACUUGAUAACGGCUGUACAGUAUUACAGUAACUAGUGUGCACUUUGAAACUCUUGAACCGAGAGAUGUUACGUUAGUCAUUGUUUGCAGCAUACUCCACAUAAUAAACUAAUAAAGACUUUAGGUCAUGAAGUUUUAAGACUCCGGAACACAAUAAAAACACGACCGGCAUCUUGCACGCUACAGAACACCCGUGUGCACAAUAGUUACUGUAGAGCUAUUUUCAAGAACGGACAAGACAUGCAAUGUAUUGUCAGGGUGGUCUGAAUACUCAAUGCAGAAAAAAAGGUAUGUUUCUGAAAAAAAAGGUGCUUACACUUUACAGUAAUGUAGCGGCUGCAGAAAAAAAGGUAUGUUUCUGUUUUUCUAUUUAUGAAUGAAAUAAUGGCGGGUGAGAUUUCUGUAUAUUUUCUGCUAAGAUAUUAACACCAACAUAAACACCAUGAGCUGCAAACCUAGAGGUACUGUUUGGAUGCGUCAAUCUCAUCACCUCUGACAAUAUCAAUGCAUCCAACGGUGUAUACGGAUCGCGGUGGACCACCAAUCCACCACUGGGGGAGGUUAAAGCACACAGUUGAGCUUCAUGAGUUCUUCAAUCGCAUUUUGAAGGUCCUACAUUUACUCAAGUGCAAUGGAUAAGAGGUAACCAUCACAAUUUAAGACUAAUAAAGGGUGAUCUUAGAACUAAAAUCUUGUUUGUCUCAUCUUCCAAUGGGGUAUCUCUGACACUAAAAUCUGACCUAAAUUUUGUUACCAUCAUUUAAAUUUCUGGAGGAGGAUGACAGAUGCAUAAUGCUUUAUGAUUUUGAAUCUUCUAAGUAAGAUAUAGCUAGGGUGUCAAUUCUAAGCUCAUGGCUGGUGUCUGGCCAAGCUGGGCCAAAUUGCUAAAUGGGUAAAUGGAGAGGGACAAACUCACAGGCAACACACAACAAUUUGAUACCCACCCACAAAGCCACAAUAACAACAAGUCUCUCACUUUCUCUCUCUUCUAGGGUGACCCCCAUCACUCAACUUAAGAAAAGAUGGAACAUCAAAAACACACUAUCAUGGUUAAACUCUUCUCUAAAAUUAUUGGGGGAAGAAACAAAAGCCUUGGAAAGCUACCCUUCCUCUCUCCCCAUGUAGCCAAAACUGUCCCUUUGCACAAACUUAGAGAAUGAAUAAGGAGGUGGGGAAGAAAUAGUGACAAACACACAACUUCAAAACUAAAACCCAUCACUCCCUAGAGCUCCAUGACUCUCUAGCUCACCCCAAAGACUCAACCUUUCUUCACCUUCUGACCCUCAACCCUUUGCUGCUCUCUGCUUUGUGUUUAAGAUGCCAAGGCCAGGUCCAAGGCCCUAUGAGUGCGUCAGGCGAGCUUGGCACAGCGAUAGGCACCAACCCAUGAGAGGCUCCAUCAUUCAGCAGAUGUUCAGGUUUCUUCUUCUUAUGGGUUCUCUUUGGUUUAUUGGUUUUCUGUGUAAAAGUCUCUGCUUUUGUACAUUUUACCAUGUUUUGAUUCUGGGUUUUCUAUGCUUUGUUGGUUUUCUUUGCAAAGUUCUCUGCUUUUGUACAUUUUGUUGAUUGCCCACCAUGUUUUGAUUUUGGUUUGUUGGGUUUCUGUGGAAAGGUCUCUGCUUUUGUACAUUUUGUUGAUUGCCCACCUUGUUUUGAUUCAGGGCUGUCAAUGAGGUUCACAGCGCCAAAACCAAGAACAACAAGGAGUGGCAGGAGAAGCUGCCCAUGGUGGUUUUUAAAGCAGAGGAAAUCAUGUACUCCAAAGCCAAUUCAGAGGUGCUUCUCUUCAAUUGAACUUGUUUUCAGUUAAAAAUAUUACUCAAUUUGUGCUCUUUACUCAUUUUGGUUAGUGUUUUAUUGCUUAGGCUGAGUACAUCAAUUCCGAUACACUGUGGGAUAGAGCAAAUGAUGCCAUUAACACUAUUAUUCGAAGAGAGGAGGGCAACGAAACCGGGGACCUUUUGCCGCCGUGUGUUGAAGGUACCAUUAUGUAUUGCAUUUUGUGGGUUGUAGUUACUUUUAGUGUAGAAGCUUUAGUUUAGUUUUGCAAGCAGAAAUUAUGUGCAAAAAUGGAUACACUAGAAGUGUGAUUUCGUAUGUGUAUUGUGGUGACUCUUUGUGCCAGCUGCGCUUAAUUUGGGCUGUGUUGCUGUAAGAGCUUCAAGAAGCCAACGACACAGUAAUCCAAGGAGUUACCUCAUGCCGAGACCACAAGAACCACCUUCUCCACCCACUAGGGUUUUGGAUAGACCAUCUGAUGAAAGACGUCCUCCGUUUUCUCCUCCACAUCACCCGGGAAAUCAAUCGAACUUUGCAAGACCCUCAACUGUGAAUUCUGCACAUUUGGUCCCAGAAUCCCUUAGUCAUGCCAACCAGAGUAGUAACCUGAGUAGCCCUCGGCAUUACCCAUUUUCAGUUGAGAAUGUUCCUGGUGGCCAUAACCAGAUAACCACAAUAUCAACCAACAACCAAUUGAACUUAGGUUCAGUAUAUCCAUUGUAUCAUGGAUUUAGCUAUCCAACUGAAGCACCACAGUUACAGGUCCCAGAGAAUGUACAUUCUAGAACUAUAUAUGUUGGUACACCAGUUACAUCAAUUCAGGAGCCUACCAAGAAGCACAUUUUCACCUCUCAGAGGGCUGAAAAUGUGUCGCACAGAAUUCCCCAAGUAGAUGUCAUGGACAUCCAGGAGAAGCCACGAGAUGAAGGAUAUGAUUUAUCUUUGAGAUUGGGUCCUGUCUCACAUUUAUGUACUGAUAGAAGCUUGGCCAGUCAAAUGGAAGAUAUUGGUUCGAGUAAUUCUCAAGAGGGUGGAAAGCUCCACAAUUAUUCACCAUCUAUAAGUAAGGAGUUCUGUUUCUUUCCUACUAAGACUGCUUAUGAUCCCUCCGAAUCUACUUCAAACAUGUGGAAUUCAGAGGGUGAAGAUCGGAGUUUGGAGGCAACUUUAAGGAAGCGCAAAGCAACUUUUAGAAACAAUGAAGAGGAUGGGCAAUUUUUCAGCCAGCCACCUGGCCAGCCCAACCGGUUUCCUGGUCGAUUUACAGGGCCAGGUUUGUAGGCAUUCUUUUCUUUUUGUAGUAUAUAUGCUCUAAAGUUCAAUCCUUUUAUGAGAAUUCUCUUCUUAUGUAGCUCUGAUUGUGAAAUUUCACAAGUUCAUGUUACUUGCUCCUUUUAUGAGUUCAUGCUAUAUGAUCAAUGCAUAGGUAACAUAGAAUAAGGUUGAAACAUGAAACUUUCUGCAUAUCUGACUGAAACUACUAAGAUCAGCUAAUAUUGAAUUACUUAGAUUUUCAAUAAGUUGAAUGAAAAUGAUAGAAACAAGUUUUGUUAUAAAAAUCUAUUGGAGUAUCCGGUACUGUUUAAUAUGAUAGCAUAGGAACUUCACUUUUUGAGGACUUCACUGCAAAACAUCGGUUUUUUCCCCACAAUUUCCUCUCUCCAGGACCAAACGAACAAUUAUUAUAAGUUGUAAGGAAUUUUUUUUUCUUCGGUUCGUUUAGUUAUCGACCGACAGUUCCUAUAGCUUAAAAUGUUAAAUAAUGAGAUUGAAUCCUUUCGAUUUUGGAAUGGUCAUCAAUGUUUAUUCUGUUAUAGGCUCUAAGUGAAAAACCUUUGCUAUUUAUCUUGUUUUAUGGUGGAUUAUAGCUUUGCCGUGUCAUUAUCUGAUCUUCAGACUAAGAAAGUACAGCAUCUAAAGAUCAUUAUCGUACUUUAUAUUCUUCUAAAAAUAAUCAAACACUGAAGGUCUGUAAAGAAAUCCUUUGUUGUCAGAAAUAGUAUAGGUUUAUGGUGUACACUGCACACCAUGUUGUGGGGAAGCCAGGCUGACUUGGAUCUGGGAGGUCUAUUAUCUCCUUGUGCUGUUUGGUGUAGGUAGGAUAACUAUUCUCCAUAGGAGAAGGUACCUGAGUUUGCGUUUUCUGUUUGUUGAAUUCACAUGCGACUAUGAAUAAGAUCAGUGAAAAAUUUGAUUUGUCUGAGAAAAGACACUGAGGUCGUAUAUAAAAGUUUGAUACCGAGUGACCAAGAAAAGAUCAUGCGUGGGGCAUUGUUGUGCCUUAAAAAAAUUGGUACACUUUGAUAUAUAUGACAAUUUAUUGUCGCACAUGACAAGAAAGACUAAGACUUAACAUGGAUGAAAGUAUGAAAAGACUAGUCUGGAGUGACCCCAAAUAAAGGGACAACAAUGAUGGGUUAGAGAUGAAGAAGCAUAGAGCCUUAUGGUGUUUUGGUGUGAUGGGAAGCAGCAAUAGAAGUAGUCGAGUAUAGGUAUUGGGGGAUCCAAAAUAUUACGACCUUCUGGCCUUGCUCGCAGUUGCCACCGACAGUAGAAAUGGAUUAGUGAGAACCAGUAGAAAUAAGAGCAGAAGUGUCUGUGCUACUGUUCUUCCUCAGUCCCUCUAAAGAACAGAAGUGCUUGCUGUGUCUUGGCCUUGCAAAUGAAGGUUAUUUAUAUGAGAGACUCAAACUGGAGAAUUUAGAAUUAUGCAGAGUGAAUAUGUUGGUUUUAACGAGGGUAGUGAUUAGUGAAUGCUAGGAAUUGAACUCGUUAGGCAGGCAGUAACCCAUGUGUAGUUUAGUUUAGCUUUUGAGUCUGAGCAAGUGUGUUCUUCAGUUAUGUUUACAUUGCAGAGUCACUGCAAUACAGAGCAUACUGUGCUAACUACACUUUGAUGGCAACAUCCCAUUUUUGUUUAGAGAAAAGGAAAAACUUGCAAACCGAAACCCCUACUACAACCGAAACUAAAACAGACAGCUGAGAGAUGCAGUUCCUAUAUCCAAGUUACUGGAGGAUCGAACAUCAAUAUAUUACAAAGCAGACUUUAUGACAGAAUUGCUGACAUUGAUUUUUAUCGAAUGAAAGUGAAGAAGGAAAUGACUAGUAGUAAGGACGCAACAGCAGCAUGGGAGCUGAAGUCGAGGAUUCUACAGUGAUGGUCAUCUUCAUACCUUGUUUACAGUUUUCGCCAACGGUACAGACGAAGUAGCGAGAGCCAGCAGAAUCAAGAGUCACGAUUUCUUGAAUUUCAUCACUUAUCCCGCCGAUCAGGUCACUGCAGUUAUCAUAUUGUCCCUUGGUUGCUUCAUACACAGUAUGAUUUCCAGUCACUUUGAAUGCUGCAAUACAGGAGACAGAACCAUUAGGAUACUGUUAAAGCAUGCUGUUAAAAGUUUAAAACUAAUUAGUGUCGAAGAACUUACUAACUACAUUGGCUAACUGGAACGUCUUAGAAGCAGCCCAAUCGGAAUAGAAGGUGGUGUUGGGGGGAAGAGUCCAUCCCAAGCUGUUACCAACUAAAUAUUCUGCUGCUGUUUCACCCUUCAUCAAACCCAGCAAAACAACUACAAAGCUUAAGCAAGCUAUCAUAUUCGUAUCCCUGCAGCUUCCCAUUUCCUUAUACCUUGUAUCUAAUUAGUUUAUCUACAGAAGAUAUAUCAAUUGCUGGAAGUUGGAAGUGAAAUGAGAUAAGUCAGCUGGUGUAUUUAUAGGCCUCGGUGGUACGUAAUACAGGGCUUGGCCACGUAAUUUUGAACAGUUAUGAAAACAUGUUGCGUGCCCUAUCAUGAACGUUGAAUAAGCUCGCAGCUGUGAUUUUUGAACCAGUUCAUUGUAGUUGGGAUACAUAUUGCAAAGUUACAGCAGCAUAGAGCAUACUGUGCUAGCAAUAUAUAUACUUUGAUGGCAUCAAUACCAUUUUUAUUCAAAAGAAUUGUGCAAUAUAAUGUUACAUUAUGAUCCUUGAUGAUCGAGGAUCAGUUUAUUGUAAUUACAUAUAUAGCAGACUUGAUGACAAAGAAUCAGUUGCAUGAAUCCAUCACAUGGAAGUGAAGAAAGAAAUGGCUAGUGCGGAGCUGAUGAGCCCGAGUAGUAAAGAUGCAACAGUAGCAUGGGCGCCUGAAGGCGGAGCAGAUGUUGGAGAGGAGGAUCCUACAGUGAUGGUUACCUUCUGGCCUUACAGUGGUCGCCAACGGUGCAGAAAUAGUAGUUAGAGCCAGCAGUAAGUUCCACGCUCACCGGACUACCAAGAUUGGAUUGCAGGUCACUGCAGUUGUCAUAUUGUUCCUUAGUUGGUAGCGCCACGUUAUGAUUUCCAGUCCAGUUGAAGACUGCAAUACAGAAGACAGAACAAUUAGUAAAAACUGGACAUAAAACCAAGCUGAUAAAACUAAAUAGUGUAAGACGACUUACAAACUCUAUCGCCUAACUGAAAUGUCUUGGAGGCAGCCCAAUCUGAAUACAAGGAGGUGUUUGGUGGAAGAGUCCAGCCUAAGCUGUCACCAACUACAUAUUCUACUGCUGUUGCACCCUUCAUCAAACCCACCAUAACAACCAUUAAGCUUAAGCAAGCUAGCAUAUUCGUAUUCGUAUUCUUAUUCCUAAAGCUUGCCAUUUCCUUAUACCUUGUAUCUCAGUUUCUCUAUAGAUGAUCAAUUGCUGGAAGUUAGAACUCAAAUAUAGUUAUAUGAAUAGAAUUAGAUAAGCCAGAUGGUAUUUAUAGGCCUUGAUGGUAAUACAGGACUUGGCAACUUAAGCAUGAAAACGUGAUUGAUUUUGCAAAUCAUGAACUUUGAAUAAGUUACCAGCUGUGAUUUUGAACCAGUUAGUCGACCUGCAUCUUAAUUCAGGUCUCAGACUCAGACCUGAUAUUUUCUUUCUAAAUCUUUGUCCUUUCAAUGAGCCUAUGAGGAAUCUCGGGUUCAUGAUUUUGAAGAUCCUCAGCUACCAAUGAGAGAAAAGGCACCCGUGGCCUGCCCUGAACCGGGAAUAUCAUAUCUUGUUCACUGUCAUUUUACCUUAUCCCGCAACAAAUAUGCCGUGUGAGGAAAACAUAGUCAAAAUAAAGAAAAUGGAGACGAUCGAGUCAAAGAAACGAAGCAUACUUGGUCUUUGAAUUUGCAAGCAUCCGUAUAACCUGCCUAUGAUACUCAAUACACAUCUUGUAUCCUAGUCUAGCUGAUUGCCAUGGUUUUGAGUUCAAGUGAAGCACGCAAAGCAGAACGUUCCAACCUUAAUAUUAUUGAUCAAUUCAUAAGAAAGACGAACACUACCAAAAGUAAAUAUUAAACAUCAAACUGGAUGGCGUUUGUCGCUACUUCUUAUUGUAACAAACUAUUUAUUUUCUGAAACGAAACAAUUCAUACUAGUUAUUUGAUUGAUAUUGGAUCUCCAAAGUUUUCAACCUUAAUCAACAUUUCAAUCACGUAAUUGGUUUUGUGCCUGGAUCAAUCUGUCAUAUGUAUUUCAAUAUUCGUGUACGUGCUCCAUAUCAUUAUUCAUUAGGUGGCUUCUAGCUAGCUAACCAGUUCAUAAACUCGUUUAUUAGCGAAUAUCAAGUUGGACCAAAUAUUGAAAGGGAAUCAUUUAUAAACAUUGAAUCGAAGAACCAACCAAUUUAGCCAAUGGAAUACAACAAUCACAUAAUGAAGGUAUAAUUAAAUAUAGUUCAAGAAAAAUAUGACUACGGUAGAGAUGACUGCAGACAAGGCAGUGCCAAUGGUGAGAGAAGAAGCACUGUUCCAUCUCCACCAGUCAUCAUCGUCAUCACUGUUAUCAGAUUGACCUGUUCCUCCCAUUGUAAUGGCCACCUUCUGCCCUAAAACGCUGCAGUGGUUGUCCUCAGUGCAGAUGAAGUACCGAGUACCGUUUAGCGAGCUCAACGUAAUUCUUGCCGGGCUGGAAUCAUAGAGAGCAAUCGGAUUCGACUUUGUGCAGCUCGAAAAAUCAGCCGCUGUCACUUCAGCCACCGUGUGCGGUCCAGUCCACUUAAACACUGCAACAAAUUAAUGUUAAGCAUAUGAGUUACCAACUUUCAUAUCAAGUAAUCAAAAUGACCACUUCAAAAGAAAUGAUCGAGAUUUAGUAACUUACCAACUACGUCACCGAGCUGAAAUUGCUUCGAGGCGGCCCAGGUGGAGUAGGCAACUGAACCGGCCGGAGGAAUAUUCCAACCUAAAUCUUCUCCGACGGUGUAGCUAUCAGCAGUGACACCCUUUAGUAAGGCCACUGCUACAACGAGAAGCGAGCAGCCAAUCAACCCUAGUUGAGAACUAACCAUGUUUGAUACGAAUCAAAUAUUUCUGUGUUUUCUUGCUGUGGAAAUGUUGCUGCGUUUGAGUUGGUUUAUGACGAAUACUUAUACAUGGAGACCAUGAUGACAGACUUAGAUUUAAACGUACUGUACGUAUCAAGCAAAUUCCUUAUUUUCAAAAUAGGCAACUACUGAUGCCAACAUCUAGAAGAAGUUUGACGCUGACUGCUUUCUUUUAUACUAUCAAACAACGUCUGUUAAAUUAUAGACCAUAUUUUACAUCGACUACAUAUUUCUUUUCUCUAAAGAAUUGUGGUCGUUCUGGAAGCAAAGAACCCAGUGAUGCUUUCAGAAGCUUCGAACCUCUAUGGAUUCUCAUCAUAGAUGAGAUGUUGAAUAGCUCAAUAAUACCACCCCUCAUUUUAUGUAUCUAAGCAUGAGUCAUGACAAUGUUGACUAGCAGACUAGGUUGUGAUGAGGACGUAAAACUAUAAUAUAUGUUAUGUAUUUCAAACCUCAAGUUCAAUAAAUUCGUGUUAAUUCAUCGUUGUCUUUUCUUUUCUCCCUUCUUAACUCGGUGGCCUCUUUUUCUGGUCGAUGUCCAUAUGCUUAGGUAUGUUAUAUUAAUGUGAAAGCUAUAUGUGCGAAGGGAAAAAUGAGAAAUGGUUAGGUAUGUUAAUUGCUUCGUUUUCUUUGAUGUCUAAAUCUUAUAUAUGUAUGAGAUCGAAUAGUUUGGCAACAUUUGUUACUUUCAGGAAACGAGUAGUGCUGUUUUCCCUCAUUUACACUGAUAGGAUAUAACUUAAGUUUCUUUCUUAAUAGAAAUAUCAACAACCGAAGUUGACUUCGUCGGAGCAUGGACAAAGUUAGGCCAUUUUUAAUUUGAUUCCGAUCCAUUUUGAUAAAGGGACAAAGACCCUAUAUCUGAGGGGUCUCCAGGCUAUCAAUUUGAACCAAGUGACAUUUCUGGAAUUUUUCCCUUGUUGUUUUUGGGAUCCUGCAUAUGCCAUGUGGUAAUGUUCUAUCUUAUCAAAUAAUGUAGCUUCUUGACUUCGAAAUAGACCCAAAACUAUGUAUGAUAAGGUCGUCAUUGAAAUUUCCACACACUGGCCGGCCAAUUGCAAAGGCUCUCAAAGCAGUAUGCAAUAGCUUUUAUUUGGUCAGAACAGUAUGCAAUAGCUUAGUUUUGCCACACAUAUCAUAUCUAUAGAGAAACUAUAUGAGAAAGUAUUAGCUGUUCUCAGAUCACGGAAAAUUCUAAUAUAUCAUAUAGUAUAACAUGUCCUAUAAAAUGUGUGGCUAUCAUUGAUUGAAGCUAUGUACAAUUAAAUGAUCAUGUAAUGAUCAUUUACCCUUUCAACCUCAUGUGUCAUAAAAUUAAACAUAUUUACAAUAAAUAUGUAACAUAUGGUAUGAUAGACAAAACCUCGGAUCACCACCACGUGAUCAUGAGCUAAACUAAAUAGUUAAAUGUCAUUUCUUCUUGAUGGCCAUGAUUAAUUAUUCGGGGUCGGUCCAUAGCUAAAAUGAAGCCAUAUAUCAUCGUUUAUAUACAUUCACAUUAAAUAAUAUACAUAAAAAUAGGUGAGUUAAUUAGAAGCUUCCAAAUGGUGCCUCAUUUGGUUAGCCAGCCUCUCUAAAAUGGAUGUUUUCUCAUAUUUCACAUGACUAGCUUAGAAAUGGUCACCGACGCCUGUCGCAAGUGGAAUGGAUCAUGCUUUGAAAGUGAUACAAAGACAAAGAAAUAAUCUAGAUGAUAAGGGUCCUUAUUGCACCGUGUCAAACUCAAACGUUUACAAAUUUCUCUUGAGUUCGUCAGGUUAAGCAAACCCAAACAAAAUUGGUUGGAAAAAAGUAGGAGAAAAUUAAAUCUGAAACGAAAUGGUCUAGAUCAUGAUCAAAUCGAAAAGAAAACGAAGUGAUUAAGCUGAAAUGUCAAAACCAGCUUUAUUGAUUAUUCAUGGAAAAAGAAGAUGAUCAAUCUGUAUAAUAAACAAUAACAAUCACACUAGCUAGCUGUGGUAGUCUACAAAUGAAUUACACACAAAUAAAAUCAACUGUAUACUGUCACAGAUUAAUUUACUUAAAACAUGAACAAAGCUACAGCAAUGGACAAGAAGGUGGCGGAUAGGCCAGCAACGCCGAGAGAUGUCGCGGUGCUAGGUGAUGGUGGUGGGGUGACGUCACUGGCUGGUACAGGGGUGGUUGGAGUGGUGGUGCCGGUGCUUGGUGGGGUGGCAGUACUAGUGCUUGGAGUAGGGGCAGAGCCGCUGGUUGGAGAAGGAGCCGGUGCGGAGGUGGGUGUGGGUGUGGCGGUGCUGCUGCUGACGUUGAUGGCGAGCUUCUGGCCUUGGUUGCAGUGGCCGGCGAAAGUGCAGAUGAAGAAGAUCUCGCCGGUUGUGUUGAGUGUGAUUCUGACGGGUGGGUUUGAGUAGAGGGAGAGUGUGUUGGAGGUGUUACAUGACUCAUAGUUUGUCUUGGUCACUUCAGCAACGUCGUGCGAUUGAUUCAAGAAGUUGAACACUGCAAUAAACAAAUAAUGCACCAUGUUAGACCCUUAAUUAAUUAACUUGAUACAAUUAAGCAAAUUAGUAGCUCCAAAGUUGCUUUAGAACUUGUAAAAGCAUUUGCUUUUCAGAGAAGCACUUGCUAAAGUAGUUUUAAAGAUCGAGAAUAAGAAUCUUCAAAGAUUUCUUUUUUGUAAGAACAGCACUACAAAUAAAAGCGGUUUUUCUACUGAUUAAAAGUGAGUAUGCCUGAGUUUUGGGUCAAUGAAUUUACCUAGAACGUCACCAACGAAGAAGGUCUUGUUAGAGGCCCAAACGGUGUAAGUACCGUUGCCGAGCACAUUCCAACCGGCGGUGUCUCCAACAGUGUAAGUAGUGGGUCCAGUUGAGGGGCUUGGUGCCGGGGCAGAAGGUGCAGGGGGGCUAGCACUGCUGCUGGGCUCUGGAGAAAGAACCGGAGCCGGCGACGAAGUAGGAGGACUCACGGUGGGAGCCGGAGAAGGGGAAGAAGUCGUUCCGGUAACGUUGACGGCCAACUUCUGUCCGGAGCCACAGUGGCUAUCGAAGGUACAGAUGUAGUAGUGCUCUCCGGAAGUAAGGGUCAGAGUUGCUGGUGAGUUAGUAGUCAAGGAAAUGGGAUUGGUUGCAUUGCAGGCAUCGAAGGCUUCCUUGGUCACUUUUGCGACGUCGUGUGCUCCGCUUGCAAAUGUAAAGACUAGAAAAGCCAUCCAAGAAGUGAAAGGAUUAGUCAUUACGAUACGUUUAAGUUUCUUUCAGAUAACUGGAAUGAUUAUUGAACAUGAACAAAACAAUAUAGGCAUUUUUGGGCUUACCAAGAGUGUCACCGGCUUUGAAGGUGUUGUUAGACGACCAUGUACUGUAAGCCACAGCUCCACCUGGAGGGACGUUCCAGCCUAUACCAUCUCCGACUUGAUGAGUCACCGCCGAGGCCGUGCUAAUUACCAAAGCUGCCACUAGGGCUACGAAAACCGCCGUGUUCGAGUUCCUUGCCAUUGCUUUUGCUUUGUGUUCUUUCAGGUCGCCCCUGUUUGUUUUGGUUAUGCUCUGCUUCUUAAAACCUCUGCUUUGCUUCUGAUAGAUAGGAGGCACUGAAAAUGGGUUAAUUUGGUUUGUCUCCGUCGUUCUCAGCUUUAUAUAGGGAAAGGCUCCUGCAACGUCGACAUGGUUCUGCCGUUGUCUGGCGUUGGAUGGAGGCCACGUGUCUGCAUGGGUGGGCUGUAUCAAUGUUUCACAUUUGACGAUGGCUGCCGUGAUAUGGGACUUUCCAGAAAUUUAGGUUUUCUUCACGCGGAAAGAGGCCCUCUAGGUUGAGAGAGAGCACAGCUCGAUCUCACCUAAACUAAAAUAUGACGACUUUUUCGUUGACUAGUCAUCCAAAAUUAAAGAAAAUAUGAAAAGAAGUUAUGGUCGUUAGCAAAGGCAAUUCUUCUUCGUGUUAAUUCCACACAGUAAAUGCAUUAAAAAUGGAAGCAGAUGAGAAAGAGUAAAGGAAAGACGUCUAGUCGUCUACUAGUGAAAGUGACCCCCAAUAUUUACCAAGAACAUUUCCAAAAUGAUGAGAUUAAAAAUAGAACUUGUCAUUGAAUUAUGUAUGUGGAAGAUAGAACUUGUCAAACUUAGGCUGCAUGUAAACCAACGUGGGGUAAUUCGUUUAUAAUGCUUUGGAAAAGCAUAUGAUGGACUUGGCCAAUUCAUGUGGAAAAAAUGUACGUAACAAAUGUUUGGAGAUGGGUGGCCUUAGAAGAACAAUCCUAGAAAGCUUAUUCUUCUCCUAAUUUCAACAUCAAGCAUUUAACGAAAUAAAUAAGAUAAAAAGAAAAGACAGUACUUCAUAUUAAGCAUCCAAUGUCAUAGGCUUCCCUACAUGAUAUCGAAUUAUAUCGAGCUUUACACUUGACGUCUUGCAUUGACUGCAUGCAGAUGACAAGGUCUAGCAUGAGGUUGUGUAUAUAUACGGUUGGGCUACGUAGACAUAUUAAGCACCCAAUGUCAUAGGCUUCCCUACAUGAUAUCGAAUUAUAUCGAGCUUUACACUUGAACUGCAUGCAGAUGACAAGGUCUAGCAUGAGGUUGUGUAUAUAUACGGUUCGACUACGUAUACAUAUUAUACAUACAUAUAUAAUGAUAUAAAUUUAGUAGAAAAUGAAAAUUUUCAUAAGAGGUUUACACCUUUCUCCUCUUAAGGGGCUUUUCUAGUGAGGACUCUUAAGUUGAGGAUUAGUUGAGAACUUUCGGUUUAUGGUUUAAAAGACCCAUUUUUCGAUCACAUUUUGACAUCUCAUCCGUUCAGUUUUUAGGUUUAUAUGAGUUAAUUAUUUAUACAAAUUUUCAGCCAAAUUGGUGUUCGUUAAGAUAGCAAGUUAGAUCAAAUUAACGGACGAACAAACUCUAUCAAAUAUGAACUGUUCAAGUUCAUAAUUUAUAUAUCACAUUUAUGAAUGUCUCAACAAUUUUCAAUAUAGCUGAAAUUUUGGAGAAAUGAUUUACUCAUAAAUACCUAUAAAUUAAACGGUCAAGAUGUAGAUAUAAGAUCGAAAUGUGGGAUAAGUCGAAAAGUCUUCAACUAGUCCUCAACUUAAAAGUACUCGUUAGAAGGGCUUCUUUACACCUUUAUAUUAAAGAUGUAAGUGUUCCAUCGGUAACCAAAACAAAAGGCAAGCCGGUCGACUAUGUAGACAAAUGCCAUUCAAAAAAAAAAGAAAGAAAGAAAGAAGAAACGUUGCAAUUUCAUUAGAGAGUGUCAUCUUAAUUAUACCCAAGAGGUCAAGAUAAUGACAGGAUAAUGGACUAUGAACACUUCUAUGCAUGUCCAUUACGGACUUUUUUUUCAGCAUGUAAAUAAUAUUUGUUAAUUUCAUUAGAACAUUGUUACUUUGUUAUAUACUUGUAUCUGACUUGAAAAUGCUUCCCUCUUUUCAGUUUUUAUAAGGACCUCUGGAAUUAUGCUUGAUCAUCGUCAUAUAUUAACAUCCAAUUGCCACGAUUCUUUGUUAUAUACUAGCUAGCUAGUAGGUUCUUAGUGGGGGGUUUUACUAUAUGAAAAUUUGCAUUUUUGAUUUUGUGCCUUCACGUUUGUAAUGUCAUCUGAUAACUAAUUAAUUAAUUAUCUCUAAUUCCUUACAUCAAGCAAGGAGCCAAGGAGACCUACGGCUCCAGCGGUCCAGCCAAUCAGCCAUAUCUGACUUGAUUUGUCUUGGAAUCCUUAAUGUGAUCAUAUAUGACUAACAUGAGUAGUUUCUUUGUACGUGUCAAGUCACUGACAAUUAGCCUGGACUGAUCCAACUUGGAGUUUAAUUAUCAUUCAAAUGAACCAAAAGACCCAAAUUAAUCAGAAAUAUAAAGGAUCGUGAUUGUUGGUUGGGUAUAAUUAUUUAUAGGGUGCGGCUAUUUCCACCUCAUUAAAUGCUGAGUUCACUCCACGUCUUAUUUUUUACCUUUAAUGUUCUAAUUUUAUCCUUAAAAUUUUGAGAAAAUCUAAUUUUUAUUUUCUUUCUUUUAUUUUCCUCAAUCUAAUAAAAUUUAAAAAUAUAUACAAAUAUCUCAUUAAUAUAUUUGAUGCAGACUUCAAUUCUUCUCAAACCAUAUCCUAUAUAUGUUCUCCUCGAUCUCUUUCUUGAGUUCAUUUUUUACGAUUAUGAAUAUAUAUAUAUAUAUAUAUAUAUGAAAGACUGCAUUUGAAGCCAAAAAUAAAUAAAAAUAAGAAUGAACAAUCUCAACACACUGUAUAACCAUCAUGUUGAAGAUUGAAGUGAUUCUCGAAUCUGAUUUGAAAGACGUAGAGAAUUGUUUUUUUUCUUCCGAUGUAAAGACGUAGAGAAUUGUUGUUGUUUGGAUUUUAUAGAUUUUAGUUAAAUAUUAUAUUUUCACAAAAAUUCUUGAUUGUAAGGUUAGUAUUGGAAUAUUUAGUUUAAAACUGAAAUGUGGGGUGAACAAAGUAUUCGGUGGAGUGACAAUAGCCGCACUCUUAUUUAUAUUGAGUAAAGGAAAAUAUUACAAGGACGAACAAAUGGACAACAAGCUAUGAAUCAAAUAACUUAAUUAAUUUGUCCCAAAUCCAUAUAUAUACAUGAAAAAAAAGGAAUAUUUAAUUCAAAUAAGCUCAAUAUAGCCUUUCAUAUACAAGGUAUAUAUGUACUGUACGUACGUACGUAAUGAACUGAUCGAUUACAAAUAAACAAUAUCAAGACAUGGAUUUAAUCAAUGGAAGAAAGCCAGUCCAACGAGCAAGAUGGUAAGGUAGUAGCCACUGCCAGUGAUGGUGGAAGAGGCGGCGGAGGUGUAUGGGCCAGAAGCGACCGGUGAAUGAGCUGACGGAGCCUUUGAAGGAGCAGGCGUUGUGGAGCUCGAUGGAGACGGACACGGGGACGGCGUUCCUGCGCUCUUGCCGGUCACGUUAAUCGCUAGCUUCUGUCCGUAUUCGCAGUGGCUAUCGUAGGUGGAUGUGAAGUAGUGUUCACCAGUGGUGUUGAGGAUGAUGUGCACCGGACUGUAUUUAUAAACGGCAAGGGUGCUAUUGGUGGUGCAGUUGUCAAAAACAGCCUUGGUCACAAUAGCUACAUCUUGUGUCUCAUUGAGGAAGUUGAAAACUACAACCAACAAAAGCACGAGGUUAAUACAGUUUCAAAUAAAGAUAUAGUUUUUGAUACUCAUGUAGCAUAGAGUUUAAUAAAAUACCUAAUGUGUCUCCAACCAUGAAGGUUUUGCCAUAAGCCCAAGCAGAAUAAGAAAAUUCACCAGGCACAAACCAACCCAACUGUUCACCAACGAUGUAAGUCACCGGACCUCUAGGAGUAGCUGGACCAGGAGCAGGAGCCGGAGCAGAGGUGGUUGAAGUCACGUUGAUGGCUAGCUUUUGUCCCAACUCGCAGUGCUUGUCCAUGGUUCCAAUGAAGUAGUAUUCCCCAAUCGUAUCCAACGUGAAAUUGGCCGGACCAGUUGUCUUAAGCUCGAUGGGGUUUGUUGAAUUGCAGCUGUCGAAAGCUUCCUUUGUAACCUUGGCUACGUCUUGCUCACCAGUUGUGAAGUUGAACUCUGAAAAUUGAGCAACAGAAACAAAAACAAAGUUCAGUAAAGCUACACAUAUUACAUAUGCAAGUACAUGUAUUUGAUGAUCAGUACCGCUACGUGAACGUACCAAGAAUGUCGCCAACGGAGAACUUAUGGCCGGAAGCCCAGACUUCAUAAGCGUAAUGACCUCCAGGAGGAACAAUCCAUCCGAAUUUAUCUCCGACGACGUGUUUUUCUACUGCUGCUGUGGAUUGAAGGAGGGCAGCCACUGUUAUGGCUAGAACGGCGAAAUAUUUGAGCUCACUUCCCAUGUUUGUUUCUUAUUAGCAAGAGUACUAGUCCUGAUCUUGGUUUUCUUUUCCUUCUCUUGUUUCUAUGCUAGAGAAUGCUUCUGUGAGAUAUUUGGAUAGAGAGGUGGUGUUUUUAUAGAGGUUUUUAGGAGGAAGAAAUUGUUGGGGAAGUUUUGGCGAUUGACAAUUGUCAUAGCUAAAGGUAGUACAUGUUGCUCUAUUCUAGACGUACGUACUGGACCAAAUUCAUUCAAGGAGGUCUAGAACUCUGUUGUGUUUGACCAAUUUAUAAAUUGAUGUGGACGAGUUGAUGGAAUCAAAUAUUGCAGGAGAAGAUGCAAACGCUGAUCAGGAAAUAAAGAUGAUAACCGUGACUUUGAGGUGUUCUGUUAUAUUAAUUUCUGAUUUUAGAUUUAUGCAAACAACAAAGAUGACAAAAUUAAUAGAAAUGAGCGAAGAUCUUUAGCUAGGGUAACGCGCAAUUGACCAUUUCCAGCUUUGUAAUUAUUUUGAUUUGCAAAACGGUCAGAGUUUGUAAAUUUCUCAUCGAUUAGUCUAAUGAUAGUUCUAUUCAUAUUAGUAGUAGAUGAACUCGAAGGGAAAGUACAUACAAAUUUUCGUAUAAAAAAAAAAAGUUUAGAACUUUGAAUCGCUACCAUUAGAAACAAGAGAAAUACCAAAGUAUAUAUAUAUAUAUAUAUAUAGGGUUCAGUUACACUAGCUUGUACGUAAUAUUUUAAAAUGAUCGGAACACUUAUUAGUACUGUACCUGUACACAUUAAUGAAAUAUUAAUCGUGUUAGUAAUUUAAACAAAUUAAAUGCAUUAAGAAUCUAUGCAUCAAGUCAUGAAAACAUAGAACCAAUUGUCUUUCAACAAUCAACAUUUUGAUUAAAAAUGAAGGCAGCGCCGUAGGUGAAACAGAAAAAAAAUUGAUUAUAACUAAUAAUACGUCUUCAAACCGACCGCGAUUGCAUGAAUACCAAUUACUAAGUCAACUUAUGAAUAGAAACAUCAAACACGGAUCAUAUGUAUCUCUCCUCAGUUCUUAAUUUCUACAAGACUUCUAGAACAACAUAGUAAGUUGCAUGACUUGAAUCUUUCUUAAUUGGUUAUUUGGUUUGGUAUAGGUCACCAUUGUCAUGCAUGUAUUUCACGAGCGAGUACCCUCAAUUUCUUAUAUUGAUCGAGGAAUCUUCAUUCCCAGUUCCCACCUACUUAAUUCAUAGGCGAAUAAAUCGCUUAACACUUAUUAAUAAAAGAAAAAAAAAACAAAGGAGGGGGAUCAAAACCUCCCGAAACAAAUGACAGACCAGUUGAAACAAAAUUGAGGCAUACCUCUAAAAUUGUUAUUAUAAGACAAUAAUAUGAAAAGUGGAGGUUCAUCGAUCCCACCAUAUCAAUUCAGAACAUGAUGUACAUUAAUUUGCCAGAGCAUCGGCUAUUUUAUUCCCUUCACAAAAAAUAUGAGUAGCCUUGAAAUUCAUUUGAGAGAUUCGGUAUAAACAAUUCAACCAUGUGGAAUUCAAUAUCCGAAUCAGUUUUCAAACAAUGUGGCCGGCUCCAUAUGCUCUUCAGUUUUCUUUUGGCCAUAGACAUCUUAAUCGAAUCUCAAAUAUCUUGCAGUUUGAUACACACACACAAACACAAAGUACUUAAAUAUACCUAUAUUUAAUCUUGAAUAAAAUCUUCAAAAAUUACACGUAUCAAAAGUAACCUAUAAAAAAAACAGUAACCUAUAGAAACUCAGGUGAUGAUCGAAGAACAAAUCGCACAAACUCUUCGUGCUUAAUCAUCAACUUAUUGGCAUUUUCAUAUUACAAUCACGUACAUCCAUACAUGGUACAAAGUGCCUCUAUUAUUCAAUGAUAAAUGACAGUAAUGGAUAUACCAUUCAUAUAUAUAUAUAUAUAUAUAUAUAUAUAUAUAUAUAGCUAGCAGAAACUAGUUUCCUCGGGCCAUGAUCUUGUGAGAGACGAAUUUAGUCGAUUGGGGACGAUUUUCAUUAGCACUUGAUGAAUAUGUUGAAUAUGGACACGGACCUGGAGCGGGACUAGGACUGGGAGGCAAGGCAGCGCCGAUGUAAAUGGCAAUCUUCUGGCCUUUGGUGCAGUGCCCGGCCAAGGUGGAGGUGAAAUAGAAUGUGUCGCUUGCGACAAACUGGAGUGUCACUGCUUCCUGGAACACAUGCAAGGGAUCCGCCGUGUUACAGCUCUCGUAAUCAUCCUUGGUUACUAGGGCCAGGUCUUGUUCACCUUCUGCAAAGUCGAACUCUGCAAAAACAAACAAACAAAUAAACAACGAUCAAGUACAGUGUAAUGGAACAUUAAUUGAUCCAUCAUGGACGUUGGAUCAUAUAUGGUAUUUCUCACCUAGCUCAUCGUUAACUACAAAGCUAUGCUCGGCAGCCCAUGCAGCAUAAGUGGCAGCGCCACCAGGAGGAAUAGCCCAUCCCAAGUCGUCUCCGACUGUGUAUAGUACAGCUUCCGCUCCAUGUAACAAGACUACUGCCACUGCGAGAACAGCAACUAUCACGUUCAUGGUUUUCAUCUCGAUAGUAAUCGUCUGCUGCUGCUGCUGGUGUUGUUGAUGUUGUUGUUGUUGUUGCAGUAGUAUAUAGAGGGGGAGGUCUUGAAUUAUAGGAAGAGGUUGAGCGAGACCCGCCAAAUUUCACAUAGAGAGUUCAUAUGUCAUAGCAUUGUUGUAUCACAUCCAGCAAUUGCAAGCUGUGUGAAUAGUGCUACGAGACCAAGACACAAGUGUGCGUUGAGAUUAUCAAAAGAAUCCAAACUUGUUUCUAGCUAGGACUGAUGGUCAAUGUCAAUGAUCAGUCGAUACUAAAGAUGUCGUAGAAAUUAGUCAAUUUUAGAUUGUAUAUUGCUAAGGUACAUCAACGUUAAUAUACUGCUUUGUUUCGGAAAAAAAGAAAGAAAGAGAAGUCGAUAUACUGCUGCUUGAAUUUUAUGUAUAAAACAGAAAUGCCGGCCUUGAGGUCACUAUGCUCAUAAUAUUGAUUCUAAAACUAAUGCGGAUUAGAAAGACAAUCUUUUCAGCUAGCUGCCCUAUCUAACAGAACUUCAGGUUAAGCUAACCAUGCAAGCAGUGACGAAAUCAGGAUUUCACAGUGGGUAUAGCUAAUUUUGUAUGGACACAAGAAAUUUUGUUUGAGGUUUGUAACCGGCGGUCGGUGCGGCGGUUAGAUUUAACUGUGACUGGUGGUUGUGGGCUCGGCAGUGGUCGCAGUACUCGGCUGGUGGUUGUGAUUGUGACUCUGUGAGGUUUGAGGAAUUGAUGGGUUGGUGGUUGUGGGCUAUUUGCUAUACUAAUAGUUUGGUGAGCUAAUUUGGGUAUGGCUAGUAGACUAAUAUAUGUACCCAGCUGUAUAUAUGGCUGAUUAUUGAUAUGGCUAUAGCCCUGAUAGCCAUAUGCAUACUUCCGCCACUACAUGCAAGUUAAUCAAGUUUUCAUGAUGAUAAUGAACUAAUCAUGUACUUUGCCAUUAUCUUAAAGAAUCAAGUUUUUCGUUAAUAUAUAGUUUCUUUUUGUCUCUAUAUUAGAUAAUGAAAAUUUGUCAUUCUUAAAAAAAAAAAAAAAGNUAAUAGAAAAUUUGUAAAUAAGAAUUCAACCUGAGGAGAACAAGAAUAUAUGAUUCUAUAUUUGUCCAACCCAACGCAGUUUUUAGUUUGGUCGACUAUGACCAACCCAACUACACCUCUCUCUCUCUCUUUUUCUUCUCCCUCUCUCUCUCUCUUUCUCUCCCUCUCUCUUCUCUCUCUUCUCUUUUGAUUGGAUGUUCACGCAGACUAGCAAAAGCUGCUGGUUGGCAAAUCUGGAUCCAAGAAUAUAUAACCUACAGAAUUAAAUGAAAGACAGGCCUAAAUAGAAAAAAUGGGUCUAGGCCGAACAUAAAAGCGAAGACGGAAUUCAAUUCAUCGGGCUUUAACGGGCUAAGCGAAGCCCAAGUGUGGCUAGGCGGAACCUGGGUUUGCGGGCCUUACGCAGGCUGGGGGUCCCUCCAAUAAAAAAGAAAAAAAAGAGAGGAGUGAGUAGCCCGCCAUGUCUAGUAUCCUCCCAGCUCCGUCAUCGUCUUCGAUCUUCUCCAUACUCACACUCACACUCCUCCUCAUCGCCACCGGGGCCCUCCCAGAACAACCCGAACCGGAACCCGGACUACGCCGACGCCGUGUCCUACCUCAAAUUCCGUCUUGGGUCAUCGCAUUAGUGGAGUAAUCGGCCUUGGUUGCAUCAAAGGAGGUACAUAGUUCUCUAAACACUUCAAUAUAUUUUCAAUCAAGUUUCCUAAGCAAAGUUCAUAUCCAAAUCUGGGAUGACACAUUUUAGCUGCAUGCAUGUCUGCAUUUUAUUUUGUUUUGUGCAAGCGCAUGAAAUUAAUCUAUGAUCUAAACCCGUUCUAAACUAGUUCUCUUUUCACCCGUGCCAAUUUUGUAUCGGAUGUGGCCGGGGGAGACUGAUCAGGCAUCUCACCUUUCAGGAUGAUGUGGAAGAGCAUCGAUCCUCAUGGACAAGAGUGAGCUAUAAUAGAGACACUCCCCCAAGCUUUCAUUAGUUUUGGUGUCUUGAAAAAAGAAACGAGAAAGGAGGACAAACUAAGUAAAUGUUAAAUUAAACAUAUUCAUAUAUUAUUCUUAUUACAACUCUUAUUGAUUGAAAGAAAAAUAAACAUAAAACUAAACAUACAUAAUUGCUAUGUAGAAUUACUAGAUAGCAAGUAAUUAGCAACUUAAUUAGAUGACACCCCCCAUUGUCAGAGACACAGUCUUUUUGUUGCCGUGUUUGUUAACUCUUUUGGAAAGAAACUUAAGCGGCAGCUUUGCAUUACUGUUAGCUUCAGCAGCAGCAGAUGAACUUGGAGAAUUGGUCCAGUUAAGGGCAAUCUUUUUGAUAGGAUUCAUGGAUUUAUUCAACGGAAGAAGAAAAGGAAGAAGACGACUGAAAGUAAGAAACGCUGAGAACAUAAACGACUACAUCGUGAAUUUUCAAUACAUCACAACACUACAAUAAUCCCUAGAUAUAGAACUAAUCUAAUACUGAAAUGACAGGAAUACGAAAUAUAUAUCUGUAUAUUUCUAACACCCUCCCUCAACCAUAUGCUUGGGCACCCCAAGCAUAAUGGUUGCAAUACAUGAUAUGAAACCUCAAGGCUACAGAACUGCUCUUCUUCGAUAGCCAACAUAGACAGGCCACAGCCUUGUGGAAAGUGAAGGACCAAUUUGAGAUGAAGCACUUCCAGAUGCUUGAUAGAAACCAAACAUGCAAGGAAGUAAGCUCUGGAAGAAACCUUGUUCUUGGCAAUCAACAGCUGAAAAGAGAAAGCCCUGCCACAACAAUCACAUACACACAAAAUGUAUGGAACUAUUGCAAUGAACAUCCCAGCAAAUUCAUUGUACUUGAAUCAUGAGAUUUAUCAUCAGAAUAGGCAUUCCAAUGUGCUUGUUCGACCAAUUACUCCUAGCAAUAACACACCCAGACCAAGAAGCAUGUUGGAGCCCAUAAAAGUUUCUCUAUUGUUUCUUAACCCAGCUGUACUUGUUCUUUGGCUACAGCAAAAAAGACUAUAUGCAACUGCUUCUGGUUCUUCAUUGAUCAGUAGAUGGGACAUAUGAACAUACAACCACAAAGCCAAACUAUGUAACCCCUCAACUAAGAAGUGAGAAGUACUUCUCUGAAGUGCGAAAGAAGAAAUCCUUUCUCUCUGCUCUGCAACAUUUCCCAAAUAAUUCCAGAACCAAAGCAAUUGAUGAUCACUCCUAGAAGCUGUACUCGCCCCUUAACUCUUAUAGCAUUACUCCAACAUAUAUGCUGCAUAAUCAUGUCUUCUUCCACAUUGCAAUUUGAACUACGCUCUCUGAAAUUAGAUCUAGACAAACCAGCAGUCCCAUAUAUUCAUAAUAAGCUGCUGCAUAAGAAGUGUUUCCCUCCACAUUUCAGUUGGAUCCUUGACUUACUGCAAUAUUUUCUGCACCGCUUUGCCAUACAGAGGCUACUACCUCAAUACUACAAUUCCACAUACUACUACCUCCAUUACUACGUUUUCUUACAGGGUCAAUAUCGCAAACAAAUUGCGGUAGGAAAACACUAAGCAACAGUCAUCAACUUUGUAUCACCAAAC
rnacentral:lncRNA from 1 species